ACCUUCAAAUUUCAAAGAUAAGAAAAAGGUUAAAUUACCAGCAAUCACAAAUUCAACAGUAUGUUAUUCUAACUACCAUAAAUCUUGCUUUAGAUUACCAGAUGGUCAUGCGAAAUUGAUGCAUGGGCAGUGGCCACAGCAGUUCCACUGUGUGAAAUUUCCCAACACCUUACCUGUGAAAGCAUUCAAACAAGACGAAUGAGAAUAUCAAGGAUGUUAACCAACAAACAGAAAGGCAUAACUAAAGGUAUAAAAAAAGAACAGAACCCGAUUGGACAAACCUGAUUAUCCCAUGAGGUUGCAACCAAGAUAUUGGCCAUGGGACUGAAACAAAGGCUUGAAAAAGAAUCAUUGGGAGGUUGAGAGACACCUGCCAUUGAAAAAUUUCACGUAAAUACUACUUUUCUAACAGCAUCUUUAUAUUAAAAGAUCAACCAAGCUUACUCAAGUAUCCAACGAAGCUUCAAUGAGAGAACUACACUUCACAUUCACCUACAUGAUAUCAACAUCUAGCGUAUAAAUUUGGAACCUAUGACCAGAAACAAUUUAUCUCAUUUGAAAAUUUGGUGCAACAAACUUUUACAUGACCAAUUGUAGAAAACUUAUCUUCAUUAACCUAAUGUAAGCGUAACAGUGUGAUUCACUUACUAACUACUGUUCUUUUACACUGAAACUCCAACACAUUCACAAGCUUAGCCAUUGCUCUCAACAAUCCGUUCAGCAAGAAAGCAAGCAAACAAAUGAUCAUAGCUUAGCAUACAUAUUUAGCAUUAAAAAAGAAAAAAUUCUUUAUCCAAAAAUGUAGAAUUAAUUUUUACAUUAACACAAGCAAUUAAGCUUAAACUUGACAAAAGCAUAUAAUAAGUAAUUUACAUAACUUUAUACUUAAUCCUAACAACAUCAUCAUAAGCAUUAAUUCAACAGUCGCCAAGUUCAUCAUACACAAGAAACCGACAAGAAAUUUAACGGUAAAUAAUUUUUAAAGAUUAUCGGAAAGAAAAAAUAAUAAAGAAAAUAAAUAAAUAAAGUAUACCUCGAUGGACUUGUUAGGGUUUUGAUUGGUGGCAACGGCAGCAGCACCGAAAGUAGCCAUUAAUUUGCUAAUUUUUGAUCGUUUCGUGAUAUUUAGUUAGUGAGUGACAGAGCGAAAGAUUAUUUGUUGAUUCGGUGAUGAUUUUGAAAGAAGAGGGAAACCAAAAGUAAAAGAGAAAAGCUAUUUAUAGAGAGGACAGAGGAGAGAUGUAGUGGGUGUAGGUUAAGACUCUGCGCAUACCCCGCGUAGCGUCGUAUCAACGCCUGUUAACUGAACUGCGCAAUAACUACGACCAGCCAGCCAGGGCUUGAGUCGAGUCGGCGCUAGGAAUGGCAGAAAAGUGAGCGCCCGGCCCAGCCAGGCUUUGGCUCCACUUUUAGGUUUCGGGUCGGAUUAGGAGUUAAGGUGUUCGAAAUUGAGCCGGAUCGGGCUAGGUCUAGGGGUUUAUCAAGAAAGUCUGAGUCCGAUCCUUGAGCCCGGCAAUUAAAUAUUUUAAAAAAAUAUAUAGUUGUAUUGAGGUUGUACCUUUUUAAAUUGAGUUUAUUUAAUUAGGUUUUUAUUAAUAGAGCUUUUAUAAAUAGAGAUUUUAGGCAAAAAUUUUAAUUAUUUGGUUGUCAAUGUGAACUUUUAUUAAAAAUUAUAAAAUUACUUUAAUAUGCAAAUUUUUUAAAGUUAAGUUAUGAAAAUAAUGAAAUAAGAUUGUAAAAUAAGUAAAUGAUAUUUUAAACAUUUUAACAUUAAAAAAAAAAAUUUAACCCUUACUUCUAAAAGCUCAAAAUUUAAGAUUUUAAUAGUAGAGACCAAAUAUCUUAUUUAAUAUUGAAAAGUUCUACUAAAAAAAAUCAAACAAUAACAAAAAAUUUGAUUAGGAGCUUAUGGGAUUAAAUAAAUACUUAUAACCAGGCCGCAGCUACUUUGCGUCAUGGGUUUCAUACCCAAGUCAUUUGUCUUGUAGCAUGGUCACCGUUAGAUUUCAUCUCGUGGCUGCAGAAGAGACACACAGACGCAAGAGAGUAACCUGAGAUAAAUGUAAUGGGCCGGUAACACUGCAGGGAAUUAACUUUUUGACAAAAAAAACGCCUGUGGUGGUUGGAAGUUGUAACAGUAACGCAUGUAAAAUAAUUAAAAAAAGUGCAUGCAAGUAUUGGUUAAAAGCAAGAAGUUGGAAGCGUGCAAGUAUGGGUUGGGGUUAGAAUGAUUUGAAAAUUUCGAAAAUAGUGACGAAAACAUUUGGAAGUGGAUUUAAGGUAAUGAAUUGCGUGCUUGGUGGGAAAAAAAAUGCGAAAUAUCAACUGUAAUUUUAAAAGUAGCCUGGCAUGAAUUUACAGUUGAGUUAGUGUAUAAUUCGAUUUUGUGGGAAAUUUGCGUAUGAGUUGAGUAAAUGAAAACCAUAUAAAAAAAAUGUGAAGAAAAAUUAUGUAGCGUGUAAUAAUAAUAAUAAAUAAAUAAAUAAAUAAAAAAUAAAAAAAAUGAUCAGGCAAUGCAUUGCAAAAGUAAUUGGUGGGGAAAAAAGGGAAAAAUUCCAUUUAACCUGAAUAAUAUGUAAUUUUAAUUUUAUCCUUAGAGUUUAAAUAAUAGGCCAUGCCAUUUCCAAAUUUGAACAACAACAAUAAUAAUAAUAAAACUAGUAAUGGUUAAUAUUAUAAUUAUGACGACGACGACGAUGAUAAUUUGUGUAAUAAUAAUAAUUUUAAAAAUAGUAAAUCAUCAACCAAGAAAUGGAGGCUUUUUUGAGAUGACUGAUCAAUUAAAAGAGGAAAAAAAAAGAGAAAAAUAUCUUCGACACUCUAUUUUAACUAUUUUUUGUGACAGUCUCAAUUGUUUGUUGUAAGUAUAGAAACUAUGAGUUUUAUAGUUUGUUAGAGAAUAAGACCCUAAUAAAUUAGCAUAAUUAAAAAAUUCUGUAUUAGAUGGAUUGGAAAAGGAUUUAAGUCUGUAAAUCUGGAAAAAUUCGUGAAAUCAGGAGAAAUAGUAUAUAUUGAAUUAAAAAUAUAAAACUGAAAAAUAUAGCAAUGGUAGUGAGCCGUACAAAAAAAAUGUAAAAUUUAGAUAUAGUUAAAUUAACACAAUAUUAUAUCUAAUUUGAUAACAAUUCGAAAAAAAAUAAAAAAAUACGUAAAUAUAGCUUCGUAUACAUUAAGAAAUAAAAAGCAAAACAAAAAACAUAAGCUAAACAAAAAAUUUUGGCAUAUAACACCGAAGCUAUCCCCGACGGCAUGCACAAGGCAUAACUAUUUCACUUCACCAGUUAAAGUAAUUAAAUGUAAUAGCUAACUUUGUUUUGAAGCUUCUCGAGUUUCAUAAUUUUUUGCCGUUACACCGAAACUCUGAAGUUUGAACUUAGAAAUUGAUAAUUUUAGUUACAUUUGAUGUACUGAUCAAAACAAAUGAAAAUUUGUAUAUCGGUGUGUUAAAAUUGGGAAUUAUGAAUGUAUUAUCGUAGCUUAAUAUUAAUUAAUAUGUUGUUCAAUUAUGAUUUUAACUGGUAGUAAAGUUAAUUUUACAUUAGAAAAUUUAAUUGAAAAAAAAACAAUAUGAAUGAGAUAUUUGUUUAUAUAAAUACUGCGUAGAUUGGAUGGAAAAAAAAUUGCAUCUACAAAUCAAUCCGCCAAAUGAUGGAGUACAUAUGGAUUGGGUCUGAUUUGCAUCCGAUCCGUAAAAAUAUGAAUUGGAAUUCGAUUUAGUUUAAGUAAUCAGUGGAUUUGAUUUGAUUGAACAUAUUAAAAUUCAUAAAAUUGUGGAUCAUAUAUGGAUUGAUGUACAAUCCGCAAAAUCUGAGACGCGAACACCCGUAAAAGUGAACCUUCGUGUGCAGGGGGAUGUGGACCAACAUAUCCAAAUUAAAUGAACAAGAACAUGUGGUAAAGAACAAAGAUGAACGAUAUUGGCGGCGGAUGAGAAGAAUGAAGGCCUGAUUAUGUUGUAUAGUGACAGAUGCACCCCCCCCCCCCCGGCCGGAGGUGAUAAACAAUAUCAAUCGGACACCGAGAUGUGAAUCACAUGAAUGUCGGCAUCAAUAAGAAAAUUGUAACGCACGGGAUGCAAAAUGUCUCUCUACCCAUCAAUAAGGUAUGAAGGGUUAUUUAAAGUAAGAAUAAUACAGUUUCCUUUUCAAAUUAGAAGGUGAAAUUGCUGCCUCGUACCUAAAUAUGUUACAGGACUUUCGAAUCUUAUGUUCAUCUGGGAAGAUAAAAGGGUUAUGUUAGAAGGCAUAAAAGAUAGUUCCUUAGAAAACAGUAAUUUGAUAGGAGAAUGUCCCAUAAUCUAUUAAUGUAGGUUAAUAUUCAUUGUUGACAAUUUCAAAAUUAAGUAAUAGGAUAAUUAUAGCAGAAAUUAUUUAUUAAAAUAAAAAAUAAUGUAAUGUAUGCGAUGAGAUUAAAGUAAAUUUAUAGGAAUGAAAUUACAUGUUAGAUUUAAUUAAUAUGAAGAAAUAAGAUGACGACAGUAUGAGGAGAUGCUUUACAUCGGUACCGAAGCAUUUAGUAAAUAUAUAUGCAAUUGGAAAAUGGAAAAAUUGGUACAUGUUAAUUUGCGUGAUGAUAAUUUGCGUAAUAAUAACAACAAUAAAUUUAAAAAUAGUAAAUCAUCAACCAAGAAAUAGCAGCUUAAUUGAGAUGAAUGAUAAGUUAAAACAAUAAAAAAGAAAGAGAAAAAUAUAUUUGACACUAUUUUAUUUGUUGUAAGUAAUAGAAAAUAUGAGUUGUAUAGUUUGUUACAGAAGAAGCCCGAAUUAAAUUGUAAUAAUUAAAGAAGUAAUAAAAUUAUCUGACAUGUUAUUUAGGGUGCGUUUGGGAUUGAUGUGCUGUAUCUUUUAAGCUACAACUGCUGUGAAAAAAAAGCUGUAAUUAUGAAACAAAAGUUAAUAAUAUAUAGUAAAUAUAAAUUUUAAAUAAUAAUUUUGAUAAAAUUAUUAAAGAUAUAAUAGAUUUUGUAUUAUACAAGUGAAAAAUCAUAUCAAUAUAGCUUAAAAGCUACAGCAGCUAGUGUUUACCAAACACUUUAGUGCUGUAGCUUUUAAGCUACAGUUGUCCAACCUCAAUCCCAAACGCACCCUUAGUAGCCCUUAUUUGUUUCGUAUAAGAGUUUAAAGUAAUAGGUGUGAAAUAAAAAAUAAUAAUUUUAGUGUUCGAAAGAAAUUGUGUUGGAUAUAUGCAUCACUUUUAGUCAGUAUGUUUUAUUGUAAAUCUUAAUUUAUUAAGUAGAAAGCAUAUAAUUCUCAUAAUAUAAUAACACACAGAGAGUCUUCUAGGUGACACAACUUAAAAGUAAUUUUUAACUCUCAAGUAUAAGAGUGUCUUAUUAUAUUAUAUUUCGGUGACUUCGAGGUCGAUACACAAAAAAAGAUUUAUUUGUUUAUUUUACUUUUACUAAAAAUGGUUAGGGUUAUGGAUCCACCCUUAGUAGUAAAUAAAAUUUAAUAAAUUCUUUUCGCCAUUUUUUAUUUAGAUUUAUUGCCGAAAAGAUUAAUUAUAUAAAUUAUCAUUAUUUUCCUUUUAAUUUUAUGAUGGAUUAAGUAUUUAUUGUGCCAAAAUUUAAUUUGUCUACAAUAAAUGAAAAUAUCAUUUUGUCAUACCUUAUAUUAAGAAUUAAGAAUUUAUUGUGUCAAACUCCCUUGUUUGUCUACAAUAAAUCAAAAUUUCAACAUAUAAAAUAUGUAAAAAAUUAAAUAGAGUUUAUGUCCACUCACUUGGAGGGGAACAAGUGCUUAGUAAAAAAACACAUGUAGUAAAUUGAAAAUAUUUUUACGACUUAUGUGUUUAAACAAAUAACAAACUGAUGUAUGGAGUUGAGGUUGCAAGCGUUCCCCUUUGCCAUUGAAACUAGCUACAAAGGUCUUGAGCGUUCUGCCUUUUCCACCAAUAAAUGUAUUAUUGUUUUAGUUGGAGACGUUAGAGUUGGCACCCUAGUGCUACAGGUAAAAUAACAAUACUCUUAUUUCUUGUGUUUUCUUUGCUUGGCUCCAUUAAUAUUUUACACGAAUUACUUUUGUUUUAAAUUUUGUUGGUGGCCUGCUUUGGGUAUUCAUUGUGGCACUCUCAUUUUGUGGGUGAAUGAUUUUCAUAGUCUCGAUUUACUUGCAUUUAUUUUCAUGCAUGUUUUAUUGUUGGAUAUUCUAUAUUAUGGGGCAUUAUCUUGACCAAUGUUGAUGAUGAAGGACAUCUUUAUGGGGUCGCUGGAAGUUCUGGUGGUUAUGCAGAAACAGUAUUCAGACAUGCUGCCAAAACACUAUUUGGAAAAGUUAUUGAAGGCCAUCUAGAAUUUAAAACCAUCAGAAACUCUGAUUUCCGAGAGGUGGCUCUGGAAGUGGAGGGAAAAACAUUGUUGAAAUUUGCCCUAUGUUAUGGCUUCCAGAACCUGCAAAACAUUGUCAGGAGAGUGAAAAUGCGAAACUGUGAUUAUCACUUUGUGGAGGUCAUGGCAUGCCCUUCAGGUUGCAUGAAUGGUGGAGGUCAGGUCAAGCCUAAGCCAGGGCAAUCAUCGAAGGAGUUGAUUAAGACACUGGAAACCAUCUAUUUGGAAAAUGUAAUGGUAGCUGAUCCUUUCAAAAAUCCUCUGGUGAAAAGCUUGUAUGAUGAGUGGCUUGAGCAACCUGGUUCAGAGAAAGCUAAAAAGCACGUGCACACAGAAUAUUAUCCUGUGGUGAAAAGUAUCACCGCUCAGUUGCAUAAUUGGUGAAAGCAUUCACCAUCCCAACACUUGAUCGUAGACAAUUUUGGAACUUAAGAACUCUCUUCUUGUGCCCCAUGCCGUCUCCGAGUUGUUUUAGCAAAUUUCAGACAUGGCACCACAGCGAUACUGGCCAUUUUUUGUCAAUCAUGGGAUUGCAUUUGCAAGGAAGUCCAAUUUUGAUAGAGUAAACAUAUAUUUAUUUACUUCAAAGGUUUUCACUCAUGUACAUACUAUGUAUUAGAAAUGUUACAUAUAGAAGAAAGCAUUGAGGUAGGCACUGAUGCCUCAUGGCACUUAAUUUCAUUUCCUUGUAUCAUUUUUUCUUAGUUGAACAGUCCGAAUAAGAUUUCCUUUGCUCAAAAAAAAAAAAAAAAAGCUUCGGGGUUUCAAUACCCAAGUGAAUUAAUGAAACAUGUAUUGAAUAGCAAAGCUUACUCUCUCAUCUGCUGGGAUUGUAAAUAUCACAUUUACUGGGUAGAAAUUGAAGAAAACUCUUCUACAAUUUCAGCCGUAACCACCUAUAUCACAAAUUCUUCAAUUUAUUCAUAAACUAUUUUACCUUACCCUCCACAGAGUCUGCAGUUGACACACUAGCCAAAGUAAUUGUAGGCAGAACCCUCGCAUAUCAUACAUUCAAAACAAUUUAGACUCAUAAAUCAUAAUUCUUGAAUUUACCCCAACGGAAAAUGAAAUUACAAAAGAAAAGAACAAACAAAAUCAAUUAACAAUCAUAUAAACAAAACUCAGAAAAACAAAAUAAAUUAACAAUCAUACCAACAAAACCUAGAAAAAACAAAAUAAAUUAACAAUCACAUGAACAAAAUAGAUGCAGCACAAUUUACCAAAAUACAAACACUUGAACAUAGCUUAAUUUUAUUGGAAAGCAAUUCAAAAAGUCAAUUAAUUAAUACAAAUUGAAAUUCCGACCAGAUUUUUCAGCCCCCAAUUUAUUUGUUUAUUACGAUUUCACAAUAACGAACCGGACUUAAUUUGAUCCAAAUCGGAACUGAACCCGUCAUGUCGUGCAGGUUUUAUUUUUAUUUUUUAAAAAUCAUUAAGUCAGGGGAUGGGAAAAGGAAAAACCCUAGCCCCAAAUUAGCAAAGCAAGCCGCCCACUUCUGCAAACUCAGAACUCAAGUUGGCGCCUUACAUAGAUGCAGCACCACCACCGCCACCAUCACUAGGCGAAUCAAAGUAGAGACGAAGCGGCAGCAGCAGCAGCCGUCGAUUCUCAAUUACAGCAGCAACAGAGCAGAGACGCAAUUGCAAUAGCACACGGAGCCGAGAUGCAGCAGCAGCUUUCUCUCUCAACGCAGCAGCAGUAGCAGCUUUCUCUCUCAACGCAAUAGCUGAUUUUUCUUGAAGAACUGUGACAGUCAAUUGUGGAUGAAAUACAAGAGUAUUCACGAAGAGAGAGAGAGAGAGAGAAAAAGAGAGAGAGCUCUGCGAAAUUGGAUUGAAUUAUCUUUUUUGUUUUCGUUUUACUGGUAUUACAGCUUCAGCCGGUUACCCAUUUUCCAACCGUUAAAUCUCAGCCGUUAACUACCUUUGUUAACAAUCUAAGGAUUCAUUCGCUAAGAGACAAAUAACUGGGGUACCAAACCCAUGACGCAAGGUAGCUGGACCCCUUAUAACCAUUAGAUAAACCAUACCAAUCAGACUACUAAUUGCAUUGUGAUAAUUGAUAUUGUCUUUGUUUCUAUUCAAUUUUAUUUUAAUUUCAUGUAAUUUUAUUGUAUUAAGUGUCACUAUUACUCAUCAUUAAUUAGUGUUAUUUACUAUUAAUAACUUUUUUCCCCCUUUUUCAUCUUUUAGUCUUUCUUUCCAUGUGAAGGUUGCUUUUUCUUCCUUCUUUAUAAAGGUUAGUAUUUCCUUCCAUGUGAAGGCUAACUUUUCUUUCCUUGUGAAGAUUGGUUUCCAACUCAUUCAUAUUAUUUCAAAUCUCUACAAUAAAUAAAAACAUAUUAUUAAAAUAACUAUAAUAAUUCAUAUAUUUCAAUUUAUUAAAAUAUAAAAUAUUUUAAUAUUAUUAGUCUACUUCAUAGAUUACAUUAUUUAUAUAAUAUUUGUAUUUAUUAAAAAUUUUAAAGUCUAUUUUUUUAGAUAAUAGAGGUAAAUGGUAUAAUAAUCAAAAGGGGUCUUGGUGUCCUUUGACGAAAACUUAGAGGUGUUGGUGACCAUUUCCCAAAUCUUGGAAGUGUAGAUGUGCUUUUCCCCUUACUAAUAUGUAUUAUACAAUUAAGAGUCUACCGAUAGACUGCCUAUAUUAACUUAUUAUAGCACAACCUAGAUUUCUACCUCACGAAUAUUGGAAGGCUAUUUGUUCUACCUACAAAAUCAACUGAGAAAAUUCAUAUCUUUAUGUAAUUUUUAAUUAGGAGAGAAAAAUUUAAGAGGACUUGGGAGAGUUGCAGUUCAUCACUUAGCUAACUGCUGAGACGCAAGUUGGCAAGAAAAUACUGUUAAAGUUAGAUAAAUUAUGAACAACUAUAUUCAAUAUAAAAAUUGCACAAUACUAAUGAUUCAAAAUAAUUGACAAUAAAAACAUUAUUGGCACACAUACUAAAAGCUUUUAUUUGUUUAUUUGAGAGUUUUUCUUUUUCAUUUAUUUAAAAAGUAGAUUGGUGGAAAAAAUUCAAAUAAUUUUUUUUAGAAAUUUUUAAUUCUAAUUUUAUCAAUAGCUGAACUCAAGUUACAAUUGAAUAAAACUAUUUGAAAACCACUCAACUACGGUGUGGUUUAGGAAUUUAGGAAUUGAGAGUGUGGAGUGAGAGUGAAAAUAAGUUGUUUACUUACAUUGGAAGAAGAAUGUAGAAUAGGAGUCAGAAUCUCAUUUAUAUGUUUACUCUGAUUUGGACUGUGAGUGAAUUAUUUUAAAUUACACUUUUAUCCUUAUUUAAAAGAUUGUAGUUUCUAAUUACAACUGAAUAAAAAAUAUAUUUAUAAAAUAAACUAUUUAAUUUAUCAUUAAUUUUAAUUAUAUAAGUUACUAAUAAUUAUUAAUAUUCUUAAUUAUGGAAAUCAUAAUUUUUUAUUAAUUUUAAAUUUAAUUACAUAAAUUAAAAAUUAUUAUAAGAGCAAAACAAACGAAACAUUAUUAUUAAUAAUAUAAUACAAAAUUAUUAUUUUCUUAGAAUAAACCAUUUAUUAUUAUUAGCUAUCAAUAUUAAAUAAAUAUAAUAAUUUUAUUUUUCAAAUAAAGAUAGUAUAUUGUAAUAUUAUUAAUUCUCUAUGAAUAUAAUGAUAUUACUUUUAAAUAAUUUUGGCUUAGAUUACAUAAAUUAUUAUUUUUAACUAAAUAUAAUAAUAUUAUAUAAAUAAAUAUAAUGUUUUUAAUUUUAAAUAAUAUAAUAUUAUUUUAUUUUAAUAAAUAUAAAUUUUAUUAUAUUUCAUAAGGAAAAGAAGAUAUGUGAGAAUCCCACUCCUUACAAAAAAAAAAAGAGUGGGAUCUAUGGAGUGGGAGUUCCACUCUCCUCCUCACAUAAGAAAGAAAACAUACACUGAAAUAUGAAGAAUUAUAAAGGCCUGAAUUAAAUACAAUAUGAAUUACUAUUUUAAACAAACUACUCGGCCAGGCCACAAGGGCCCGAAACCUUUUUGGGCUCAUUUCUUAUAUGGGCUCAAAACUCAAGACUUCCAAGUGAACAAAUGGAAUAUGAUCAUGAAUCGCUAUGUAUCUAGCUUGGAGUUGGAAUCAUACACAAUCUUGCACAUAUUAAUUUACUAUGGCCUCACGGAGAUAUGUUGUGUAUGUAACUCAGAAGGACGUGUUUGGCUUUCAUUCGUCAAAGGAGGUCCGUACAAUCCUUUGUUUCCUUCAUAAGAAGUUGGUGAAAAUGAUUGGAGUUGAGUACUUGUCGGAAUCUUUCCCACUAAGUUAUUGUACGAGAGAUUUAGCACCGAUAGGAAAUUUAGGCUUGCAAGCUGGGAAGGAAUUUUUCCACUGAGGUUGUUCAUUGAGAGGUCCAAGGACUCAAUCUGUUUCAAGUUCCCAAAAGAUGAUGGUAUCGAGCCUGUGAGAGCAUUGUGCGACAUGUUCAGAGCAUAAAGUGAUUUGAAUUGUCCCAUUUCUUUUGGUAUUGGCCCUUCGAAAUUGUUGCUUGAAAAGUCAAUGGAAGUGAAUAUAUUUGGGACCUUCAGUAGCAUGAUCUCAACAUUUUUUACUGUAACUGUUACACUAACCUCAUAGAAUCGGUUGCUCGACAUAUCAUAUCCAAGAUGGUUGAGCUCAGAUCCGGAUUUGGUUUCAGUAACCAUCAUUUUCUCCAUCGUAAGUAACCAUUUUUGCGAUAGUCUUCCGCUGAAUUUAUUGGAUGCUAAGUCGACUAUUUGAAGUAGAGGCCAGGAGACAUUAUGUCUUGGACAACUAAUGUGUCUGGAGAAGUUGUUUGAUCGCAAAACUAGAACUUGCAAACGAGAAGCAUUCCUUAACCAGCACGGGAAAUUAUCACUGAUAUGGUUAUUCCUGAGGUCUAAAACCUGCAGCAUAUUGCAAUUGGCAAGAGAUUUUGGUACCACUCCUUGUAGUUGAUUUCUACUGAGAUCUAGAAUUUGCAACCUACAAUUUCUUGGAAAUAUUGUGUCAGAAAGAAUGCCAUUGAGGUUGUUUCUCCCUAAAUUUAAAACCCCUAGAGUGUUGCUACUGUUGGUGAUUAAACAUGUAGGAAUUGUGCCACUCAAAUUGUUGUUUGAUAAGCCAAGAACUUGAAAAUAGGUAGCCUUGCAUACAGAUUCCGGGAUGACUCCAACGAGACUAUUGUUUGCAGUGAAAAAGUAUUCGGUUUCAGACAUGAAAUUACCAAUGUCAGCUGGGAUGGAAGUAAAAUUAUUGUUGGAGUAAUCGACGUAGGAAGGACUUGGUGACAUGUGAGGGAUAUUUCCUCGGAGCUGGUUGGAGUGCAGGUCAAGCAAGCGGAUACCAGAAAUAGAGUAAGGUUUGUUUGGGAGGGAUACUGUUUGGGACAAAUGCGUCGAAGGGACCAGGAAUGACGAGCAGACAUCUGAUGGCGGAGUUCUGCGAACCGGUGUGUUCCGUUAAAGCCUGGCGCGUGGAAGAACAGGAGCAGAAACAUCCUGCUCGUCCACGAUGUUGUCGUCCGCGAGGCCAAUUCCUAUAAAAGGCAUGAGGCCAUUCCGGCUAGAGAUCGAGAGGCGAGGAGACCCGGUCGACGGCAGUUGGCAAGACGUGCUCUCCAGCACGAGAAUCUAGGCACAACAGCCACGCUUUCCCCAGAACCGCGACGUAACACGCAAGGUCUCACAGAGCCGUGGCAGCCACGCUUUCCCCAGAACCGUGGCGUAACACGCAAGGUCUCACAGAGCCGUGCCAGCCACGCUUUCCCCUGAACCGUGGCGUAACACGCUAGAUCCCAUGUUUUGCCCAUAACGCAGCAGUUGGAGUCCCAUACCGUCUCGAAAAGAGCGGAAGACUGAGAUUCAGAGGAAGCCUAUAAAAAGGUAGCCAACGAAGGUAAAAGGGUUGGCAUUCUUGAGAAAAGGGGAGAAAACCACAAGAAACGCCAUAAGACCUGUGGCAAGCUUUUCCCGAACCUUCAUAUCUGACUUGAGCGUCGGAGGGUUUGCGCCGGGAAAACAACCGGCGUACUCUGACUUAUCUGUGUACGCAGGGACCUCCGGAGAAGAAGCCUGGCGAGGAGACCUCCUGGUAGUGACGAAGUUGAUCGAGCAGAGAUCCUGAUCGUAGAACGAGGAGAACCGGAAUCUCGCAUCAACAUUUUGGCGCCGUCUGUGGGGAUCCAGAGCAAAAAGCUUCUGUUGAUAGCAAGAAGAGGGGGGGAGUAAGCGAAAGGCAAUGGAGAUAGGAGGAAGUAGCGCACAAGAGGGUGACAUAAGGCUUAACGAUUCCGUGACGCUGAGGGAGGUAAUCAGCGAAGCACGGGAAAAAGUCAUGUUCGACCGGAUGGAGCGAAUGAAAAAGCAGAUGGAAACCUUGACAACCAUCCUGCAUGAGCUGCGGAACGAGCGAAGGGUAACCCAAGAGGGAAGGGUGAGAGGCGGUGGAGCGGCACCAGGUACCGAUAGUGCGGAGAGAAGUCAAACCGCUGGGAGAUUUGGUGGUGAGAGAGGUAACGUACCUCUGCGAGGAGAAUUUCAUAGAGAAAGAGAGCAGUCCCCGGUAAGACAGACUUGUGACGGGGGCGACGGGGUGGUGAAUGCAGAGGAAACAGAACUGAGGCAACACUUACAUGAUGUAGAGCGAGAGCGGGAUCAAGCUGCAGCGCGCGACCCUGGUCGCGCAGGACAGCUGGAGGAGGAAGUGCGAAGGCUAGCGCAAAUAAUUGAUGACAUGCAAGGGAGGAACAAAGCCCCUGGUUGGAGGAUAAUGCUGGACGGGGAAUCACCGCUCGCAGCAGAGAUCAUGAGGGCAGUUAUUCCGAGAGAUUUCCGCCUCCCCGACCUCAGAUACUCGGGAAGAACUGACCCGCUGAUGCACAUGGAGCGCUUCAACGACAUAACGGGGGUACAGGGAUUAUCUCCAUCCCAAAGGUGCAGGGUGUUCCCACUAUCCCUUGAGGGACGUGCACGAGAAUGGUACAGGAAACUUCCUCGGGGCAGCAUAAAAACCUUCGAGCAGAUGUGCCAGGAAUUCGCAGAGCAGUUUAGUGGGGCAAUGUCACCGGAAGAUGACAUGAUGGAGCUGAAGAGCAUGAAACAGGGGGAGCAAGAAACCCUUCGGGAAUUCAUCAAGAGGUUUCAUCGGGCUGUCCUCGACUUGGGAGCCUUCAACCACCCUCAGGCAUUAAGGGGACUGAAAGAAGGGGUGAAGAUAGGAAGGCUGUGGUACAAUUUGAGAAGCCCAGCUAUUCAAACGUAUGCAGCCGCAUACGAACAGGCUAAAAGAGACAUCGAGAUUGAGGAGGAGAAGGCUGCACGGAUCAAGACAGACCAAUUGGAAGGGUUAGGGAGGAGAGAGAAGAAAGCAUUACCAACUAAUGGGCCGAUCAGGAGGAGGGACCACCAGAUCUCCGGUAGUGGAGCAGGAGGUAGGGUAAUUGCUUACCAGCCUCAUCAGAGGCCGCCACAGUAUCAGCGCAGCAGGGCGCCACCUCCUCGUUCCCCAGCUAGGGAGCCUUGGAGAAGACAUGAUCCGGCAUCCGGCGAUCUUCAUCAACAUUCCCACGGUAGCAGGACGAGCAGACCAGAAGCACUCCCACCGCCCCCAACUCACAGUGGGGCAAACAGAGAAAGAGCAGUGCAUCUGGUCGACCAGAACCAGGACUAUGGGCGGUACACUCCCUUGAAGAUGCCCCUGGAUGAGGUGUACGAGGCCAUAAAGGGUCGAGGGCUGCUGCACUCCCUACACCAAUAACAAAGCUACCCAACAGGAGGGAUAGAGGACGUUAUUGUAAGUUCCAUGGCACCCAUGGCCAUACCACAGCAGAGUGUAGAGAUCUCAAGACCCAGGUCGAAGAUUUGGUGAGAAAUCGGUACCUGGAUGAGUUUAUGGAUGGGACUUUCCCGAUGGUGGCCACAACGGAUGAAGGGGAGCAGAGUGAAGGAAUCUUGAGACGCGAGCCGCCCGCAGCGAGGGUGAUAGCUGGGGGCCCAACGUUGGCCGGAGAUUCGAACAGAUCGAGAAAAAAUUAUGCCAGAUACGCCAUGACCAGUAAAGAGAUACUCUUCAACACCCCAGCAGCCAAACGAGCAAGGGUCAGGCAAGUGCCAAUCAUGUGGACGGAUGAGGAUGAGGAAUGGAUUCUAUACCCCCACGAGGACGCUUUAGUCAUCAAGGCUACGAUCGCUAGCAAGAAGUUUGACCGGAUACUGGUUGAUACGGGGAGCUCAGUUGAUGUGCUAUUUAAAUCAACUUUGGAAGAAAUGGGAAUAGCCGACCGGAAGUUGGAAUACACCAACACCUCCUUGAAGGGGUUCGGAGGAGGGAAGCUGGUCCCUCUGGGCGUGGUCGAACUGCCUAUCACAAUCGGGGGCCCCCCGACAGAAAGAACAAUGAUACUGGACUUCGUCGUAGUGGACGAGGAAGGUCCUUACCAGAUGAUCCUAGGUCGGCCAUUUUUAAGGAUGAGCAAAGCGGUGCUGUCCAACCAUUAUCUGGCUCUGAAGUACCGGGUGAAUGGGGUAGUCGGAGUGGUACGAGGAGACCAGAGGAUCGCAAGAAGCUGCUACUCCUCGGCAGCAAGGGAGGCGAUGCAGAUAACAUCCCUCGAUACCCGAGUGGAAAACAAGACUGGCAGACAAGAACCCGUAGAGGAUCUGGAAACAGUGAGCAUGGGACCAGAGAACCCGGGAAAGACGAUCAGAAUCGGGUCGAGACUUGAGGGAGAGCAAAAGCAGGAGUUGGUGAAAUGCUUACAGGCUCACGCCGACGUGUUUGCCUGGACACAUGAGGACAUGCCAGGGAUUGACCCAGAGGUAGCAUGUCAUAGGCUGGCAAUAAAGAAAGGUGCUCGGGCAGUAAGGCAGAAGAGGAGGUGCUUCAACCAGGAGAGGUAUGAGGCUGUAAAUGAUGAGGUGGAGAAGCUUCUGAGAGCGGGGUUCAUUCGGGAAGUCAAUUACCCGGAGUGGAUAUCAAAUGUGGUGUUGGUAAAGAAGGCAAACGGCAAGUGGAGGAUGUGUGUGGAUUUCACAGACCUCAAUAAGGCGUGCCCAAAAGACAGCUUCCCUUUACCAAAGAUCGAUCAGCUAGUAGAUUCAACGGCUGGACAUGGUCUGCUUAGCUUCAUGGACGCAUUCUCGGGAUACAACCAGAUCCCCAUGUACGAGCCGGAUGAGGAGAGCACGGCUUUCAUCACUAACCAAGGUCUGUUCUGUUACAGGGUGAUGCCAUUCGGUCUCAAGAAUGCUGGGGCCACCUAUCAAAGGCUGGUGAAUAAAGUCUUUAAGCCCUUGAUCGGGAAAACCAUGGAGGUGUACGUGGACGACAUGAUCACCAAGUCCAAAAUCCCGAAGGAACAUGUCAGACAUCUCGAAGAGACGUUCGAGCUUUUGAGGAAGUAUAAGAUGAAGCUUAACCCGGAGAAGUGUGCUUUUGGGGUCGAGUCAGGGAAAUUCCUGGGAUUCAUGGUGAGCCAUAGGGGGAUUGAAGCAAAUCCCGAGAAGAUCCAGGCGAUUGUGCAAAUGACGUCUCCUCGAAACCUGAAGGAGAUGCAGAGCCUCACGGGGAGGCUGGCGGCGUUGAGCAGAUUCAUAUCCAAGGCUACAGAUAAGUGUCAGCCAUUCUUUCAAGUGAUAAGGAGGGGAAAGAAAACGGAAUGGACCCCAGAAUGCGAGGAAGCCUUCCGGAACUUGAAGCAUUACUUGCAGCAAGCCCCGCUACUGUCCACACCGAGGGAUGGGGACAAGUUGAAUCUGUAUUUGGCGGUAUCUGAUCGGGCCGCCAGUUCCGUUCUAGUGAGAGAGGAAGAAGGAAUUCAGUAUCCGAUAUACUACACCAGCAAGGCCCUGCUCGACGCUGAGACCAGAUACCCAACGACGGAGAAAUGGGCACUGGCCCUUGUGGUUGCUGCUCGGAAGUUGAGGCCGUACUUUCAAGCAUUCCCGGUCUCGGUAAUCACCAACCAGCCAUUGCGUCAAAUUCUGCACAAGCCGGAUGCCUCUGGUCGGCUCGUCAAAUGGGCUGUAGAGCUGAGCGAAUUCGACUUAGACUAUAAACCCCGCGCGGCGAUAAAGGCCCAGGCAAUGGCCGAUUUCGUAGCUGAGUUCGCGGAGCCCGAAGUAUGCUUGGGUCAGCAAGAUGCAGAUGUAGGCAACGACGAAACUCAAGUAUGGCAGAUAUCUGUGGAUGGGUCAUCAGGAGAGCGGGGUUCAGGAGCAGGGAUUGUCCUGGAAGGCCCAGAGGGGGAGGAGAUCUCUUAUGCUGUAAAGUUGGAAUUUGCAGCCACAAAUAACCAGGCAGAAUAUGAAGCCUUGAUAGCAGGGCUGGAAUUGGCUAGGGCCGUGAAAGCGGACAGAGUUAAGAUCAGAACCGAUUCCCAGCUGGUUGCGAAUCAUGUCAGUGAAAGAUUCCAACCAAGAGAGGAGAAGAUGGAACAAUACCUAAGGAUAGUCAGGCAGAUGAUGGGGAAGUUCGAAGCAGUGGAGGUGAUACAAAUCCCCAGGGAGCAGAAUAGUCGAGCAGACAUUUUGGCUAGGAUGGCAGCCGUCGCCGACCCAAAAAUGCCAAAGUCGGUCCCCCUAGAAGUGAAGUCUCGCCCGAGUAUCGAGCAAAAUUUGGGGGUGUUGCGGAUAGAACAAAAAAGCUCGUGGAGGGACCCGAUAGUUUCAUACCUUAGAGACGGGGUCUUACCACCAGAUAAGCUACGGGCUCGGAAGAUUAGAGCUCAGGCCUCGAGAUACACGAUGAUCGAUGGGGUACUGUAUCGACGAGGAUAUACAUUACCGUUCCUUCGGUGUUUGGACGAUGACGACGCGGAUUACGUGCUGAGGGAAGUGCAUGAAGGAAUUUGUGGAAAUCAUUCUGGCGGGAGGUCCCUGGCCCACAAGGUUCUAAGGCAGGGAUAUUUCUGGCCGACGAUGCACCAGGAUGCGCAAAGGAAGACCAGGAGCUGUGCAAGCUGCCAGAGUUUUGCGAAUUUCUCUAACCAACCACCAGAGAAGCUCACCUCCAUGGCCUCCCCUUGGCCAUUCGCUCAAUGGGGAAUUGAUCUGAUCGGCCCAUUGCCAAAGGGACGAGGAGCAGCAACACAUGCGAUAGUCGCUAUAGAUUACUUCACGAAGUGGAUAGAGGUAGAAGCCCUUAGCAGGAUCACAGAGAAGAAAACAACAGACUUCGUGUGGAGAAACCUGGUCUGUCGAUACGGGAUCCCAUAUGCCUUGGUAACGGAUAAUGGCAGGCAGUUCGAUAAUCACAGCUUCAGGGAUUUCUGCCAGAACCUCGGGAUAGAGCUGAAGUAUUGCUCGCCUGCUCACCCUCAAUCGAAUGGACAAGUAGAAGCAGCCAACAAGACAGUCAAGAGGCUUCUGAAAACCAGGCUCGGAGCAAAAAAGGGUGCGUGGGUUGACGAGCUGUCAGGUGUGCUAUGGGCAUACAGAACAACCCACAAAACCGCAACGGGGGAGACACCGUUCGCUUUGGCUUUCGGACAUGAAGCGGUCGUGCCGGCUGAGGUAGGAACGACCACACACCGGACAGAUCAUUUCAAUGAACAGGAGAACGACGAGCAGAUAUGUUUGAAUCUUGAUCUGCUAAUGGAGAGGAGGGAACAAGCAGCCGAGCGAUCAGUCACUUACCAACAGAGGGUUGCUCGGUAUUAUAACCGGAAGGUGAACAUACGGCAAUUCAGGGUCGGAGACUGGGUACUGAGAAGAGUGAAUCAGAGCACCAAAGAUUCGACUCAAGGAGUGCUGGGACCGAAUUGGGAAGGGCCGUAUAGAGUCAAGCAGAUAGCGGGGCCCGGAGCUUACAAGCUGGUUCGCGCGGACGGCCACGAAGUGAAACGCCCAUGGAACGCAGCACACCUCCGAAAAUACUUCCAGUAAGACUUGCUCACAUUUUAAAGCAAUUUCUGCUCAUGCUGUCUAUCUUUUAUUUUUAUGUUUUAUGUCCGAACAAUUUCAUGUAAGUCAAAUCCUGCCAUUAAUGUAACGUCGACGAAUUUUAUUCGCUUGAAACCGAAAAAAAUCCUAAGGUAUGCAAAGGCUCGCCAAGUCUCAGAGCCUGUCUUAUGGCGAGACAGAAGCCAAGCAUGCCAGGAUCUGCUCGGCCACGAGAAGGCAGCAGAAUCCAAAUCGUUUGAAGAAAAUCCUGAGGCAUGCAAAGGCUCGCCAAGUCUCAGAGCCUGUCUUAUGGCGAGACAGAAGCCAAGCAUGCCAGGAUCUGCUCGGCCACGAGAAGGCAGCAGAAUCCAAAUCGUUUGAAGAAAAUCCUAAGGCAUGCAAAGGCUCGCCAAGUCUCAGAGCCUGUCUUAUGGCGAGACAGAAGCCAAGCAUGCCAGGAUCUGCUCGGCCACGAGAAGGCAGCAGAAUCCAAAUCGUUUGAAGAAAAUCCUAAGGCAGGCAAAGGCUCGCCAAGUCUCAGAGCCUGUCUUAUGGCGAGACAGAAGCCAAGCAUGCCAGGAUCUGCUCGGCCACGAGAAGGCAGCAGAAUCCAAAUCGUUUGAAGAAAAUCCUAAGGCAUGCAAAGGCUCGCCAAGUCUCAGAGCCUGUCUUAUGGCGAGACAGAAGCCAAGCAUGCCAGGAUCUGCUCGGCCACGAGAAGGCAGCAGAAUCCAAAUCGUUUGAAGAAAAUCCUGAGGCAUGCAAAGGCUCGCCAAGUCUCAAAGCCUGUCUUAUGGCGAGACAGAAGCCAAGCAUGCCAGGAUCUGCUCGGCCACGAGAAGGCAGCAGAAUCCAAAUCGUUUGAAGAAAAUCCUGAGGCAUGCAAAGGCUCGCCAAGUCUCAAAGCCUGUCUUAUGGCGAGACAGAAGCCAAGCAUGCCAGGAUCUGCUCGGCCACGAGAAGGCAGCAGAAUCCCAAUCCUCGAAAAACUCAAGGCACGCAAAGGCUCACCGAGUCUCAAAGCCUGUCUUAUGGCGAGACAGAAGCCAAGCAUGGCGGGAUCUGCUCGACCGCGUAAAGGCGAGCAGAAUCCCGAACAUCGAAAAAUUUUCUAAGGCAGGUGGCGAAACCAUAUACCAAGCCAUAGCCAGCUCGACCAGACGAGGACGAGCAGGCUCUCGUAAUUACCACACAAGAGAGUAAUCAAAAACAUUUCUAUUAAUUUGUUAAUAAUUAACAAAGCAGAUAAUCUUCACAAACAUUGUUCAUUACAAUACAAGAAACAUAUCAGGAAGGUCGUGGAUCAGUAAGCCCAGCAGCGUCGGUUGGCUGGACCUCCUCAGGUGCAGGAGGAGUAUCACCAGUCGCAUCCAGAGGGGCGCUCGCCUCGCCAACAUCAGCAGGGACUGCACGAGGAGGAGAGUCUCCCUCCUCAAUCACGAUCGGCUCUGCCCCUUCGGCAUCUUCCUUGGCCGCCUCCUCGUCCAUAUGUUGAGCAACACCAGCUGCAAGGUCAUCCAUCUUCAUAUCAGGGUGUUGCUUCCCGAGGACGGCCAUGAUACAACGAUAGGAAUGCCGAAGUCCCUGGUCGUACUGGUUGUCGGCCUCCCUCUCCAAGUUCUCUAUAUGAGCUCGGUGGGAAUCGCGGAGAGAUUCGAGCUGAGCCUCAUACAUAGCCCUCUGCCCUUGGAGAUCCUCCUUAACCUUGGUCAGCUCCUCCUCGAGGGUAAUGGCUUUUGCUUGAGCAAGGGACUCUUGCUCUAUCAGCUUGAGGUUCUCAACGUUUAGCUCCCCCGCUUUUUUCUCGGCAACGUCAGCUCUGGUCGUCGCCGAUUGAAUGUCCUCCUUCAUCUUCCUGUCGUAACGGCCAACCUUGGCCUUAUAGUAGGUGGCCAUGCAGCUGAGAUGGAAAGCACUAUACUGCAUGGCUCCCACCAGCUCGCCCAGGGUACAACCGUCAAAGCCCUCCAGGUCCUUCUUGCUCACGAGUUUAGACAACUCAUUGAGAUAGGGAACCAAGUGUUCUGGUCGGCUGUCGGGUAAGCGAGACCGAGGCACAACAGGUGGAGAAGAGGAAGCAGGAUCAGUGGCUGCUCUACUGGAUUCCCCGACUUUAGCAGAGGCAGGAGGGAGAGCCUGCAAGGGAGGAACCUGCUGCACGAUGUUCUUUCGCUUCGCAGCGGGAGCAUCUUUGUCCUGGUCCCUAUCGGUUGUUGGAGGCCGAGAGCGUUUCCUGGUCAGAGCUCCAAUCACUGCGUCCUCCAUCUCAUGGCCAGGAAGUAUCAACCGAGACUCGAGGAAGUUGUAUGUAGAUAGCAGUUCUCGGCUCGAGCAGGAAUUGGCCAAUACAGCCUCGACCCGUUUAAGCUGACCAGGUCGGAGCGGGAAGUGAACACCCCAGGAAACUACAGCACAAACGGACACUUGGUUAGAGACAAACCAAUGCAGCAGGAACAAUUAUGGAUACAAGACAUCUAAAGCGAGCAGGCAACCUGGGACCGUGAAACGGGGUGGGACGCGACAAUCCUUCCCGUCUAUUUGUGCAACUUGACCCCAGGGACCCCCAGCAAAAAAGAAUUUCCUCUUCCAAGUCCCACCACCACCAGUUGGAAGAUCAGUUAUGGGUUUCCUGCUCUUGGUACCAGAUUGGAAGUAGUACCAGCCGGCAUCUUUAGGGCUGCUCUUCAGCUGGUACAGGUGCUUCACCUCAUCAACCGUGGGCUCGCUUUGGCAACAUCUGUCCCACAAUAUGAACAGACCAGAGAGCACUCUCCACCCGUUGGGGUUCAGCUGACCAGGAGCCAGAUUUAGCCCGUUAAGUAUCCGGGCAAAGUAAGGCUGCAAGGGACACCUCAGCCCAUACUUAAAGCUCUCCAGAUACAGGGUAACGUAUCCCCUGGGAGGCCGGCUAGGUGUAUCCUUCUUUCCUGGGAUCUUAAGAGGUAUCUCACCAGGAAUACUAUACCUAAGUCGGAGGUCAUUGAGCUCGUCAAACGUGGUCGUACACGACAUGUAAUCAAUGGCAUAAUCACGCGACAAGGCUCUACCUCCUACUGUACCCCGUUCUUCUGGUCGUGAUGCUCCUGAUGGGGACGCCUCACCAGAAUCAUCCCCUUGACCCUCACUCAAGGUGUUCUCCGAUCCAGAAGAUCAUUCUUCAUCGCUACUGUCGCUCGAGGAGGUUGUUUGGGGAGACAUCCUCCUAGCGCUAGUACCAACACUAGACCUAAUGGGCUCUAAGGGGAUCCCGGGAUCAAAAGCAAAAUCAGCGGGCAGACUAGGCAAAAAACCUAGUUCGUCGUCACCAACCUCAACGACCUUCUCCUUACCCUUCGACAUAUCCUAAGUUCUAACCAAAACACCACCGCCAACUACAACCUCAAGCAAAGCAGAGAGAAAGGAAAUUACCUACAACUAACCAAUACCGAAAAAAAAUAGAAGAAAUACCUGAAGCAGGGACUCGGUCAGAGAGAGACAGGGAUGACAGCUUUGGCGCCGAGGUUCAUUCGCCGGAGAGACAAGAAUGGAGAAAAUGACGAGUUCGUGUUUGAAGAUUUUGGGUUUCCUUACUGAGAAGCAAACUCUUGGGCUGCCAGCAUUUAAUGACGCAUAUUCCGAGAAUCCCGUAACCGUCGGUUUGAAAUUCAAAUGGAGGGGGGGAUUUCUGCCACGUCACCUCGUCCGCGAUUAAAUGCGACAUGACUCCUGGCAGCCUUUUCCAAACCCACGCGAGCGAGUACUAUCGAGUUUCUACUGCUGGUCCACUACAUUAUCCAACACCAGAAACUGGGGGACCGGUGUUUGGGAGGGAUACUGUUUGGGACAAAUGCGUCGAAGGGACCAGGAAUGACGAGCAGACAUCUGAUGGCGGAGUUCUGCGAACCGGUGUGUUCCGUUAAAGCCUGGCGCGUGGAAGAACAGGAGCAGAAACAUCCUGCUCGUCCACGAUGUUGUCGUCCGCGAGGCCAAUUCCUAUAAAAGGCAUGAGGCCAUUCCGGCUAGAGAUCGAGAGGCGAGGAGACCCGGUCGACGGCAGUUGGCAAGACGUGCUCUCCAGCACGAGAAUCUAGGCACAACAGCCACGCUUUCCCUUGGCAAGACGUGCUCUCCAGCACGAGAAUCUAGGCACAACAGCCACGCUUUCCCCAGAACCGUGGCGUAACACGCAAGGUCUCACAGAGCCGUGGCAGCCACGCUUCCCCUGAACCGUGGCGUAACACGCUAGAUCCCAUGUUUUGCCCAUAACGCAGCAGUUGGAGUCCCAUACCGUCUCGAAAAGAGCGGAAGACUGAGAUUCAGAGGAAGCCUAUAAAAAGGUAGCCAACGAAGGUAAAAGGGUUGGCAUUCUUGAGAAAAGGGGAGAAAACCACAAGAAACGCCAUAAGACCUGUGGCAAGCUUUUCCCGAACCUUCAUAUCUGACUUGAGCGUCGGAGGGUUUGCGCCGGGAAAACAACCGGCGUACUCUGACUUAUCUGUGUACGCAGGGACCUCCGGAGAAGAAGCCUGGCGAGGAGACCUCCUGGUAGUGACGAAGUUGAUCGAGCAGAGAUCCUGAUCGUAGAACGAGGAGAACCGGAAUCUCGCAUCAACAAUUAUAUUAUGAUUAGGAUUUAGAUUGUGUGAAAGAUUUAAGUACCGAAGAUUGCCACUACCAACUUCCCAAAUCCAAUUUGGUAUUUCUCCAGAUAUUUGGUUAUUUGAAAUGUCCAAAACAGAAAGUUGUGAUUGGUUUUUUAGAAUAGGAAUGACCCGUGGUUUGCUUGAAGCCAGUCUCAAUCUGCUAAACUUAUUGGAAGAAAGAUCGAGGGUAUCAAGGUUUCUGAGUUCAAAGAAUAAUGAAAUGGGAACAGGCCCUUCUAAUCUGUUGCCACUUAAAUCAAGGUCAAACAAUACAGACGAGGACACAUUUGACAGUUCAGGAAGUUGGUUCUCAAACUGGUUGUUGGAGAGCCGAAGCAUCUCCAGAUUUGGAAGUAGAAACAGAGAUCUGGGAAUACUUCCAUUAAGUAAAUUGUGUGACAAGAGAACAAGAUUGAGAUUUACAAGUUGUUCCCAGAAGGUGGAUGAGAUCCCACCACUUAAAUUAUUGAACGAAAGGUCUAAGUAGUUGAGAUUUCUUGACUUGUGAAGAGAUGGGAUGCGACCAGAGAAAUGGUUAGAUGAGAAGUCCAUGUGAAAUAAUUGGGUAAGAUUAGCCAUUGAAGGGGGAAUUGGCCCUGUGAAAUUGCACCUUCUAACCUCUACCCUUGUCAAAAUUUCAAGAUUCCCAAUGGAAUCUGGUAGUGUGCCUGAGAAUCCCGUCCCAGAGAGGAUCAGGUUCCGAAGAGAAGAAUUCUUAGGAAAGUUUGGCAGAGAACCCUGAAGCAAUUGGUUAAUUGACAAGUCAAGAGUCUUAAGAGUAGGAACCUGCAAUAUCUUUUCUGGAAACUUCCCUUGCAACCCACACUCGCUGAGAUCCAAGGCCUUCAAAUUCGUCAGAUUGGCCAAAAAUUCUGUACCUGAGGAUAGACCAUAAUUGUAAUGCAAACGAAUCACGGAGAGUGACCGUAACUUUGCCAGGUAGUGAUUGAUUGGACCUGAAAGAUCACAGCCGGACAAGCUUAAAACUUGUAGAUUGGGCAGAAAUGAUAAAGCUUUGCACCAUUCAGCUCUGGAGGCGGACAAAUCUACUUGAUCCAGAUGUAGUUCUCUGAGCUCUGUUAAGUUCUGCAGAAGCAAGCUUAAGUUUGGGAUCUCAAUUCUCCCGGAAAAUCCUCUUGAGCGCUCACGGCCUGACAAAUCAAGAGUAACCAACCUUGUCAAGCUUGAAAUCUCAAUGGGAAUCUUCCCUGCGAAGCCACCCUGGGAAAGAUUCAGAUAAGUCAAAUUUGUCAGGUUGCCCAACCUGGAUGGUAUUUGAAAUCCGUCCAAGAAAGUGAAACCCAAAUUGAGGCUCUGCAGAUAUUGAAGAUUGAAAAGGCCAGUCGCAUUCUCAAGUCCGCCAAUGAUUGGUUCCCUGCUCAAGUCGAGACCAAUAACAUGACCAGCCUCAUCGCACCUUACACCGCUCCAAUCACAACAAUCAGAGCUUUGAUGACUACUCCACUGACUCAGUUUUGUAGAUGGAUAGACACUGUGAUUGCUUAAUAUGAAACUGUUCUUCAUUUGGAGUAACAACGAUUGUUGUUCGCUCUGACAUUGGCCAGAAACCAAAACCAUUUGGAUCCCAAAAUAAUUGGCUAAAAAGGGUAUCAAGAAAGGCCAUGAUAAGAGUAAAAUUGGUCGCAUUGUUUUAAUAAUUGCUGAAAUGAAACUCGUAGAGGAGUGAUGAAACUUGGGAGUUGCGAUGAAUUCAUUUAAUAGGAAAAAGGUCGCCGAAGUUCCCUAGAAGUUACACCCCCAACGUAUAAACUGGGAGCUAGAAGACUACAAAAGUUCAAACCAAUUAAUGUUGCCAAGACUUGGGAGAAAAAAAAUAAGAAAAGAAAAUUGGAUCUUUUGGUUAAAUGCCUGCAUCAAAUACAGGAAUCUUCCAUUUCCAUAGGUCCAAAAUUACGACAAUAAAAAGUUAGUGGGAGACCCGCGCAUAAAACUAUAGAAGUAAGUCACUUAAAACUUGGUUGGGCUCAUUUCUUUUAGCAUUGUCUUUCGUUGUAUACUAUGAAUAAAUAUCUUGUUAAUUUUUAUGAAUAAAUAACUUCUUUGAAAAAAAAAGGGGUACUCUAUGCACAAAUACUAAAUUUGAAAAAUUAAUUUUUAUUUUGUACACUCUUUAAGAUGCCAAAAGUAUCCCUAUUGGGCUCAUUUCUUUUAGCAUUGUCUUUCGUUGUAUACUAUGAAUAAAUAUCUUGUUAAUUUUUAUGAAUAAAUAACUUCUUUGAAAAAAAAAGGGGUACUCUAUGCACAAAUACUAAAUUUGAAAAAUUAAUUUUUAUUUUGUACACUCUUUAAGAUGCCAAAAGUAUCCCUACUUAAAUCAUUUAAAUAAACCAAAUUGUAAGAAGAAGAAGAAGAAGAAGAAGAUGCUGACUAGGUUAUUAGGUUUAGAGUGCUUUAGUUAAUUUAUUUUUAAAUUAAAGAUAAAAAAAGAACACCUUUGCAAUAAUUUCGGUUUAGGUUAUUAGGUUUAGAGUGCUUUAGUUAAUUUAUUUUUAAAUUAAAGACAAAAAAAGAACACCUUUGCAAUAAUUUCGGUUUAUUUUAUUUCUAGAAAAAUGUAAGUCUUACAAAUAUUUUAUCUUCAAAAUUAUUUAAAAAUUGAUUUGAUGCAUGUUCAAUGAAUUAUAUUUUAAGAUGUUAGAUAUAAAAGAUUAUAUGUUAAAUAAUGAGUGUAUUAUAUGAGUUUUAAGUAAUUAAGUUGUAUUGGCUCAUUAAUAAAUAAAUCUUAAUAGUAAUUUAUAUGAUGAUUAAUUUUGUAAUUAAAUUAUUUUAUUAAAACCAGAGUGCUCAGAGUAGUUUUUAAGGUGGAAAUAGCCUAUAUCUUAUUGCAACUAAAAUUUAGCAUGAACUCUUAGAGAUCAUCUAUGAAUAUUGCCCGUACAAUAUAUAUCUACGGUGGCACUAGUUUAGAGGUGAAUAUUGUCUCAAUGACAGAAGGUAAAGGCCCUUAUUUGAAAUUCUUGUUAAUUAUUUUAUUAACUUUGUCAAACAGAGAGAAGAAAAGAAAUCUCAAACAAAUAAGACAUUCUGUAUGUUUGGCAUACUUCAUCUAAUGGAUAUAAAUACUUAUUUAAUUAUAUAAACUCUUUUAAGAUUUAUUGUUAUUGUUUGGAUUUUUUUUAGUAGAGCUUUUGAAAAUUAAAUAAGAUAUUUUUUCUCUACCAGUUAAAACUCAAAAUUUGGAAUUUUGGGAGUAAAUGUUCAAAAAAUUAUUUUUAAGAAUGUUAAAACAUCUAAAAUAUCAUUUAUUUAUUCGAUAAUUUUAUUUCAUUCAUUUUAUAAUAUAAUUUUAAAAAACGUGCUUAUUAAAUAAUUUUUUAAUUUUUAAUAAAAGCUUCCAUUGACAAACAAAUAACUAAAAUUAUUUUUAUAAAAACACUAUUUAUGAAAACUUUACUAAUAAAAACUCUAUUUAAUAAGCUAUAUUUGGAAAGCUAUACCAAAGUAAGCAUAAGAGAAAAUUAAAGCAAAAACUUUUAGGAUUAUUCAAAGCAAACUAAAAGUUUUUAGCUUUUAGGCGUAGACUUGGAAACUAAAUAAAAUAAUUUUGAAAUGAGGGAUAGGAUUUUGAAGGGAAUGAGUUAGAAACAAGCACGAAUGGAAUCGUUGGGACCUAGUAAAUAUGUGAUUAUUACAAUGUUAUAAUUCUAUAAUUCAUAGGAAGAUAAGGGUAUUAAUUAAAAUUUAGUCCAUUUCUUUGGAAUCUCUAUCUAUAUAUGUUCUGAUCCUCUCACUCCAUCGUUUUACAAAUUGUUGAUCUUGGCCUCCCCAAGUUCGUAGUUUCUUGAUUCUGAUCCCGUUGAACCAAAAUCAUGGCUCCAUGCAUCGCUGCUUAUAUUAAUUAGGAUUCUUUCUGCCUUUUCCAGUAUAUUAAUUCGCAUCAAACCCUAUUCAACCAAUAGAAAGCAGGGUCUUUAUUUAUUAUAAUAUCCAAUAAUUAAACAGAUUUACUUAAUUAAUCAGGUGAGGUUAAAUCUUGAAAUAAGUAUAAUAAAAAGAAUUAAUUUAGACUUUCACUAUUCAUCUACUAUAUUAAAAAAAAAUCUCAAAAUUGAUUGAAUGCAAUUCGUUUUCGCGUCAAACUCAACUUUGAUUUGCUUGCGGGACCCGUAGACUAGAAUUUUCAAAAACAAAAAUCCUUCUAAUAUCUAUUUUGUUAAUUCCAUUAUAUCUUUUUAAUAAAAGAUCUCCCUGUUCAACUGGUGUUUAAAGCUAGCUCUAUAUGUAUUGUUGAUCUUUCAUAUGUAAUGUAAGGAUCACAAUAGGACAUGGACCGAAAAUCCAAAGAUCAAUCAGAUUAUGAGAGUGAGUAUCCGCCACUUUACCCACUGCUUUCAGCUUCGGCGAAGCUCUCUGUGGAUUGGACCCACAUGUACAAAAUGAUAACCGUCUCUAGUUAAUUAAAAAGUGGUUAGUUUGAUUUGAUAGAUAAAAUUAAUCCUAUUCAUCAUAAUUUUGUUUAAUCUCUAUCUCAUAAUUAAUGGGUUCCUCGUAUAAAAUGUAUGGCUUGGUUGUGUCAUUACAAUUUUAUAUCCGAUCGCGCGUGUUUUUCCAUAGUAAUCUUGCUAUCGCUCUUUAAGGCACAUCGGCAGCCUCAGUAUUUCAUAUUUUUGUAAGAGGUAAUUAACUUAUAAUUCAAAAUAAAACAUAAAUUAUUAAUUUCAACGUCAAAUAUGGAGCUGUUCUUCAUCUAGAUUAAUAGCGAUUUUUGAUGGCCCUGACACUGGCCAGACGCCAAAACCAUAUGCAUCCCAAAAUAAUUGGCUAAAAAGGGUAUCAAGAAAAGCCAUGAUAAGAGUAAAAUUGAUCUCAUGAUUGGGUCUAAUAGUAGUGGAAAUGAAACUCAGAGAAGGAAUGGAACUUGCAAGUUGCAAUGUAUAUGUAAUAUAGCAGAGUAAAGACUUGAAAGCAGCCGAAGAGGACUUCAGGUCAGCAGAAAAGACUUGUAAGCACCGUGCGCUGAUUACUCACAUGGAUUUGAAAGAAGAGAAGAAUAGUAACAUGUUGUUGGACAAAGACAUGAAUCCUAAAUUAUUGGAUUUUGAAAUCAGGAUAAUUUUUUAAGGGAAUGAGUUAGGAGCAAACACUAAACAAUCAAAACCCGUGUAAUGCUAUUUGAACAAAGUGCAAAGUGGUGAUAAAAUCACCAUUCAAAUCAUGUCAUUUUUUUCGUUUUACUAACAACCAAAACAUAAUCGUUUUGAUAGUGAUUUUGGUGAUCAUCCUUUUAUCCAAAAUCUCCUUCUCUCCUUAUUAUUUUAUUUUAUUUUUAAUAUAUAUUCACGUAGAAACAAAUAUGUUCUGGCACGAAUUUUGAUGGACAAAAUAAUUUUUCAUAAAUGAAAGAGGGAAUAUAUUAAGUAAGAGAGAGAAGAAUGAUCAAUAAUUUCGAUUCUUAUUAUAUGGAGAUCCACUACAUUAAUUUGUUAGUUUUUAAAACUUAAAAAAGGCAUGUCAACUUCAAUAUCAACUCUUGCUUAGCUUUAAUUUAGUUAUCAGAAUAUUGUGUAUAAAAUUUUAUUUAAAAAUGUCUCUCUGUAAUUAUAAUUAUAUAAUUCAUGGCAAGAUAAGGGCAUUAAUUGAAAUUUAGUUCAUUUCUUUGGACUCUACAUAUGUUCUUAUACUCUCACUCCCUCGGUUUACAAAUUGUUGAUUUUGGCCGCCCAAAGUUCGUAGUUUGUUGAUUCUGAUCCCAUUGAACGAAAAUAAUGGUUCCAUGCAUGGCUUUUUAUAUAUCAGAAUCGUGAUAGUAUCAGACCCGUUGAACCAAUAAAAAUCAGGGACAUUUCUCCAUAUAAUAUCUAUUAAUUAGUCUCAGGAGUUCAGCCCAGUAGUUUUCAAGUAUUCUUAUUAAGUUUGAAUUUGGAGAAAAUAGAAAAUAAAGAAUUGAUUUGAUCUUUGACCAUCCCUCCACUUUUUUUUUUUAAAAAAAAUCUAAUAAUUGACUGAAUGCAAUUCGUCCUCGCUUCAAAACCAACUUUGGUUUUUGCUUGCGGGACCUGUAGACUUUGAUAAGUCUUGUAAGGUUAGAGCAAACAUUUGAUAGUGAUUUUAUUGGUCUAAAGAAGAGCCAACUCAUGAUUGAAUUCGGUUCUCGCAUUAUUACAUUUAGUUAUAAUGACUGAUUGAAAGACACAUGCACGGUAUAAAAUGAACGGGAAAAGAAGGAUAACAGCUAGCACUCAAGAUUUUUGUGUACAAAUAUUAGAUCAGAGGAGUAAUUAUAACAACCUAACCCCAAAGUGUAUGAAUUAACUUACAUAAUCCUUGAAACCAUUUCCCAAAAAAGGACCUGAUAUACAUUAAAAUAAAAGUUAGCGCGCUUCUAAAAGUGAAAUCGUUACUUGGUUGAUUGAACAAUCUUCUGUCUUGCCGGUGGACGAAGUUGAAGUGACUGUAUUUCUUACAUACGAAAAGGCAGGUUGUUUCGGAGGAAGUAAUGCUGCAGCUUCAUUUGUCAGCAUGGAUACAACAUCAUUCGUCGUGGGUCUAUCAUCAGCACUUUCUUGUACACAAAGGAGUGCAAUGUUCACAUAUCUUAAAAGCACCUGCUUGGAGGAAUAUUCAUCUUCUAAUAUUGCAUCAGUCAACUCCAGGGUCCUGUUGCUUCUCCAUAGAUCCCAUGCCUAAACAACCAAACGACGUUAUUAGAUAGUUGUACACUCGAUAUAGAGAUUAGUUUAAACAUUCACAAAUUAGGUGCCAAAAUCCAACGAAUUUUUUUAGUGUUAUGAAUGUUUUUAAUAAUUUCGUAAAAGUGCGUGUCCUCACAUGAGGAUGACUUGGGAAUUAACAUAUAUUUUCACCUAAGUAAAAUAAAAGGAAUAUGUGCAACGGCUUUUGUUACUUACAUAUCCUAGCAGAUUUAGAGUGUCGGUUCGAUAAAAUCCAGUGUUUUUCUUGCCACUUACAAUCUCGAGCAACAAUACUCCAAAGCUAAACACAUCAAAUUUAAUUGAAAAUAUUCCUUCGAUUGCGUAUUCAGGGGACAUGUAACCACUGUAAUUCAACAACAACAAAAUAAUAAUCAGUAAUUCACGCAUAACUAAUUAAUCAUUUUCAUUUUGAUUUGCGUCAUUUGCUUACUAUGUCCCCACGAUCCUACUAGUGUUUGCUUGUAAUUCAUUUCCUCCACAAAUUCUUGCCAUUCCAAAAUCUGAUAUUUUGGGAUUCAUGUCUUUAUCCAACAAGAUGUUACUGGCUUUUAAAUCUCAAUGAAUAAUUCGCACUCUAGAAUAUCGAUGAAGAUAAAGAAGUCCUUGAACUAUCCCUUCAAUAAUCCGAGCACGUGUUAUCCAAUCUAAUAACGUUCGCUUGGUUGGAUCUAAUUUACAACAAAAGACUAAAUGUCAUUAUGCAUGAAAACCAAAAAUUGCAGACCACAUAAUUUGAUGUAAAUUGAUGUAGCAACUUAAUUGUUUUUUUAAUCUGAUAAUUCGAUGAUGUUAAUCAUUAAACUUAAAAAUUGAAAUAGAAAAUACUAAAUAUUCUUUUAGGUUAGGUUUGUUGCAAAAUAAAGGAUUGGAUUGGACUAGUUAUUAAGAUUGAAUUGGAUUGAAUUAGACUAAAUUAUUUUAUAGUAAUGUUUUGUGUUUGGUUUAGUGUUGGACCCACUCAUAUUAAAUUCAAUUAAAGGAAGUUAAAAAAAACUAUUUAAAAAGAAUGAUUGUUUCUUAAAGUUAUAUUGUUAAUUAUUGAAUAUUAUAUUAGAUAUUCAAUUUCAAGGUAAAUUAAUAAUUGAAUAAUUUUGAUAUAUAAUCUUAAAUUAAAUGCUAAAUGCUAUUUUAAAUAAACUAAUGAAUAAAAUUUGGAAAUGUAAUAUAAGCUAAAUUCUAGCUUAAAUAAAAUUUUGAUAAAUAAUUUCAUAUUAAAUAGUAGUUUAAACAAAUGUAUGAAUAAAAUUUGAAGUAAGGAAAAUGUAAGAAUAAGAAAAAAUUGCAAAACACUAACUAAAAAGAAAGAAGUCCAAGCUUUUGUUAGGCGUGUAUUCAUAGAUCAGAUUCUUCUCAUCUUUAUCUAUGCAGCAGCCCAAAAGUCUCACAAGAUUCUUGUGCUGAACCUUGGCUAUCACCGAAGCUUCAUUUUUCAUCUCUCGCAAUCCUUGUCCAGAUCUUCCUGAAAGCCUUUUCACAGCUAUCUCAUUUCCUUUUCUUAACACUCCCUGAAAACGGUAAAUUUAUAGUUCUGUUAAAAAUGAAAUUAUUGCUCCAAAGAAAAGGAUAUCUGUAGUACCUUAUAAACAGGUCCAAAGCCACCCUCUCCGAGCUUAUUUGCGUCGGAGAAUCUAUUCGUUGCAGUAGAAACACUGGAAAAACUGAAUAAGGGAAAUUGAUCAACUUCCUUCUUUUUGUUUCUUUUUGUCAGCUUACUGUUUACAGGAAGCUCUAUGUUAACGUUGUUGGCUUUCAGGUUCAAAUCCAAAUCAAACAUCAUCAAAUCCUCUCCUGAAGUGUGAAGAAACUAAAGCUUUAAUUACGAUAUGUAUAUGUAUGUUAGCAUAUUUGAGUACUCUCAAAAUCGUGCAAUUAAAUGAGAACUUUUACCUCUGCUUCUGGGCUUUCUCCUCACACAAUAGAAAUUCAAGCCUAAAGUGGCCACUGCUGCCAGAGUGAUCGACAAGGAUAACAAGACGAAAAAAGAAGCUGAAUCUACUCCUUUAGACAAACCAGAAAUGAAUGCUAAUAUCAAGAAGACAGCAGACACCAAGAGAACAACAAUAAUGAAGAUUGCAAAGCGCUCCAUUGAGAUCGAUCAAACGAUUGUUCCAAAUGUUGCGACGUGUAUAGUUCAUGUACUUAGAAAAAAGCCAAGAAGGACUUAAAUAUAAGACUAGUAAACAAUCCUAUGAUCAAAGGUAGUCAUAAAACAGUAAUUUAAUAAAUAUGUCACUAUUUAGAUUUAUGGAAGAGUGAUGAUACAUCAACAAACUCUUUUAUAAACUUAUUUUAUACAAACUAACGUGACAUUAAUUCAUUAAUUGAAUUAAAUAUUUCUUGGUCUGCAUGAUUUAUUUAUAUUAUUUUAUAUUUUUAUUCAACUAAUAAAUUAAUAUUACAUCAGUUUGUACAAGAUAAGUUUGUACAAUAGUAUGUGGUUAUAUCAUUACUUUUUAUAGAAUUACCGACAGAAACAUUUAAAUAUAAGACUUCUUCACGCACACGAAAACUCUAGUUUCCAAUGACGUGAACGGUCUACGAUGACAAUCGUUUUCUCUAAAUUGGCCACAAGCUCGUCAAUAUUUCAUAGAUAAUUAAUCUUCGGGAGUCGAUGCUAGAUUUUAGUUGUAGCGAGACAUUUUGUUUCAAAUUAUUAAGUGCAAGGUUGUCUAUGACCAACUCUACGCUAUAGAUAAUAGACUCAUGCAGUUCAUGAUCACUUAUAAGUUUAUAAGAGUAGAAAGUAGAAUCUAGAAGAUCAAACCGUAUGAAAGCACUUUUAUGCUUGUAUCUGCACCAAUGUUUUAUUUAGGGAUGACAAAAGGAUGGGGUGGGGGUGGGGAGGCCUACCCCAUUCCCCACCCUAUUAAAUUUUUUACCUCCAUUUUCUAAUAAAUUUAGUGGGUUAGGGAUGAGAAAUCUCUAUAUGAGAAAUGAUUUCACCAUCCUCACCCCAUUUCCUAUUUGCCUAUUUUAUAGUAAGUAUAAAUAUAUGAUUUCAGUAAAUUAAAUACUUAAAAUAAAAUCAUUACCAUAUUAUAAAGUAUUUAAAUUAUUUUAAAAAAAUCUCUAAAAGUUUGAAAUAAUAUCUUAAAAUGCUAUUGAAACUUAAAAAUGUUUGAAGAGAGCACCAUCUUAAAAGAGAAAAGAAAACAUAACAAUGUUUUAGAGUCGAAAAAGAAUUAUAUUGUAGGAUUUUCUUUUAUUUAUAUCAUGUUUAUAUUACAUAAAAAAAUAAUUAAUUGACAUUAUAGUUGAUAAAAAAAAUUAUUAAAUAAGAAUUAAAAAUAUAUUUAUAUAUAAUAGGAAUGGGGAUUGGGGUGGGGGUGGGGUGAGGAGUACAAAACCAAAUCCCACCUCGUUAAGAAUUUUGAGGAUUAUUUUGCCCCCCACUCCCACUCCAUUCCCCAAAAAUUAUUCAAAAUUUUUUCCAUUUGGGAUGGAGUUCCAUGGGGCUCCAAACCCGUGAAGAAUUUUGCCAUCUCUAGUUUUAUUGUCAAUUAUUGGCAUUUAACCAUAGCUUUCAAUUUUUUUCUCCAUUAUCCUUCUAAGUAAUUAGUUUGAACUUUUGUAGAGUGUCAAGCAAAAAUUGAUAGAUUAGGAUUCAGUAUGGAAUCAUUGGUCAAGAUUUAUUUUAUUUUUAAUAUUAUAUUUACUUGUCAAUAGUUCAACAGAAAGUAGCUCAGCACUGAAGUCUUAUUCAAAAUUUAAAUUAUGUUGUUCCAUUAAGCUAAAAAACAAUUCAAUUUCCUCCUCACAUAUUUUUUGGAACCUCAAACGUCUUACUUUUAAGAUCAAAAAAUAAAAAAUAAAAUUAACCAACUCAAUUAAUUAACACCCAAAUAAAAAAAAGGAUUAAUGAUAAAAAAAAAAUGAAAUGAACUUUAUCAUGUACUAUCCACACCAUCUCAUUCAUUUAAAUUUUAUCUACAAUCUCAUUCACUAUUUUCAUGCCACAAAAUUGGUGGUCGGUUGUUUUCCUGCAGACCAGAAGUCCUCCUCAGCUGCUUUAUAGUUAAUUUCUACUUCACCUCCCAACUUAUACGUUGGGGUGUACAUAAUUUCCUUGGGCCAUCUUUGUAAGAAAUAAUUAAUUAGAAAGUGAAAAGGACUUUAAGAUUUUUCUUCAGAACAUACAAAAUAAAUGAGGCUGAGAUUAAUAUUAAGUUUUGCAGGCGCGACAAAACGAAUAAAUGAAUCAAAUUUAAAUUGAAUCAUAAACAAAUUAAGUCAAAACUUUAUUGAUUCAGAUUUGAUUCAUUUAUUAAGCAAAUCUCAGGACUUGAAUUCGAUCUGUUUAUUAAACGAAUAUUCGAUUUGAUUAAUUUAAUUCGUUUAGUAAAACUAAUAAAUGAAUUGAAUCAAAUAUGAAUUUAUUUACUACUCAUUUAUUCUAUAAUGAAUCCAUAACGAAUCGAAUUACUACAUAUUCUGUCUUAUUAUAAUUUAUAAUUACUAUAAUAGCUUUGAAAUUUUAAAAUUUUUCAUACAUAUUUAAAGAAAAUAAAUAAUUUAAUCAAAUUAAUUUUAAAUAAAUGGAUUGUAUUUGAUUUGUUUAUGACAUAUUUAUUAAAUGAACCCUGAAUGAAUCAAUGAAUUAGUGUCUUAAAACCUGGAUUCAAUUUGUUUAACUAACGAAUUGUAUUGAAUUUAUCUAUUUAUUAAACGAAUUAAUUUUUUAAACUCAAACUCAUUUAAUUCACAUUAAAUUGAAUCGAAUAAACCUAGAUUGGCAUCCCUAGUCUAGCGUACCGACACAUAAACAUUGAUUCAUUAAUCGACCGAUUUGCUUUGAUAAUUUUUUGGGAAAAGAAUAACUAAAUAAGAUCUAUUGAAAUAGUCAUAGACUCCUUUUUAACAAUAUAUCACAAGUUAGAUACAAGACUUCUCCACCUAUAGAAGACUUUUAGUUUCCAAGUCUACACCUGUCAUGACUCACGAGAGAGUUCACAGUUGAUGGUGAAAGGGCCUGUAACUGUUAUUCGUUAUUGGUUUUGAGUCGAUCUUUAUCUUCAAAUUGGCACAUACUCAGAUAUAUACAGGCAAUUUCUAGUCAAUAUUUGCUAAACUUUUGUUGUAGCAGUAGAAAAUUAAGACUCAAUUUCAAAAAAUUCAAAUAAAAACCAGAAAAGACAGACAAAGUCCCAAAUUAAUUACCUAGUUAACUAUUGGUGAAGAAGUAUGACUGUUAGAGUGCAAUUUAUGCACUAGUUUUGCAUUGUUUACUUCCCUUAAUAUCGAUGUUUUGCACUUAAUAAUAAUGAUUUACUUGUGUUUUACUUUUGUAGGUGCAAUUCUAUUGAUUCAUGAUAAAAUUGAGUUAUAAGAUAAUGUUUAAAGAUGAUUGUUCUCUUGGAGAAAUUUAGAGAGCUAGAAGAACUUUGUUGAUAAGGCGUGGGCGCGUGCUGUCAACUGCGGACCUAUAAUUUUUAGUUUAACGUGUUUUGUAUUUUUAGUUAUUUUUGUAAUUACGAAUUUAAUAUUUUAGAUAUUAGUAUUUUAUUUUAAAUAGAACUCUAAAAGAGAAGAGAGAGAGAGUAUUUAAGGGAGGAAUCUAUUAUGAAAAAGGGGAUUUUGGAUUUGGAGAAAAAGAAAGAAACCCUAGAUCUAAACUUUUCUCUUCUCUCUAUGAAGAACUAAACCUAUUUUUCUGGUUGAAGGAUAAUGAAGCUUUGAUUCAUCACUACUGUGAGAUCUUUCUUAUACUUUAAUUGUUUUAUUGCUUUUUGGGUAUUUGUUUAUUCUCUGAAUUAGUUUCAUGAUUAUGUUUGUUAAUUAGGUAAUUGGCCACUAUUUAAUUAUCAACUUAAUUUAUUGUCAAUUAAAGGAUUCAUCGUAUGAAGAUUUUAAUGUUUGUGACAAAUAACAUAGCAGUGAGUUGUGUUAUGAGAAUAAACAAUCUAAUUUAAAUGAAUCAUCAUAUGUGUUGAUUAGGAUUUGGGUCUCUCUGGUUUUUCAGGCUGUCAAUUGAUUAAAUCAUAUGAUCGUAUCUAGGGUUGUCUAUUGAUUAGGGAAAUAUCCAACGGUCGUACCUUGGUUAUCGACUAGUUAAGGAGAGAUUGGCUAUUAGAGGGUCUCAAUAGCUAUAACCGGUCUAUUCAUAAGUAAUAAUAAUCUAUAUUUGAAUCAAUGAUCAGUAGUCGAAUCAAGCUGAGUUAAUUCCUUCAACCAGAGCUUUCUCCAAUUUGAAUUACAACUUUAAUUUACAUUCUUAUUAUUUUAAUUUGAUUUUUAUUAUUGUCAACAAUUCCCCCAUUUUACGUUUUACGUUUCAAAAGGAUUUAAAUAAUUACCGAUCUCUGUGGACACGACCCUAAUCAAUCACUAUACACAAUUUAUUUAGAGUAGGAAUUUAUUUUUGUUGGCUUCGACAACCAUCAAUGACAAUUAUUUUUUAUUUGAAAUCUAAAUUAAUAUGAAUUGAUUUGAAAUCUAAACAAAGCUAAAUGCCUAAAUUUGAAUGGCAUAUUUCCUUUUCAUUUGAAUCUUUCAAAAUAAUUAUUGAGUUCUUUGUUUUUUAACUUAAAAAGUCUGAAAGCUAAUACUUUUACAAUCUUACCCAAUAUAAAUUUUAAAUAUUAAAUAAAUAAUAAAAUCUCAAAGAAUAUAAAUAAGAUAGUAUUUUAUUAUAACAUGAAUCAUGUUCAAGUGAACAUAAGCCUUUAAUAUUUUAAAUUAGAACAUCUUAAUAAAUUUUAUUGCAAUUUAUGAUGUUUCAUAUAAAAAAUACUCGUAAAAAAUUGUGAAGAUAGAUGAUGCUAAUUUGAAGAAAAUUAAAAAAAAUAUUAAUAUAUAGCCAAAAGUUAUAAAGAUGAAUAGUAAUACUAAUUAGUAAGUUUUAUUUAGGUAAAGAUAAAAAAUUAAUUAGAUAGAAAUAUUUAAAAAGAAAAUCUUUUAAUGAUGUUAUUAAAAAAUUUUAGAUUAAUUAUAAAUUUUAAAGAUCAAUCGUCUAGUAUACAAUUUGUAAGAUUAGCUUUGUGAUAAUAUCGAUAAAAACUUCUAAUUACCUUGAGUUGGAAAUUUAGUUUUGAUUUUUCAAGUCUAGAGUCGCUUUUGCAUUUGCGCUUCUAGUAUAAUGGCACUUGCAUCCUCAAAAUAUGUUAAGGGAGUGUGUUCGAGUCUUACAAGACUCAUUUCUUUCUGAAAAUGAUAGAUUUCUCUGUACAUAUUAGUGAGAGUAUAUUUUCAGAGUUUUAGUAGUUUUUGUGGAUUUGUAAAUUGUAAGAAUUUCGUAAAAAAAGAAAAAGAAGUCUAAAAAAACUCGAGCACCCAAUCAACUAGGGACCAGCUACCGUGCCCCCUUUUUUCGUCAUUAUCCAGUGUAGCCGUUAGAUUAUAAUUAAUUUAAUCCAAGGGAUGGGGUUUGAAAAGGGUAAAAAGUCAAUUACAGUGAGCAACCAUCCAAAUCAGCUUCUUUGUACAAGAUUAGUUUUAGGGGCUGUAACCCCUUACUGGCCAUUUUGAUCGAUGACUGCGGUUUCUCGGACGCAAGAAAAUUGAAUGUCAAAUAUAUGGUGCUAUAAAGCGUAUUUUGAUGGUAAGAAAUAACUGUCACUGAAUUUCAGGAAUGAAGGUGGUGGGAAGUAAUAAGCAGAAGGACUGUGAGAUUAACUGAGGAACUGAAGUCGUUGGUGAUGAUGCAAGCAUUGAUGGGGGUAGAAAAAGGCAGUGCCUCAAUGGGUUCAUAAGAUAUUUCUAAGCUAUGUUAAUGGAAAAAUAAAUAAAUUAUCAUAACUUAGUAAUAGUUGAGUGGUAGUCUAGGUUUUGACUAAUUAUUUUGGUUGUUAUACGAUGAUAUUGCAGUGGUGGAGUUGUGCGUCAUUUGGGUUACCAUGAUUGUGUUGUAGAUUCGAACGGAAAUUGGAUCCACGUAUAAGAAUUUGCCACCGAAGGAAAAGUGUCAGUACAAAAGUGAGGCCAAACGAGUAGGGAAGUCAAACAUGGGGAAGGCAAAGUUCCUCACAAGAUGUGCUCCAGAUAGAUUAGCUGCAGCAGUUUCACAACUUACAGAUGAACAAAGAGUGGCUGUUUGUGAAAUGGGCUUUGGUAGUUUGUUACAACUGAACUGUGUCAGGCUAAAGAGGAAUCUUUGUGGCUGGUUAGUUGAGAAGAUUUACAAGUAAAAAAAUCCAUUCGGUUAACUAUUUCACAUUUUUAAACCAUUUCAGAUCAGUCUAUAUUCGGCCACAACUCCUGCUGCUGCACAGGACUUCUUGCGACUACCAUCAAGCAGCAGUGAUGAAGAUUCAAUAAGUCUUUCUUUCAUUUUUUUUUUUGGACAACUAAGAAGUCAAAUUGUCAAUGGAUAUCAAUCGACUUUACAAGUUAUCGAGGCGGCCAUUGGCACAAUUUCAUUUUAAACAGUUAUGGUUCAGAUCACUGCAACCCAACUUUCAUGUGUACACAAAAUUAGUAACCCUACAUUCAUUACUUGGACAUUAUAAUAUUUAUCCUAUCCCAACCCAACACUGGUAUGCGCACACACAUUACUAACUAUAUACCAAAUAUAAUCACUGCAACAGAGGAUAUUUUCUUCAUUUCUCUGCAUCUUGUACUUAUUUUUAUGCAAUUUUCAGUACAUAUCCAAAUUUUAUUUCACACAAUUUUCUCCAUCACAAGCCUUCCACAUGUGUUUCAACAAUUCUUAUUUCAUGUAAAAUUCUACUUCUGGUUUGUGUCUCUGCUAUUCAUACUAAUACGACCUAUGCAUGCAUACUGAAACUUUAGGCUAUAACAGUAACCAUUUGCAUUUGUAGGUGUGACAGGGAUUUUCAUGGUUGAGAAUCCUUACUUUUCUUGGGGUUCGGCUCCCAUCUUGGGGUUCGGUUGCUUAUAGGAGCCGUAUUGUUUUAAUUGGCGCAUCAUGCAUAGCCACAAUCACUGGCUGACCACCAGAGAGUAAAGGCCAUGUCUUGACCUUCUUGUCACAUCCUCCAGAGAAGACAGUAAUUCCAUCAUCCUUCAAUGUUGAGCAUAGGACCUUCAAAUUUGGAAGACAAGAAAAAGGUUAAAUUAUCAGCAAUCACAAAUUCAACAGUAUGGUAUUCUAACUACCACAAAUCUUGCUUUAGAUUACCGGAUGGUCAUGCGAAAUUGAUGCUAUAACAGUAACCAUUUGCAUUUGUAGGUGUGACAGGGAUUUUCAUGGUUGAGAAUCCUUACUAACUACUGUUCUUUUACACUGAAACUCCAACACAUUCACAAGCUUAGCGAUUGGUUCGCUUUCAACAAUCCGUUCAGCAAGAAAGCAAGCAAACAAAUGAUCAUAGCUUAGCAUACGUAUUUAGCAUUAAAACAAAAAAUAAUUCUUUAUCCGAAAAUGUACAAUUAAUUUUUACAUUAACACAAACAAUUAAGCUUAAACCUGACAAAAAUAUAUAAUAAAUAAGUUCUAUAUGUUUCUACUUAAUCCUUACAACAUCAUCAUAAGCAUUAAUUCAACAGUCGCCAAGUUCAUCAUUCACAAGAAACCGACAAGAAAAUUUAAAGGUCAAUAAUUUUUAAAGAUUAUCGGAAAGAAAAAAGAAUAAAGAAAAUAAUAAAUAAAGUAUACCUCGAUGGACUUGUUAGGGUUUUGAUUGGUGGCAACGGCAGCAGCACCGAAAGUAGCCAUUAAUUUGCUAAUUUUUGAUCGUUUCGUGAUAUUUAGUUAGUGAGUGACAGAGCGAAAGAUUAUUUGUUGAUUCGGUGAUGAUUUUGAAAGAAGAGGGAAACCAAAAGUAAAAGAGAAAAGCUAUUUAUAGAGAGGACUGAGGAGAAAUGUAGUGGGUGUAGGUUAAGGCUCUGCGCAUACCCCGCGUAACGUUGUAUCAACGUCUGUUAACUGAACUGCGCAAAAACUACGACCAGCCAGCCAAGGCUUGCGUUUUGUUGCGCAAGGGAUGGCAGAAAAGUGAGCGCGCGGCCCAGCCCGGCUUCGGCUUCACUUUUGGGGUUCGGGUCAGAUUUAAGCUUUUGAUAGUAGAGACCAAAUAUCUGAUUUAAUAUUGAAAAAAUCUACAACAAAAUAAUCAAAUAAUAAUAAAAUAUUUAAUUAGGAACUUAUGGGAUUAUACCAAAUAGACACUUACCAAUUGCAUUGUGAUAAUUGAUACUGUAUUUGUUUCUAUUCAAUUUUAUUUUAAUUUCAUGUAAUUUUAUUAUAUUAAGUGUCACUAUUACUAAUUAUUAAUUAGUGUUAUUUACUAUUAAUAACUUUUCCCCCUUUUUCAUCUUUUAGUCUUUCUUUCCGUGUGAAGGUUGCUUUUUCUUCCUUCUUUAUAAAGGUUAGUCUUUGCUUCCAUGUGAAGGCUAACUUUUCUUUCCUUGUGAAGAUUAGUUUCCAAUUCAUUCAUAUUAUUUAAAAUUUCUACAAUAAAUACAUACAUAUUAUUAAAAUAAAUACAAUAAUUUUAAUAGUUUAAUAUUUAAAUUUAUUAAAAUAUUUUAAUAUUAUUAGUCUACUGCAUAGAUUACAUUAUUUAUAUAAUAUUUGUAUUUAUUAAAAAUUUUAACGUGUAUUUUUUGGGAUAAUAGAGGUAAAGGGUAUAAUAAUCAAAAGUGGUCUUGGUGUCCUUUUACGAAAACUUAGGGGUGUUGGUGACCAUUUCCCAAAUCUUGGAAGUGUAGAUGUACUUUUCCCCUUACUAAUAUGUAUUGUACAAUCAAGAGUCUAUCAAUAGACCGUCUAUUGGAAGGCGAUUUGUUCUACCUACAAAAUCAACAAAGAAAAUUCAUAUCUUUACAUAAUUUUUAAUUAGGAGAGAAAAAUUUAAGAGGACUUGGGAGAGUUGCAGUUCACCACUUGGCUAACUGUUGAGAUGCAAGUUGGCAAGAAAAUACUGUUAAAGUUAGAUAAAUUAUGUACAACUAUAUUCAAUAUAAAAAUUGCAGAAUACUAAUGACUCAAAAUAAUUGACAAUAAAAACGUUAUUGGCGCACAUACUAAAAGCUUUUAUUUGUUUAUUUGAGAGUUUUUCUUUUUCAUUUAUUUAAAAAGUAGAGUGGUGGAAAAAAUUCAAAUAAUUUUUUUAGAAAUUUUUAAUUCUAAUUUUAUCAAUAUUUGAACUCAAGUUACAAUUAAAUAAAAUUGUUUGAAAACCACUCAACUAAGGUGUGGUUUAGGAAUUCAGGGAUCGGAAGUAGAAAUAAGUUGUUUACUUACAUUGGAAGAAGAAUGUAUAAUAUGAGUCAUAAUCUUAUUUAUAUGUUUACUCUUAUUUGGAUUGGGAGUUAAUUAUUUUAAAUUAUAUUUUUACCCUUAUUUAAAAGAUUGUAGUUUCUAAUUACAAGUGAAUAAAAAAUAUAUUUAUAAAAUAAACUAUUUAAUUUAUCAUUAUUUUAAUUAUAUAAAUUACUAAUAAUUAUUAAUAUUCUUAAUUAUGUAAAUCAUAAUUUUUUAUUGAUUUUAAUUUUAAUUACAUAAAUUAAAAAUUAUUAUAAGAGCAAAACAAACAAAACAUUAUUAUUGAUAAUAUAUUACAAAAUUAAUAUUUUCUUAGAGUAAACCAUUUAUUAUUAUUAGUUAUCAAUAUUAAAUAAAUAUAGUAAUUUUAUUUUUCAAAUAAAGAUAGUAUAUUGUAAUAUUAUUAAUUCUCUAUGAAUAUAAUAGUAUUACUUUUAAGUAAUUUUAACUUAGAUUACAUAAAUUUUUAUUUUUUAACUAAAUAUAAUAAUAUUAUUUAAAUAAAUAUAAUGUUUUUAAUUUUAAAUAAUAUAAUAUAAUUUUAUUUAAUAAAUAUAAAUUUUAUUGUAUUACAUAAAGAAAAGAAGAUGUGGGAGUGGCCCCUAUAGAAGUGAGAAUUCAACUCCUUGCAAAAAAAAAAAAAAUGAGUGAGAUCUAUGAAGUGAGAGUUCCACUCCCCUCCUUAAAUAAGAAAGAAAACAUACACUGGAGUAUGAAGAAUUACAAGAGUUCAAAUUAAACAUAAUAUAAACUAAUAUUUUGAUCAAACUACACGGCCAGGCCACAAGGACCCCCCAACCCUUUUCGGGCUCAUUUCUUAGAUGGGCUCAUAACUCAAGACUUCCAAGUGAACAAAUGGAAUAUGAUCGUGAAUCGCUAUGUAUCUAGCUUGGAGUUGGAAUCAUACACAAUCUUGCACAUAUUAAUUUACUAUGGACUCACAAAGAUAUGUUGUGUGUGAAUUGCACCGAUAUAGAUCUAACUUGGAGCCAAUUUUGAGAUAAAGAUUGUCUCAGCAAUAGUUAUAGAUAGGCCCUUAUUUCAAAUUAUUGUCAACGUUAUUAACUCUAUCAAACAGAGAAGAAAAGAAAUAUCAAACAUCUAUGACACAAGAGAGAAGCAAAAGCUAGCUUACAUGAUUAUUCAAAAGGAGAGAUUUAAAUCACUUCACACACGGAAUCGCCGAUAUAUAAAUUUGUAGAUAAGAUCGUUAUACCAUUUGUUUACCUGCACGGAAAACAUUAGAGGUGAAACAACUGCUCCGAAGCCGACCGCAAAUCCAAUUGACAUGGCUAUGAAGAACCAAUCAAUUUCACCGCUUGAAGCUGGUGGCGGUGAAGGUGGUAACUCAGGAGGACGUGCUUGGCUUUCAUUCGUUAAAGGAGGUCCGUACAAUCCUUUGUUUCCUUCAUAAGAAGUCGGUGAAAAUGAUUGGAGUUGAGUACUUGUCGGAAUCUUUCCCACUAAGUUAUUGUAUGAGAGAUUUAGGACCGAUAGGAAAUUUAGGCUUGCAAGCUGGGCAGGAAUUUUCCCGCUGAGGUUGUUCAUUGAGAGGUCCAAGGACUCAAUCUCUUUCAAGUUCCCAAAAGAUGAUGGUAUCGAGCCUGUGAGAGCAUUGUGCGACAUGUUCAGAGCAUAAAGUGAUCUGAAUCGUCCCAUUUCUACUGGUAUUGGCCCUUCGAAAUUGUUGCUUGAAAAGUCAAUGGAAGUGAAUAUAUUUGGGACCUUCAGUAGCUUGAUCUCUAUACCUUUUACUGUAACUGUUACUCUAACCUCAUAGAAUUGGUUUCUCGGCAUCUCAAUUCCAAGGUGGUUCACCUCAGAUCCGGAUUUGGUUUCAGCCACCAUCAUGGUAAGUAACCACUUUUGUGAAAGUCUUCCGCUGAAUUUAUUGCAUGCUAAGUCGACUAUUUGAAGCAGAGGCCAGGAGACUUUAUUUCUCGGACAGCUAAUGUGUCCGGAGAAGUUGUUGGAUCGCAAAACUAGAACUUGCAAACUAGAAGCAUUCCUUAACCAGCAUGGGAAAUUAUCACUGAUAUAGUUACUCCUGAGGUCUAAAACCUGCAGCAUAUUGCAAUUGGCAAGAGAUUUUGGAACCACUCCUUGUAGUUGAUUUCCACUGAGAUCUAGAAUUUGCAACCCACAAUCUCCUGGAAAUAUUGUGUCAGAAAGAGUGCCAUUGAGGUUGUUUCUCCCUAAAUUUAAAACCUCCAGAGUGCUGCUACUCUUGGUGAUUAAACAUGCAGGAAUUGUGCCACUCAAAUUGUUGUUUGAUAAGUCAAGAACUUGAAAAUUGGUAGCCUUGCAUACAGAUUCCGGGAUGACUCCAGCGAGACUAUUGUUUGCAGCGACAAAGUAAAAGUAUUCUGUUUCAGACAUGAAAUUACCAAUGUCAGCUGGAAUGGAAGUAAAAUUAUUGUUGGAGUAAUCGACGUAGGAAGUAUUUGGUGACAUGUAAGGGAUAUUUCCUCGGAGCUGGUUGGAGUGCAGGUCAAGGAAGCGGAUUCCAGAAAUAGAGUAAGGUUCUUGCAAGCUCACUACGAGAUUGUGUGAAAGAUUUAAGAACUUAAGAUUGCCACUACCAACUUCCCAAAUCCAAUUUGGUACUUCUCCAGAUAUUUGGUUAUCUGAAAUGUCCAAAACAGAAAGUUGUGAUUGGUUUUUUAGAAUAGGAAUGGCCCGUGGUUUGCUUGAAGCCAGUUUCAAUCUGCUAAACUUAUUGGAAGAAAGAUCGAGGGUAUAAAGGUUUCUGAGUUCAAAGAAUAUUGAAAUGGGGACAGGCCCUUCUAAUCUGUUGCCGCUUAAAUCAAGGUCAAACAAUACAGACGAGGACACGUUUGAAAUUUCAGGAAGUUGGUUCUCGAACUGGUUGUUGGAGAGCUGAAGCAUCUCCAGAUUUGGAAGUAGAAACAGAGAUCUGGGGAUACUUCCACUAAGUGAAUUGUGCCCCAAGACAACAAUUUGGAGAUUUAGAAGUUGUUCCCAGAAAGUGGAUGAGAUCCCGCCACUUAAAUUAUUGAACGAAAGGUCUAAGUUGUUGAGAUUUCUUGACUUGUGAAGAGAUGGGAUGGGACCAAAGAAAUGGUUAGAUGAGAAGUCCAUGUGAAAUAAUUGGGUAAGAUUAGCCAUUGAAGGGGGAAUUGGCCCUGUGAAAUUGCAACUACUAACCUCUACCCUUGUCAAAUUUUCAAGAUUCCCAAUGGAAUCUGGUAGUGUGCCUGACAAUCCCGUGUGAGAGAGGAUCAGGUCCCGAAGAGAAGAAUUCUUAGGAAAGUUUGGCAGAGAACCCUGAAGCAAUUGGUUAAUUGACAAGUCAAGAGUCUCAAGUGUGGGAACGUGCAAUAUCUUUUCUGGAAACUUCCCUUGCAACCCACACUCGCUGAGAUCCAAGGCCUUCAAAUUCGUCAGAUGGGCCAAAAACUCUGUACCUGAAGACAGACCAUAAUUGUAAUGCAAACUAAUCACGGAGAGUGACCGUGACUUUGCCAGGUAGUGAUUGAUUGGACCUGAAAGAUCACACCCGGACAAGCUUAAAACUUGUAGAUUGGGCAGAAAUGAUAAAGCUUUGCACCAUUCAGUUCCGGAGGCGGACAAAUCUACUCGAUCAAGAUGCAGUUCUGUGAGCUCUGUUAAGUUCUGCAGAAACAAGCUUAAGUUUGCGAUCCAAACUGUAUAGGAAUAUUCUAUGGGCACAAUACCUGACAAAUCAAGAGUAACCAACCUUGUCAAGCUUGAAAUCUCAGUGGGAAUCUCCCCUGCGAAGCCACCCUGGGAAAGAUUCAGGUAAGUCAAAUUUGUCAGGUUGCCCAACCUGGAUGGUAUUUGGAAUCCUUUGAAGAGAGUGAAACCCAGAUUGAGGCUCUGCAGAUAUUGAAGAUCGAAAAGGCCAGUCGCAUUCUCAAGUCCGCCAAUGAUUGGUUCCCAGCUCAAGUCGAGACCAAUAACAUGACCAGCCUCAUCGCACCUUACACCGCUCCAAUCACAACAAUCGGAGCUUUGAUGGCUACUCCACUGACUCAGUUUUGUAGAUGGAAAGCCACUGUCAUUGCUUAAUAUGAGACUGUUCUUCAUUUGGAGUAACAAAGAUUGUUGAUCGCUCUGACAUUGGCCAGAAACCAAAACCAUAUGUAUCCCAAAAUAAUUGGCUAAAAAGGGUAUCAAGAAAGGCCAUGAUAAGAGUAAAAUUGGUCGCAUUGUUUUAAUAAUUGCUGAAAUGAAACUCGGAGAGGAGUGAUGAAACUUGGGAGUUGCGAUGAAUUCAUUUAACAGGAAAAAGAUGGCCGAAGUUCCCUAGAAGUUACACCCCCAACGUAUAAACUGGGAGCUAGAAGACUACAAAAGUUCAAACCAAUUAAUGUUGCCAAGACUUGGGAGAAAAAAAAAAAGAAAGAAAAUUGGAUCUUUUGGUUAAAGCCUGCAUCAAAUACAGGAAUCUUCCAUUUCCAUAGGUCCAAAAUUACGACAGUAAAAAGUUAGUGGGAGAUCCACGCAUAAAACUAUAGAAGUAAGUCACUUAAAACUUGGUUGGGCUCAUUUCUUUUAGCAUUGUCUUUCAUUGUAUACUACGAAUAAAUAUCUUGUUACAACUUCUUUGGAAAAAAAAAAAAAAGGUACUCUAUACACAAAUUCUAAAUUUGAAAAAUUAAUUUUUAUUUUGUACACUCUUUAAGAUGCCAAAAGUAUCUCUACUUAAAUCAUUUAAAUUAAUUUACUCAAAACACUAAUAAAAAUAUUCAGCACACUCAAAGAAAAUCGUUUUAGUAAAUGUAGCAUAACUAGCAACAAUGAAAUUAAGUCAAGUUUUAAGCAAAAUUUUUAAAAUAAUUUUAUUUAUCAGUUUUCGUUAAUUAAAGAAUGUAUCCCAUAUCAAUUUUUGCACCUAUAAAUUCUUUAAGAUCAAUAAGUAUGGACUUCACUACCCCAAUAAUAAUUGAAAACCAAAUUGUAAUCUGACACAAAAAAGAAGAAGAAGAAGAAGAAGAAGAUGCUGACUGGGUUAUUAGGUUUAGAGUGCUUUAAUUUAUUUAUUUUUAAAUUAAAGACAAAAAAACGAACACCUUUGCAAUAAUUUCAGUUUAUUUUAUUUCUAGAAAAAUGUAAGUCUUACAAAUAUUUUAUGUUUAAAAUUAUUUAAAAAUUGAUUUGGUGCAUGUUCAAUGAAUUAUAUUUUAAGAUGUUAGAUAUAAAAGAUUAUAUGUUAAAUAAUGAGUGUAUAUAUGAGUUUUAAAGUAAUUAAGUUGUAUUGGCUCAUUAAUAAAUAAAUCUUAAUAGUAAUUUAUAUGAUGAUUAAUUUUGUAAUUAAAUUAUUUUAUUAAAACCAGAGUGCUCAGAGUAGUUUUUAAUGUGGAAAUAGCCUAUAUCUUAUUGCAACUAAAAUUGUGCAUGAAUUCUUAGAGAUCAUCUAUGAAUAUUGCCCAUACAAUAUGUAUCUACGGUGGAACCAGUUUGGAGAUGAAUAUUGUCUCAAUGACAGAAGGCAAAGGCCCUUAUUUGAAAUUCUUGUUAAUUAUUUUAUUAACUUUGUCAAACAGAGAGAAGAAAAGAAAUCUCAAACAAAUAAGACAUUAUGUAUGUUUGGCAUACUUCAUCUAAUGGAUAUAAAUACUUAUUUAAUUAUAUAAACUCUUUUAAGAUUUAGUAGAGCUUUUAAAAAUUAAAUAAGUUAUUUUUUUCUCUACUAGUAAAAACUCAAAAUUUGGGUUUUUGGGAGUAAAUGUUAAAAAAGUUAUUUUUAAGAAUGUUAAAACACCUAAAAUAUCAUUUAUUUAUUCGAUAAUUUUAUUUCAUUCAUUUCAUAAUAUAAUUUUAAAAAACAUGCUUAUUAAACAAUUUUUUAAUUUUUAAUAAAAGCUUCCAUUGACAAACAAAUAACUAAAAUUAUUUUUAUAAAAACGCUAUUUAUAAAAGCUUUACUAAUAAAAACUCUAUUUAAUAAGCUAUAUUUAGAAAGUAUACCAAAGUAAGUAUAAGAGAAAAUUAAAGCAAAAACUUUUAGUAUUAUUCAAAGCAAACUAAAAGUUUUUAGCUUUUAGGCGUAGACUUGGAAACUAAUUAAAAUAAUUUUGAAAUGAGGGAUAGGAUUUUGAAGGGAAUGAGUUAGAAACAAGCACCAAUGGAAUCGUUGGGACUUAGUAAAUCUGUGAUUAUUACAAUAUUAUAAUUAUAUAAUUCAUAGGAAGAUAAGGGUAUUAAUUAAAAUUUAGUCCAUUUCUUUGGAAUCUCUAUAUAUGUUCUGAUCCUCCUACUCCAUCGUUUUACAAAUUGUUGAUCUUGGCCUCCCCAAGUUCGUAGUUUCUUGAUUCUGAUCCCGUUGAACCAAAAUCAUGGCUCCAUGCAUCGCUGCUUAUAUUAAUUAGGAUUCUUUCUGCCUUUUGCAGUAUAUUAAUUAGCAUCAAACCUUAUUCAACCAAUAAAAAUCAGGGUCUUUAUUCAUUAUAAGAUCCAAUAAUUAAACAGAUUUACUUAAUUAAUCAGGUGAGUUUGAAUCUUGAAAUAAGUAUAAUAAAAAGAAUUAAUUUAGACUUUCACUAUUCCUCUACUAUGUUAAAAAAAAUCUUAAAAUUGAUUGAAUGCAAUUCGUUUUCGCGUCAAACUCAACUUUGAUUUGCUUGCGGGACCCGUAGACUUCGAAAAGUCUCGUAAGGAUACAGCUAACAAUUGAUAGUGGUUUUACAGGUUUUAUGAAGAGCCGACACAAGAUUCAUAGACACGUUGGAAAAUUAUUGGGAAAUUUACACUUUGACCACCUUCCAACUUUUAAUAUAAGAAAAAACCACAUUCCAUAUUUUUGUUACAAUAGCAAUUAUUUACAAGGUUUUUAGACUAGAAUUUUCAAAAACAAAAAUCCUUCUAAUAGCUAUUUUGUUAACUCCAUUAUAAUAAAAGAUCUCCCUGUUCAACUGGUGUUUAAAGCUAGCUCUAUAUGUAUUGUUGAUCUUUCAUAUGUAAUGUAAGGAUCCAAAGAUCAAUCACAUAAUGAGUAUCCGCUACUUUGCCCGCUGCUUUCAGCUUCGGCGAAGCUCUCUGUGGAUUGGACCCACAUGUACAAAAUGAUAAUCGUCUCUAGUUAAUUAAAAAGUGGUUAGAUUGAUUUGAUAGAUAAAAUUAAUCAUAUUCAUCAUAACUUUGUUUAAUCUCUAUCUCAUAAUUAAUGGGUUCCUCAUAUAAAAUGUAUGGCUUGGUUGUGUCAUUACAAUUUUGUAUCCGAUCGCGCGUGUUUUUCUAUAGUAAUCUUGCUAUCGCUCUUUAAGGCACAUCGGCAGCCUCAUUAUUUCAUAUUUUUGUAAGAGGUAAUUAACUUAUAAUUCAAAAUAAAACAUAAAUUAUUAAUUUCAACGUCAAAUAUGGAGCUGUUCUUCAUCCAGAUUAAUAGCGAUUUUUGAUGGCCCUGGCAUUGGCCAGACACCAAAACCAUAUGCAUCCCAAAAUAAUUAGCUAAAAAGGGUAUCAAGAAAAGCCAUGAUAAGAGUAAAGUUGAUCUCAUGAUUGGGUUUAAUAGUAGUUGAAAUGAAACGAAGUGAAGGGAUGGAACUUGCAAGUUGCAAUGUGUAUGUAAUAUAGCAGAGUAAAGGUAGCCCAAGUUAAUUAAUUAGGAAGCAGCCGAAGAGGAAUGUGAUACAACUCUGCAACUCAGAGUUUAUAUCAUAGAUUUACACUGUUCGAGUAAGUGCUGGCUCCAACAAAAAAAGAAGCAAAAAGAAUUGAAAUUAAUGGAGAAACAGAGAUAGCAGGAGAGACGGAGAGAGAAGAAGAAAUAUUUGCCAUUCCAUUCCUUCGUAUGACGUGUUCCCCUCUACAUAUAUCUUUUACCCCUCAACAUUGCACGUGUAACUAACCAACAAAGUAAUGAUUCAAAGAAAAAACAGUCACAACAGAAUAACAAAAUCUUAGAUCUUUAAAUAAUAUAUACGGCCAGACUAAACAAUCAAAAUCUGUGAUUUGACCUUUAAUUACAGAAACAGAGAUAAUUUUUUAAGGGAAUGAGUUAGGAGCAAACACUAAACAAUCAAAAUCUGUGUACUGCUAUUUGAACAAAAUGCAAAACGGUGACAAAACAGUGAUAAAAACAUUAUCGUUUUGAUAGUGAUUUUGGUGAUCUCCUUUCUCUCCUUGUUAUUUUAUUUUAUUUUAUUUUUAAUAUGUACACAUAGAAACGAAUAUAUAUGUCCUGCUACGAAUUUUGAUGGACAAAAUAAUUUUGCAUGAAAAUAGUCAAUGAGUGAAAAUAAAAUUUAAGUCCAUUUCAGCUCUAUCAGUCGGUUAAGUUUUUGCACUGAUGCCAUGCAAAAGUUCAAACUAAUUAAUGUAGGCAAGACUUAAAAGGGUAAGAGGAUGAAAAAAAAGAGAUAAAAGAGGGAAUAUAUUAAGAGAGAGACGAAUAAUUAAUAAUUUAUUAUUAUAUGGAGAUCUAUUAUAUUAAUUUUUUAGUUUUUAAAACUUAAAAAAGGGGGUAAAAGCUCAUUUAGUCCCUAUACUUUGAGGUUAGUGUCCGUUUAGUCUCUAUAUUUUUAAAAAUACCUCAAAGCAUCACUAUCAUUAAAUUAUUGACAUUCUUAACAUUACCUUUUGUUCAUUUUGACUUAUUUUUACAAUAUUACCCUAUUACAAUAAUGUUCCUUUUUUAAAACAUUAUUAAAAAGAAAAAUUAAAUUACCAGUUUAACACCAAAAAAUGAAAUAAAAUAAAAACAAUAUAUAUAUUAAUUUUUGUGGAACACUCUGCUGAGAAGUUAAAAUGUUAAUUUUUUUACAAAAUUGAUAACUUAAGUUUUUACAAAAUUAAUUUUUUUUGGACACACAUGGGCUUCCACAAAAAUUAAUAUAUAUAUUUUUUGUUUUUUAUUUUAUUUUUGGGUUUAAUUUGAUUAUCCAAUUUUUUUAUUAAUAUCUAAAAAAGAAACAUUACUGUAAGAGUGUAAAAUUGUAAGAGCAUGCUAAAAAAAUAAAAAAUAAAAAAUAAUGGCAUAAGUGUCAAUAUUUAAUAGUAAGGACGUUUUGAGAUAUUCUUAAAAAUAUAGGGAUUAAAUGGGCACUAAGCUCAUAAUAUAAGGACUAAACAAGCUUUUACCCUAAAAAAGACAUGUUAGCUUCAAUAUCAACUUUUGGUUAGCUUUAAUAUAAUGGUGAAUAUUACGUCUAAAGUUUUAUUUAAAAGUGUCUCUCUUGAAUUAGAAUUAUAUAAUUCAUAGCAAGAUAAGGGCGUUAAUUGAAAUUUAGUUCAUCUCCUUGGACUUUACAUAUGCUUUGAUCCUCUCCCUCUGUGGGUUUACAAAUUGUUGAUUUUGCCCCCCAAGUUCGUAGUUUCUUGAUUCUGAUCCCAUUGAACGAAAAUAAUGGUUCCAUGCAUGGCUUUUUAUACAUCAGACUCGUGAUAGUAUCAUAUCCCGUUGAACCAAUAAAAAUCAGGGUCAUUACUCCAUAUAAUAUCUAAUAAUUAGUCUCAGGAGUUUAGCAUAGUAGUUUUCAAAUAGUCUUAUUUACAUUAUCACCUAAGUAAGUUUGAAUCUUGGAGAAAAUAAAAAAUAAAAAAUUAAUUUAAACUUUAAUUUAAACUCUGAGAAAUGGUCGGUACGUACCAGCGAGUCAAAAAUAGGAAACUCAGUUCAAAUAUUGGAUCAGAGGAGUAAUUAGAACAACCUAACCCCAAAGUGUAUGAAUUAACUUACAUAAUCUUUUGCAACUGUUGGAAAAAUCCUUGAAUCCAUUUCCCAAAAAAGGACUCGAUACACAUUAAAAUAAAAAUUAGCGCGCUUCUAAAAUUGAAAUCGUCACUUGGUUGACUGAGCAAUCUUCUACCUUGCUGGUGGACAAUGUUGAAGUCCCAGUAUUUCUUACAUAUGAAAAAGCAGGUUGCUUGGGAGGAAGUAAUGCUGCAGCUUCAUUUGUCAGCAUGGAUACAACAUCAUUCAUGGUGGGUCUAUCAUCAGCACUUUCUUGUACACAAAGGAGAGCUGUGUUCACGUAUCUUAAAAGCAUAUGCUUGGAGGAAUAUUCAUCUUCUAAUAUUGGAUCAAUCAACUCCAAUGUCCUGUUGCUUGUCCACAGAUCCCAUGCCUAAACAACCAUACGAUGUUAUUAGAUAGUCGUACACUUGAUUUAGAGAAUAGUUUAAAAAUAGUCAGGUGCAAAAGUCCAAACGUUUUCACAUUGUAAAAGUGUGUGUCCACACCUAAGCAUGACUUGGGAAUUAAUAUAUAAUUUCACCUAAGUAGUAUAAAAAGAAUAUGUGCAACGACUUUUGUUACGUACAUAACCCAGCAGAUUGAGAUAGUCGGUUCGAUAAAAUCCAGUGUUCUUCUUGCCACUUACAAUCUCAAGCAACAAUACUCCAAAGCUAAACACAUCAGAUUUAAUUGAAAAUAUUCCUUCGAAUGCGUAUUCGGGGGACAUAUAACCACUGUAAUUCAAUAAUUGAUAAAUAAUAAUCAGUAAUUUAUGCAUAACUUAAUCACUUUAAUUUUGAUUUGUGUCAUUCACUUACUAAGUCCCGACGAUCCUACUAGUGUUUGCUUGUAACUCAUUUUCUCCAAAAAUUCUUGCCAUUCCAAAAUCUGAUAUUUUGGGAUUCAUGUCUUUAUUCAACAAGAUGUUACUGGCUUUUAAAUCUCGAUGAAUGAUUCGCAUUCUCGAAUAUUGAUAAAGAUAAAGAAGCCCUUGAGCUAUCCCUUCAAUAAUCCGAAGACGUGUUACCCAAUCUAAUAACAUUCGCUUGGUUGGAUCUAAUUUACAACAAAAGAACUAAACGUCAUUAUGCAUGAAAACAAAAAAAAUGUAGACCACAUUAUCUAACGUAAAUUGAUCUAGUGACUUAAUUUUUUUUUAAUAAAAAAUCUGAUAAUUGGAUGAUGUUAAUCAUUAAACUUAAAAAAUAGCUAAAUGAAAUAGNNNNNNNNNNNNNNNNNNNNNNNNNNNNNNNNNNNNNNNNNNNNNNNNNNNNNNNNNNNNNNNNNNNNNNNNNNNNNNNNNNNNNNNNNNNNNNNNNNNNCAUAUUAAUAGGGGCGAAGUUAUGAGGGGGCUAACCCGAGCUGUUUCUUGAAAAAAAAUUAAUCAAUUAUAAAUUUACUCUUUUUAAAAAACUUAUAGUGAAAUAUAAAAAUAUAACUAAUAAUUAUAGUCAAUAUCUAUUUUCUCUAAAUCGAAAAACUCACCUAAAUCCCUAACUAAUUGAUCCAAUUAUCCAAAGUCUAAAUUCCCCAAAACUCAGUUGUUCAAGUCAUCAAGUUGCCACCUCAUGGGUGACGGCUAGCCUCUGCCGCACCCACAUGCUCAUACUGUUUUUGAAUUAGUUAUUAGCUUAUACUUUUGUCAAAUUUUUUGAUAAAAUAAUUAAUAAUUCUCUAAUGUAUUAUUAUCGCAGAUAGUAUCUCUAAUGUAUUACUAUCGCAGAUAAAAUAAUUUAGAUACGAUAUAUGAGUUUUCUUUUCUGAAGAAUCACAUGACAAAAUUUUGUUGAUAGUAUUUUUUUAUUAUUUACAUUGUACUUUUAUAGUUUUUCUUGCUUGUCUAGUGUAUUUUAAUCAUUUUAUUUGUAUAGAAUAAUUUUUUUGAGAAGUAAUUGAGUUUUAAAAAAAAUCUAGCCCACCCCAAAAAAUAGUGCUAGCUUCGCCACUGAUAUUAAAUUUAGUUUAAGGAAGUUAAAAAAGCUAUUUAAAAAGUAUGAUUAUUUCUUAAAUUUAUAUUGUUAAUUAUUGAAUAUUAUAUUAGAUAUUCAAUUUCAAUAUAAAUUAAUAAUUGAAUAAUUUUGAUAUUUAGUAUUAUGUAGUAGUUUGAAUAAAUUACUGAAUGUAAUUAUAUGUUUAAUCUUAAAUUAAAUGCUAAAUGCUAUUUUACAUAAAUUAAUGAAUAAAAUUUGGAAAUGUAAUAUAGGCUAAAUUCUAGUUUAAAUAAAUUUUGAAAUAAAUUUUUGAUAUGUAAUUUUAUUUAUUAAAUAUUAGUUCAAACAAAUGUAUGAAUAAAAUUUGAAGUAAGGAACAUGUAAGAAUAAGAAACAAAUGCAAUAACUAACCGAAAAGAAAGAAGUCCAAGCUUUUGUUAGGCAUGUAUUCAUAGAUCAGAAUCUUCUCAUCUUUAUCUAUGCAGCAGCCCAAAAGUCUCACAAGAUUCUUGUGCUGAACCUUGGCUAUCACCGAAGCUUCAUUUUUCAUCUCUCGCAAUCCUUGUCCAGAUCUUCCUGAAAGCCGUUUCACAGCUAUCUCAUCUCCUUUUGCUAAUACUCCCUGAAAUUGUAGUUCUUGUUAAAUAAUAAUUAGUCCAUAAGCUUGUUGCCAAAAUUAAAAUUUUACCUUGUAUACAGGACCAAAACCACCUUCCCCGAGUUUAUUUGUGGCAGAGAAAUUAUUUGUGGCUGCACAAACACUGGAAAAACUGAAAAAGGGCAAUUCAAUUUGCUUUUUUCCACCGUUUCCAUGCUUAUUUGCUUCAGUAAGCUCUAUGUUAAUAGCUUGUCGGUUCAUACCCAAAUCAAAUCGCAUCAAAUCCUCCCCUGAAUGGUGAAGACAUAAAAAAUAUUCGUACUAUAUACUCGAUCAAACAAUCAUAUGUUAUAUAUGCUAUGCGUGAUAAAUUAAUUAACUAUUCUUACGUACCUUUGCUUUCCGGAUUUCUCUUCACAUAACAAAUAAUAAUCAAACCCAAGGGUAUCAUCCCACACGCAGUUGCGGUCAGCAGCAUCAAGACGAUUACAGAAGGCCUCGCAGCGAAUGUUAAUAUUAAGGCGACGAAUGAAGCCAUUACUAAAUUAACAACAGUGAUGACUACAUAACGCUCCAUUGAGCUCAACUGAUUACUAGCCCCAGUUGAUACAGUUCAUCUUAAAGGAAAUUUACUAAUUAGAAAGUAACAAAGACUUUUCUUUUAGAACGUAUAAAAUAUGAUUGACGCUGAAAAUAGUCUUAUCCAAUUAAGUCUUGCGUGCCGACUCAUAAACGUUGAAUCAUUAGACUGAUUUGUGUUGAUUAUCAUAUAUAAAAACAAACAGGUCCUAAUACUAAGACUUUAGCUAGUUCCCAAGUCUACACUUACCGCGUCCGUGACUCACGAGUGGAGUUCCAAUUAACUGUGAAAGUGAUCUACUGCGAGAAUACUAAAAGAAAUGAUUAGUCCAACCACAGCCAAGUUUGAUUUGGGAAGGCCCAAAAACCUUCGAUGAUCAGAAUUCUUGUAAUUAAAGAAGAAUCAGGUAAUAAGUUAUACCUGUUCGAUCAAUAAUUUUGAAUAUCACCCCUCUGCUGUUAACAAUCUUAAAAAAUCGAAGGUUGGUUCUAUAAAACCAGGAUUCACAUAAUUAAAAAAAUAAUAUGUGUCACUUUUCAAUAAAUUUCUUUAUACCACAUCAGUUUGUACAUACCAAUUUGUAUAAAAUUAUUUGUACUAUAUCAUUAUUGAAUUGAUAAAGUGAAUAGAUUCAUCUUUCACUAGCUUUGUGCAUUUUUGUGUGUAAAAAGCAUCACUCAAAAAAGAAAAUAAUAAAGCCUUUUAUGAUCCCCUAGAAACGAAGGAUUCUAAUCAAUUUUUUUUUUCUUUCCAUCAGACCUCUUCAACGCUUAAAGUAUACUAGGGAUGCACAAAUAGCGGCAAAACUGGAAAUGCAUAUAUAAAGUGUUCUGGACAAUGGAGAUGAUAUAAUUUUAGUAUUUUAGAUACUCAACUAUUUAUGGGCCACUUCUGCUUGUAGCCCAAUGGCAUGGGGCUCACCCUUUAAAUAAGGUCGAUUUCCACCAAAGCAACAUUAGUAAGAACAGAUUUUCGAGAUUACUGCUAAUUUAGGGUCCUGUAAUUUUUAGUUAUUUUAAAUCGUAUGUAUAUAUUUGCAACAAAUUAAAAAAGAAUAAAGGAUUUCUCAAAAAAUGAAAAAAGAAAAAAAAAACUAAUACUUUUGUGUUAUGCUGUUAGAUUUGGAAAAGCCUUUACAGUGAUUGGAUAGAUUUUUAUUUGCUUAACAAUUAUUUUACUGCUAAUUUUAUAUUUAACAAUUCUUUAUAAUCAGUAAACAUGGUACUUCUGAUAAUAAAAACACUCCUUGAUUUGAAAAAAAUUAAUCAUUUGAUCAUGGAUAUCAACGGAUCGCGCACUUUGCAAUUUUCAUUAUUCUUGUUGCCUUGGUGUCUGCUGUCUUCUUGAUUGUCCACUACCUGUUAAGAAUAAGUUGAGUCAGCUCUGUGAGGCUCUGUGAUGUCAGCAAAUUGUUAAGUGAAGUAAUGAGUCAGAUGCCACGCUACACAAGCUACUGGAAGAUUAUUAUGCAUGUUGUUAAAAGUUUGUUAUAAGUCUGUUAUUUCCCACCAAAAUGUUGUGGUGAAUAGUAGUGUGUGCAUAUGAUUCUGCUACAUUCACAAAGUUCCAGAUGCUACUAUAUAUAUACUGUAUUGUAAUCUCAGUCUAUUGUAUCAAAUCAUAAUGAAUUCAGUUUCUGAUUUUCCUCUCUAAGUCAACAAAAUUUCCUUCAUUUUCUUGCCAGACAAACAAGCAUACAGAAUAUAAAACUUUAAUUCUACCAACUUCUUUUAUGAUCAUCUCGAUGGCCAUGUCAUCCAGUUUUUGCGGAGUAAAAAUCGUUGGAGCAGUACAAUGAUUCUACAUCAAAGGCUACAACCUUCGGAUCAUUCUUUAAUUGAGAGACAUUAUCUUUAGUCUUUUUGGGAGAUGGGAGAAGGGACCACGUGUUCAUAGAAUAUAAAUUCUAUAGAGUGGCGACAUACUGUUGACUUAAAAGUCUUACGAGGAAGAGGAAGCAAAAAAUGUGUGGUGCACAUAAAGUUUUCACUUGGUGAGAUUAUAACAAGAUGGCAGCAAUCACCAAGAGAGAGUCUCAUAUUAUAUAAGGUUCCAAUAGUUUCUAAUCUCUUAAAUCUAAUGAAUCACUUGAUAUAGGGGCGGACAUGGGUUGAUUUGGAUUGGAUUUUAAGUCAACCUAAACCAAACCAUAAAAAUUUGGAUCCAACCCAAACCAACCCCAAUAUUUUUAACUCAACCCAAAUCAAACCAUUUGGGUUUGGUUUGAAUUUUAUUAUCAAAAUAAUUUUUAUUUUAAUAAAAUUUAAUUAUAUCAAAAUUAUAAUAAUUAUUAAUUGUUAUUAAUUAUUAAAUUGAUAUUAAAAUAUAAAAAAUAUAGUGGAUAAAAAUUAUAAAUUUUAGAAUAACUUAAUCCUUAGAUUAAAGAAUACUAGAAAAUCAAAAUAAAGUUUAAUCACAAAAAUUAUUAUUUCUCAAUAAAUAAGAACGUACACUUGAAUAAUAAACUUUCACAAACAUGACAUUAACAAUCUAAUAAUAAAUUUUUCCACUUGUUAUUUAUUUAAUUAUGCAAUAUUUAUUUUUAUUUAUCAUUUUGGUAAUUUUGCGUUAUGUUGUCUACUUAUAUGCUUAAUUUUAGGGAGAUUGCCACUUUCCCCCCUACAGUCUUGAUAUUUGAGCAUGGCUUCGUAGAAGUAGGGAUUUGGACAUCAAAUCACAUAAAAAUCUUAAUGUAUGCUUUUACUUCAAGGCACUCUAUUUUUAUGCAUUAAAUUUGUCUAAUAAACUUUUGAUUAAAAUUGAUAAGCCUACUAAAAUGGGCUAAACCAUUGAAUGGCUUGAAUUUGGAUUCAUGAUUAUAAGAACCCAAUUUGCGGUUAAUUGAUAAUGCACAUUCAAAUAGACAUUGAAGAGUAAUGAUAAUUUGCAUAUACUGUAAACAACUUUAUUUUUUAUUAUUGUCGCACUUGCAAUAAGAUCAAGACAUAUCAUAAUCAUUUUAUCGUCGUUGUAGGCCCAUUGAUUUUGUGCUUUGUUGAGCUUGAGCCAACAUAUUUUGAAUGAUAUUUUGAAAUAUUUUCAAAAUAGAUUUUGGAUGAUAUGGGAUUAUUGGCGAUCCUCAAGAAUUGAGAGAUGAAAGAUACGCUAUUGAUGGUAGUAUAUGAACAAAAAAGUAAACGAACCUGUGGCAAGUGCAGAUAGAUAUAAGUCUUUGCUGUUGCAGGGUUGUGAUUUUCUGCCCCAUUACUCCAGUCAUAACACACCUACAGGAAAUGUCAAGAUAAGAUUUAGAAUGACACUUUUCUAGUUUAAGUUUAAAUGUCCAAGAAAUCAAUGCACUAUGCUAUGCCAGGAUCAGAACAUAGCAGGAAGAACCAGAAAUUUUUAGUUGUUUAAUUUCAUGGAAACGCAAAUUCAGGUAACUUUGAAUUAACAUGAGCCAUAGAAGACUAAGCAUCACGCAAACAGACAGAAUGAAAAGAGGCGUGGAUUUCUAGAAUCCUGCCAUUAUCUUGAACUUAAGCAUAUAUCCCAACAUGUGUGAAAAGUAGGAUGAUAAGAGACUCCAAGUCGACUUUAGGAAGAUGGAUGAAUUUAUUUACCAAGUACGCAAAUAUCGAGCCAUCAUUAUUGAAUGUACUGCAAGGUAUAGGUUGCCCGCACCUUGACAUGGCCUGAAAAUCCAGUAAAAAUCACAUUGUUUUAUGUAUUUCAUCUAGGAAGAACAAUAACGACAACAACAAUAAUUGUUAUUGAAGUACUUAAUGAAAGUCAAAACACCUUGAGCCGCUGUUUACUAUCCUUGUCCCAAAAAUUAAAUGCACCAUCAGAUCCAGCAGUUGCAAAAGUGUGAUGUAUCUGGACAAAAAGAACAAUUACAUGAGAUUUGACAAAUAGAUGUAGGCGCUUCACCUUAUAAAAUGAAGAAUACUUAGGUGCAUCUCCUGCUCUACAAAUCUUAUAUGAUAACAUAUGAUGUUAAUAACAGCAAAAGUAUAUGCACUGAGCAUCGAAAUCCUCACAAAAGAAAGUACAUUUCCACUGUUGGAUAAAAAUUCCUAUGAUACCAACAUCUUAAGGGCACCAAGAUCUAAUACUUGAAAGAUCUCUAAUCUUUAGAGAAAUUACAAAUACUGGGAAAAAUUAUGUAAGAUAUGGGUGGCAUCACUAAAGUUACCUCAAAAUGAGCUAUUAUAUCACUCCAAUGUAUACUUUUAUUUCUAAGUUUUACAUCUCGAACGUUUUAUGUAACUGAAAAUUUGAAAUCAGAAAGCACUAAAAGGAAGCUUACAGGAUGGAAGUUAAUGAGAUGACAGAGCAUGUCUCACUACCGUCUCUGUGGCAUUUGAAAGUGAAGUUCUUACUUUGCUGUGAAUCAUCAAGAUGGAGAACGCCGACCCUUCCCUCAAUUGAACCAACCUAUCGGAAUAACACCAUAUUCAACAACCAAAAAAUAAGAGAAGCACAAAGAUUAGAAGAAAAGACAGUGAUCUCAAUGAAAAGAAGUUGGAGCCAAUGUUGAUGAAAGUGGAAUACGUAAUUGAGGCUAAACUUAGCCCCUCAUUGCUGGCAGGGGAAGCAAAUUUAGAAACAUGGGAAUAUGCAACCCAAUUGACAAUGCCUCAUAUUUCGACAAUAAAGACCAUGAGGAACGAGAAAAGAGAGAUAAAAAUAAAUGAAUGCAUACCCAGAAACCUUGCUGGUCAGGAAAGGCAGCAACACAUCUCGUCUGGUACUUCAAAGGGGAAUUGAUUCUCUUGAACUCAGUCUGGUAGCAUUAAACAAUGAUUAGACAUACUCGGAAGAAAAUGCAUAUAUUAGAUAUAAAUAAGUGAAACAAAAUAUAAAAAGAACAAUACAUGAAGGUAAAAUAUGGAAAUCAAUAAAUACCCAACAAAAAAGUUAAAUAGUAACAAGAAUUCAUCGCCUCUUGACCAUUUUUAUGUUGCAAUAAGCAUGUACCAUAUAUGGUAAAUUGUAAUACAGGUAAUGCGGAAACCGUUAUCUAAACUCUCAUGAUAGUGUGUAUGAAGAUAUAGUAUUGUACCCAACCUUUAGUUCAAAUUUCUAAAUUAGCCAGAUUUCAAAAUUUCUAGGAGCUAUUAUAUCUUAUUUAUAUCAUCAUCACAUAAGAACAGAUAAAGCAUGACUGAAAUUAUCAAAUAAAAUUGAAAGAUAUAAGGCAAAUAAACCCAUUCCAAAUUGCUAUUUUUUUCAAUUAAAAAGGAAUAUUGAAGACAUGGAAAUACAUACUAUAACUGUAGUGUAUAUAUGUUGGCAAAUCUACAAACAUCAAGCUCUUCUCAGUAGACCAGUUUAUUAUAGUAUCCAUUCCUCCUUGUACACAAACAAAAUGAUAUCGAGAAAUAACCCUUUUCCAGACAACACCAAUCAGAAGAAAAAUAUCUGGCAACAAAAGAAAUCAUACAAUAAUUUUAUACAGGAUGCUCCAUGACAUUGAGAAACCCUUUUAAAUACAAGGGAAGGUGGUUCCAUACGGUACGAUAGCUUUCAAUUCCAAAAACAGUCAACAAAUAAUUAUUGUUUCCAUUCCACAUUAAAAAAGAUGGGUUCAAGUUAAAUUUUAAAUCAAAGUCAACCAACUACUAGUGUCACAGCAACUGCUGCCACUCAAAACACAUGCUUCAGCUGCCAGCACCAAAUUUGCCCAUUUAAUUUACACGUAUAAAUCAAUGCUCUCAUGGAAUAAAAAACGAUACCUGAGGAUUCUGCAAGUUGAAGACAACUAGAUUUCUAUCUGCAGUUCCAACAACCAUAAGCGGAGCGCAUAGCAGCGGUCAGGCAGCUGUUGAGUGCGCACAGGAUUUGGCUGCCUUGUAUCCCAGUACCUAAUUACAUAUUGGAACAUCAAGAGGAUAAAGAUCUCAAAUACAAGAACAUCAAGAGAGUACAAGUGACUGAUCAACUACACGCAAAAUCAUACAAAGUGCACAUGGCACCACAUGGAGACACAGUAAACUGUUGACCACAUCAGAUACCAAAUAGAAAUGAAAGGAUAUACUGUAAACCCAAAAGGAGAAAGAAAAGAGAAUGACACACAACUUAGAGAAGAAAGAAAGACAAAAACCUACGAUAUUAAGGCACUCAUCAAGGGCGUUUCUCUUUAAACAACGCCUAAAUUAUAUAAGUAUGGGAAAAGAGUGCCGACAAUUUGAGAGUCCAUAGAUCCACUUUGAGCAUCGGUAAUUGUCAGUACAAGUUAGCAUGGCAGAGCUAAACACGCCCAACAUUUCCAUUCAUUCAUCUGAACACAACAUGGUCACUCUUCUGUUUGAGGUCAUGUGAACUGACCACUUAACUAUCCACGUGCACAUAUUGUCCAACUUAGCAAGAAGGUCAUUACACUCAACUACACAAUGAAGACUUCUAACAGAUGAACUUCUAAUAAUAAAAGCAAUUUACUGGCCGAACCAAAAUGCCACAUAGACUGCAAUUUUAAAUUCAUAUAAAAAGAAGAAGUGAAAAUUCUUACUUCAAUGUCUUCUGUAUGAAAAUCACACUAUAAACUUCCAAGCACUACUAGCAAGCCUGAUGAUUCACUUACUAACUAGUAACUACUGUUCUUUUACACUGAAACUCCAACACAUUCACAAGCUUAGCAAUUGGUUCGCUUUCAACAAUCCGUUCAGCAAGACAGCAAGCAAACAAAUGAUCAUAGCUUCGCAUAUAUAUUCAGCAUUUAAAAAAAAAAUCUUUAUCCGAAAAUGUAGAGUUAAUUUUUACAUUAACACAAGCAAUUAAGCUUAACCCUGACAAAAAUGUAUAAUAAAUAAUUUAUAUAACUUUCUACUUCAUCCUAAUAAUAACAUCACCAUAAGCAUUAAUUCAACAGUCGCCAAGUUCAUCAUACACAAGAAACCGACAAGAAAUUUAACGGUAAAUAAUUUUUAAAGAUUAUCGGAAAGAAAAAAUAAUAAAGAAAAUAAAUAAAUAAAGUAUACCUCGAUGGACUUGUUAGGGUUUUGAUUGGUGGCAACGGCAGCAGCACCGAAAGUAGCCAUUAUUGCUUGAAGAAGUUCAGUUAAUUUGCUAUUAACUUGCUAAUUUUUUAUCGUUUCGUGAUAUUUAGUUAGUGAGUGACAGAGAGAAAGAUUAUUAGUUGAUUCGGUGAUGAUUUGAACGAAGAGGGAAUCGAGAAGUAAUAGAGAGGACAGAGGAGAAAUGUAGUGGGUGUCGGUUAAGACUCUGCGCAUACCCCGCGUGGCGUUGUAUCAACGCCUGUUAACUGAACCGCGCAAAAACUACGACCAUCCAGCCAAGGCUUGAGUUGAGUUGCCGCUAGAGAUGGCAGAAAAGUGAGCGCCCGGCCCAGCCAGGCUUCGGCUCCACUUUUAGGCUUCGAGUCGGAUUAGGACUUAAGGUGUUCGAAAUUGAGCCGGAUCCGGCUCGGUCUAGGGGUUUAUCAAGAAAGUCUGAGUCCGAUCCUUCAGCCAGACAAUUAAAUAUUAAAAAAAAAAUUCUAGUUGUAUUUAGGUUGGAGCUUUUUAAAUUCAGUUUAUUUAAAUAGGUUUAUAUUAGCAGAGUUUUUACAAAUAGAUAUUUUAUGCAAAAAUUUUAAUUUUUUAGUUGUCAAUAUUUUAUUAAAAGUUAUAAAAAUUAUUUUAAUAUGCAAGUUUUUUAAAGUUAGGUUAUGAAAAAUAAUGAAAUAAAGUUGUCAAAUAAGUAAAUAAUAUUUUAAACAUUUUAGUAUUUUACAAAAAAAAAAUUUCAACUUUUACUCUCAAAAGUCCAAAAUUUAAGCUUUUGAUAGUGGACACCAAAUAUCUUAUUUAAUAUUAAAAAAUUCUACUAAACAAAUAAUCAAACAAUAACAAAAAAUUUGAUUAAGAGCUUAUGGGAUUAAAUAAAUACUUAUAACUAUUAAAUAAGUCAUAGCAAAUAGACACUUACUAAUUGCAUUGUGAUAAUUGAUAUUGUAUUUGUUUCUAUUCAAUUUUAUUUUAAUUUCAUGUAAUUUUAUUAUAUUAAGUGUCACUAUUACUAAUUAUUAAUUAGUGUUAUUUACUAUUAAUAACUUUUUUCCCCAUUUUCAUCUUUUUGUCUUUCUUUCCUUUUGAAGGUUGCUUUUUCCUUCUUUAUAAAGGUUAGUCUUUCCUUCCAUACUUCCAUGUGAAGGCUAACUUUUCUUUCCUUGUGAAGAUUGGUUUUCAAUUCAUUCAUAUUAUUUAAAGUCUCUACAAUAAAUAAAAACAUAUUAUUAAAAUAAAUAUAAUAAUUUAUGUAUUUAAAUUUAUUAAAAUAUUAGUCUGCUGCAUAGAUUACAUUAUUUAUAUAAUAUUUGUAUUUAUUAAACAUUUUAAAGUCUAUUUUUUUGGGGAUAAUAGAGAUAAAGAGUAUAAUAGUCAAAAUGAGUCUUAACAUCCUUUUAUGAAAACUUAGGAGUGUUGGUGACUACUUCCCCGCAUUUUGCAAGUGGAGAUGUCUUUUUCCCCUUACUAAUAUGUAUUAUACAAUUAGAAGUCUACUCAUACACCAUCUAGAUCAACUCUAUUAUAGCAUAACCUAUAAUUCUAUCUUACAAAUACUGGAAGGUUAUUUGUUCUACCUACAAAAAUCAAUAGAGAAAAUUCAUAUCUUUACGUAAUUUUUAAUUAGGAGAGUAAAAUUUAAGAGGACUUGGAAGAAUUGCAGUUUACCACUUGGCUAAUGGCUGAGACACAAGUCGGUAACAAAAUAAUAUUAAAGUUAGAUAAAUUAUGUACAACUAUAUUCAAUGUAAAAAUUGCACAAUAUUAAUAACUCAAAAUAAUUGACAAUAAAAAUGUUAUUGGCGCACAUACUAAAAGCUUUUAUUUGUUUAUUUGAGAGUUUUUCUUUUUCAUUUAUUUAAAAGUAAGAGUGAUGGCAAAAGUUCAAAUCAAUUUUUUAUAAAUUUUUAAUUCUAUUUUUUUCAAUAUUUGAACUCAUGUUACAAUUGAAUAAAAUUAUUUGAAGACCAUUUAACUAAGGUUUGGUUUGGGAAUCUAGGGAUUGGGAGUUUGGAGUGUGAGUGAAAAUAUGUUGUUUACUUACAUUGAAAGGAGAGUGUGGAAUAGGAGAAUCGUAUUUAUAUGUUUUUACUUUGACUUAGAUUAGGAGUAAAUUAUUUUAAAUUACACUUUUACCCUUAUUUAAAAUAUUGUAGUUUUUAAUUAUAAAGUAAAUAAAAAAUAUAUUUAUAAAAUAAAUUAUUUAAUUUAUUAUUAAUUUUAAUUAUAUAAAUUACUAAUAAUUAUUAAUAUUCUUAAUUAUGUAAAUCAUAAUUUUUUAUUAAUUUUAAUUAUGUAAAUUAAAAAUUAUUAUAAGAGCAAAAAAUGAAACAUUAUUAUUAAUAAUAUAGUACAUAAUUAAUAUUUUCUCAAAAUAAACUAUUUAUUAAUAUUAAAUAAAUAUAAAAUAUUAUAUUUUAAAAUAAAGAUAGUAUAUUGUAAUAAUAUUAAUUCUCUAUGAAUAUAAUAAUAAUAUUUUUAGGUAAUUUUAACUUAGAUUACAUAAAUUAUUAUUUUUAACUAAACAUAAUAAUAUUAUUUAAAUAAAUAUGAUGCUAUUAUUUUUAAAUAAUGUAACAUUAUUUUAUUUUUAAUAAAUAUAAAUUUUAUUAUAUUUGAUAAAGAAAGGAUAAUAAAGAAAGAGGUGGGAGUGGCCCCGAUAGAAUUGAGAAUCCCACUCCUUACUGGGAAAAUGAGUGAGAUCCAUGGAGUGAGACUCUCAUUCCCCUCAUUAUAUAAGCAAGAAAACAUUGAAGUGGAAAGAAUUCAUAGUAUUUACUCUCAUUUCAAUAAUUAAACAUAACAUAAAUUACUAGGCCAGGCCACAGGGGCCUGAAGCGUUUUUGGGCUCAUUUCUUAGAUGGACUCAUGACUCAUUCAUUUCGUCAAAAGUUAUUUUCUAAGUUCUUCUUUCUACUCUAUAAAACUUCCAAGUAAACAAAUGGAAUAUGAUCAUGAAUCGCUGUGUAUCUAGCUUGGUGUAGGAAUCUUGCACAUAUUAAUUUAGUACGGACUCUCGAAGAUAUAUUGCGUGUGAAUUGAGCCAAUAUAGAUCUAAAUUGGAGCCAAUUUUGAGAUAAAGAUUUAAUAACAGUUAUAGAUAGGCCCUUAUUUCAAAUUAUUGUCAACUUUGUUAACUUCAUCAAACAGGGAAUAAAAGAAAUCUCAAAUAUCUAUGACAUAAGAGAAAAGCAAAAGCUAGCUUACAUGAUUAUUCAAAAGGAGAGAUAUAAAUCACUUCACACACGGAAUCGCCGAUAUAUAAAUUUGUAGAUAAGAUCGUUAUACCAUUUGUUUACCUGCAUGGAAAACAUUAGAGGUGAAACAACUGCUCCGAAGCCUACCGCAAAUCCAAUUGACAUGGCUAUGAAGAACCAAUCAAUUUCAUCGCUUGAAGCUGGUGGCGGUGAAGGUUGUAACUCAGGAGGACGUGUUUGGCUGUCAUUCGUCAAAGGAGGUCCGUACAAUCCUUUGUUUCCUUCAUAAGAGGUCGGUGAAAAUGAUUGGAGUUGAGUACUUGUCGGAAUCUUUCCCACUAAGUUAUUGUAUGAGAGAUUUAGCACCGAUAGGAAAUUUAGGCUUGCAAGCUGGGCAGGAAUUUUCCCACUGAGGUUGUUCAUUGAGAGGUCCAAGGACUCAAUCUGUUUCAAGUUCCCAAAAGAUGAUGGUAUCGAGCCUGUGAGAGCAUUGUGCGACAUGUUCAGAGCAUAGAGUGAUUUGAAUCGUCCCAUUUCUUCUGGUAUUGGCCCUUCAAAAUUGUUGCUUGAAAAGUCAAUGGAAGUGAAUAUAUUUGGGACCUUCAGUAGCAUGGUCUCUACACCUUUUACUGUAACUGUUACUCCAACCUCAUAGAAUUGGUAGCUCGAUAUCUCAUAUCGAAGGUGUUUGAGCUCAGAUCCGGAUUUGGUUUCAGCAACCAUCAUCUCCUCCAUGGUAAGUAACCAUUUUUGUGAUAGUCUUCCACUGAAUUUAUUGGAUGCUAAGUCGACUAUUUGAAGCAGAGGCCAGGAGACAUUAUUUCUCGGACAGCUAAUGUGUCCGGAGAAGUUGUUGGAUUGCAAAACUAGAACUUGCAAACUAGAAGCAUUCCCUAACCAGCACGGGAAAUUAUCACUGAUAUGGUUAUUCUUGAGGUCUAAAACAUGCAGCAUAUUGCAAUUGGCAAGAGAUUUUGGAACCACUCCUUGCAGUUGAUUUCCACCGAGAUCUAGAAUUUGCAACCCACAAUUUCUUGGAAAUAUUGUGUCAGAAAGAGUGCCAUUGAGGUUGUUUCUCCCUAAGUUUAAAACCCCUAGAGUGGUUUCACUCCGGGCGAUUAAACAUGCAGGAAUUGUGCCACUCAAAUUGUUGUUUGAUAAGUCAAGAACUUGAAAAUAGAUACCCUUGCAUACAGAUUCCGGGAUGACUCCAACGAGACUAUUGUUUGCAGCGAAAAAGUAUUCAGUUUUAGACAUGAAAUUACCAAUGUCAGCUGGGAUGAAAGUAAAAUGAUUGUUGGAGUAAUCGACGUAGGAAGUAUUUGUUGACAUGUGAGGGAUAUUUCCUCGGAGCUGGUUGGAGUGCAGAUCAAGCAAGCGGAUACUAGAAAUAGAGUAAGGUUCUUGCAAGCUCACUAGGAGAUUGUGUGAAAGAUUUAAGAAGUUAAGAUUGCCAUUACCGACUUCCCAAAUCCAAUUUGGUAUUACUCCAGGUAUUUGGUUAUUUGAAAUGUUCAAACCAGAAAGUUGUGAUUGGUUUUUUAGAAUAGGAAUGACCCGUGGUUUGCUUGAAGCCUGUCUCAAUCUGCUAAACUUAUUGGAAGAAAGAUCGAGGGUAUAAAGGUUUCUGAGUUCAAAAAUUAUUGAAAUGGGGACAGGCCCUUCUAAUCUGUUGCCGCUUAAAUCAAGGUCAAACAAAACAGACGAGGACACAUUUGAAAUUUCUGGAAGUUGGUUCUCAAACUGGUUGUUGGAGAGCCAAAGCAUCUCCAGAUUUGGAAGUAGAAACAGAGAUCUGGGAAUACUUCCAUUAAGUGAAUUGUGCGACAAGAGAACAAGAUUGAGAUUUACAAGUUGUUCCCAGAAGGUGGAUGAGAUCCCACCACUUAAAUUAUUGAACGAAAGGUCUAAGUAGUUGAGAUUUCUUGACUUGUGAAGAGAUGGGAUGUGACCAGAGAAAUGGUUAGAUGAGAAGUCCAUGUGAAAUAAUUGGGUAAGAUUAGCCAUUGAAGGGGGAAUUGGCCCUGUGAAAUUGCAACUUCUAACCUCUACCCUUGUCAAAUUUUCAAGGUUCCCAAGGGAAUCUGGUAGUGUCCCUGAGAAUCCCGUGCCAAGGAGGAUCAGGUUCCGAAGAGAAGAAUUCUUAGGAAAGUUUGGCAGAGAACCCUGAAGCAAUUGGUUAAUUGACAAGUCAAGAGUCUCAAGGGUAGGAUCCUGCAAUAUCUUUUCUGGAAACUUCCCUUGCAACCCACACUCGCUGAGAUCCAAGGUCUUCAAAUUCAGCAGAUUGGCCAAAGACUCUGUACAUGAGGAUAGACCGUAAUUGUCAUACAAACGAAUCACGGAGAGCGACCGUAACUUUGCCAGGUAAUGAUUGAUUGGACCUGAAAGAUCACAGCCAGACAAGCUUAAAACUUGUAGAUUGGGUAGAAAUGAUAAAGCUUUGCACCAUUCAGUUCCGGAGGCGGACAAAUCUAUUCGAUCAAGAUGUAAUUCUCUGAGCUCUGUUAAGUUCUGCAGAAACAAGCUUAAGUUUGGGAUCUCAAUUCUCCAGGAAAAUACUCUUGAGCGCUCACGGCCUGGCAAAUCAAGAGGAACCAACCUGCGCUCACGGCCUGACAAAUCAAGAGUAACCAACCUUGUCAAGCUUGAAAUCUCAAUGGGAAUCUCCCCCGCGAAGCCACCCUGGGAAAGAUUCAGGUGAGUCAAAUUUGUCAGGUUGCCCAAUCUGGAUGGUAUUUGGAAUCCGUAGAAGAGAGUGAAACUCAGAUUGAGGCUCUGCAGAUAUUUAAGAUCGGAAAGGCCAGUCGCAUUCUCAAGUCCGCCAAUGAUUGGUUCCCUGCUCAAGUCGAGACCAAUAACAUGACCAGCCUCAUCGCACCUUACACCGCUCCAAUCACAACAAUCGGAGCUUUGAUGGCUACUCCACUGACUCAGUUUUGUAGAUGGAAAGACACUGUCAUUGCUUAAUAUGAAACUGUUCUUCAUUUGGAGUAACAAAGAUUGUUGAUCGCUCCGACAUUGGCCAGAAACCAAAACCAUUUGGAUCCCAAAAUAAUUGGCUAAAAAGGGUAUUAAGAAAGACCAUGAUAAGAGUAAAAUUGAUCGCAUUGUUUUAAUAAUUGCUGAAAUGAAACUCGGAGAGGAGCAAUGAAACUUGGGAUUUGCGAUGAAUUCAUAUAACGGGAAAAAGAUGGCCGAAGUUCCCUAGAAGUUACACCCCCAACGUAUAAACUGGGAGCUAGAAGUACUACAAAAGUCCAAACUAAUUAAUGUUGCCAGGACUUGGUAGAAAAAAACAAAGAAAAUUGGAUCUUUUGGUUAAAUGCGUACAUCAAAUACAGGAAUCUUCCAUUUUCAUAGGCCCAAAAUUACGACAAUAAAAAGUUAGUAGGAGACCCGCAUAAAACUAUAGAAGUCACUUAAAACUUGGUUCGGCUCAUUUCUUAUAACAUUGUUUUUCAUUCUAUGCUAUGAACAAAUAUCUUGUUACAACUUUUUUCACAAAAAAAAAAAGGUUGGGCUAUUUACACUCUAAAAAGUACUCUAAACACUCUAUUACUUUAUAUACUCAUACAUUAAAUUUGAAAAACUAAUUUUUACUUUGUACACUCUUUAAGAUGCCAAAAGUAUCCCUACUUAAAUCAUUUAAAUUAAUUUACUAAAAACACCAAUAAAAAUAUUCAGCACACUCAAAGAAAUUUGUUUUAAUAAAUAUAGCAUAACUAGCAACAAUGGAAUUAAGUCAAGUUUUAAACAAAUUUUUUAAAAUAAUUUUAUUUAUUAGUUUUUAUUAAUUAAAGAAUGUAUUCCAUAUCAAUUUUUGCACCUAUAAAUUCUUUAAGAUCAAGAAGUAUGGACUUUCACUACCCUAAUAAUAAUUGAAAACCAAAUUGUAAUAUGACACAAAAAGAAGAAGAAAAAGAUGCUGAUUGGGUUACUAAGUUUAGAGUGCUUUAAUGUAUUUAUUUUUAAAUCAAAGACAAAAAAUAUGAACUCCUUUGCAAUAAUUUCUGUUUAUUUUAUUUCUUGAAAAAUGUAAGUCUUACAAAUAUUUUGUCUUCAAAAUUAUUUAAAAUAUUGAUUUGCUGCAUGUUCAAUGAAUUAUAUUUUAAGAUGUUAGAUAUAAAAGAUUAUAUGUUAAAUAAUGAGUGUAUUAUAUGAGUUUUAAAGUCAUUAAGUUGUAUUUGCUCACAAAUAAAUUAUCCUUAAUAGUAAUUUAUAUGAUGGCUAAUUUUGUAAUUAGAUUAUUUUAUUAAAACCAGAGUGCUCAGAGUAGUUUUUAAGGUGCAAAUAGCCUAUAUCUUGUUACAACUAAAAUUUAGCAUGACUUGUUAGAGAUCGUCUAUGAAUAUUGCCCGUACAAUAUAUAUCUAGCUUGGAGCCAGUUUGGAGAUGAAUAUUGUCUCAAUGACAGAAGUUAAAGGCCCUUAUUUGAAAUUCUUGUUAAUUAUUUUAUUAACUUUAUCAAACAGGAGAAGAAAAGAAAUCUCAAACAAAUAAGAUAUUAUGUAUGUUUGGCAUACUUUUAUGUAAUUGAAAUAAGUACUUAUUUAAUUAUAUAAACUCUUUUAAGAUUUAUUUUCAUUGUUUGGAUUUUUUUUAGUAGAGCCUUUAAAAAUUAAAUAAGUUAUUUUUUUUUUACUAACAAAAACUCAAAUUUUGGGCCUUUGGGAGUAAAGGUUAAAAACUUUUUUUAAAAUAUUAAAACAUCAAAAAAUUCUUUAUUUAUUCGAUAAUUUUAUUUCAUUCAUUUCAUAAUAUAAUUUUAAAAAACGUGCUUAUUAAAUAAUUUUAUAAUUUUUAAUAAAAGUUUGCAUUGACAAACAAAUAACUAAAAUUAUUUUUAUAAAAACGCUAUUUAUAAAAGAUUUACUAAUAAAUACUUUAUUUAAAAAGCUAUAUUUGGAAAGUUGUACCAAUGUAAGCGUAAGAGAAAAUUAAAACAAAAACUUUUAGGAUUAUUCAAAGCAAACUAAAAGUUUUAGCUUUUAGGUGUAGACUUGGAAACUAAUUAAAAUAAUUUUGAAAUGAAGGAUAGGAUUUUGGAAACUAAUGGAAUCGUUGGGACCUAGUAAGUAUGUGAUAAUUACAAGAUUAUAAUUAUAUAAUUCAUAGGAAGAUAAUGGUAUUAAUUAAAAUUUAGUCCAUUUCUUUGGAAUCUCUAUAUAUGUUCUUAUCCUCUCACCCAUCGUUUUACAAAUUGUUGAUCUUGGCCUCCCCAAGUUCGUAGUUUCUUGAUUCUGAUCCCGUUGAACCAAAAUCAUGGCUCCAUGCGUUGCUGCCUAUAUUAACUAGGAUUCUUUCUGCCUUCUCCAGUAUAUUAAUUUUAAUUAGUAUCAGACCCUACUGAACCAAUAAAAAUCAGGGUCUUUAUUUGUUAUAAUAUCCAAUAAUUAGUCCCAAAGAGUCUUAGCCAAGUGAUUUUUGCACAGAUUUACUUAAUUAAUUACGGGAGUUUUAAUCUUGAAAUAAGUAUAAUAAAAAUAUUAAUUUAAAUUUCACUAUUCCUCUACUAUAUUAAAAAAAAAUCUAAUAAUUGAUUGAAUGCAAUUCGUUCUCGCAUCAAACUCAAAAGCUAGCUUUGAUUUGCUUGCGGGACCCGUAGACUUCAAAAAAUCUUGUAAGGAGAGAGCUAACAUUUGAAUUUUGAUAGUGAUUUUAUUGCUUGUAAUAAAAAAAGUUGAUUGAAUGCAAUUCAUCUCGCGUCAAACUGAACGCUAAUUUGCUUGUGGAGCCCGCAGACUUGUAAAAGCCGUACGGAUAGAGCUAACAAUACAGGUUUUAUGAAGAGCCAACACAAGAUUCAUACACACGUUGGAAAAUUAUUGGGAAAUUUACCCAUUUGACCACCUUCCAACUUUUAAUAUAAGAAAAAACCACACUCCAUGUUUUCUUACAAUAGCAAUCAUUUAUAAGGUUCUUAAACUAAAAUAUCCAUAAAUUCUCAAAACUAAACAAAAAAAAAAAAAUAUUUCGCCCAACAUUGCCCAAAAACAUCUCCCAUCACCCCAUAUACAUGUGUAGGAGUUUCUUCACUUCUAGCGUUUCUUGAAUUCCAGCAAUUUCCUUCACUUUCGGCGGCGAUUUGCUUCACUUCCGAUUGUAAUUUGUGUGAGUUAUAGUUUGAUUCUAGCAAGUUCCUUCAUUUCUGGUUUCGGCGGCUUAGGUACUUUCUCGAUUUUUUCAUUAAUUUAGAAUAAAUUUUGUUUAAAUUGCUUGGUUGAUUGAUCAUUGAUCAUAGUUAAUCAUUAGAUAUGUAUUGGAUAUGAAAAUAUUAUAGUUUUUUUAAGAUUAAGAUAUCUAAUAAAUGGCAUACUAAUGGUUUGUUUAAAUGCCUCUAAGAAAUUAUUGAUCUAAAUUUAAAGUCAUUUUGAGGUUAAAGAAAAGGUUGGUGUGCCGGCCAAUCAAGAAUGCGGGUAGCAUUAUUUUAGGUAAUUUUAACUUAGAUUACAUAAAUUAUUAUUUUUAACUAAAUAGAAUAAUAUUAUUUAAAUGAAUAUGAUGUUAUUAUUUUUAAACAAUGUAAUAUUAUUUUAUUUUUAAUAAAUAUAAAUUUUAUUAUAUUUGAUAAGGAAAAGAUAAAAAAGGAAGAGGUGGAAGUGGCCCUUAUAGAUCUCAGAAUCCAAUUCAUUACUCAAAAAAUGAGUGGGAUCCAAGGAGUGAGACUUCCACUCCUCUCAUUAAAAAAGAAAGAAAACACUAGAGUGGGAAGAAUACAUACUCGCUACUCCCAUUCUAACAAUUAAAUACAACAUAAACUAAUAUUUUGAACAAACUAAUCGGCCAGGCCAUAAGGGCCUGAAGCCUUUUUUGGCUAAUUUCGUAGAUGGUCUCAUAACCCACACAUUUCCUCAAAUGUUAUCUUCUAAAUUCUUAUUUCUACUUUAUAAAACUUCCUUGUGAACAAAUGGAAUAUGAUCAUGAAUCGCUAUGUAUCUAGCUUGGAGCUGGAAUCAUACAUAAUCAUGCACAUAUUAAUUUUGUAUGGACUCACGGGGAUAUGUUGUGUACGAAUUGCGCCAAUAUAGAUUUAACUUGGAGCCAAUUUUGAGAUAAAGAUUGUCGCAGUAACAAUUAUGGAUAGGCCCUUAUUUUAAAUUAUUGUCAACUUUAUUAACUUCAUCAAACAGAGAAGAAACGAAAUCUCAAAUAUCUAUGAUAUAAGAGAAAAGCAAAAGCUAGCUUACAUGAUUAUUCAAAAGGAGAGAUAUAAAUCACUUCACACACGGAAUCGCCGAUAUAUAAAUUUGUAGAUAAGAUCGUUAUACCAUUUCUUUACGUGCACAAAAAACAUUAGAGGUGAAACAACUGCUCCGAAGCUUACCGCAAAUCCAAUUGAUAUGGCUAUAAAGAACCAAUCAAUUUCAUCGCUUGAAGGUGGUAAAGGUUGUAACUCAGGAGGAUGUGUUUGGCUGUCAUUUGUUAAAGGAGGUAUGUACAAUCCUUUGUUUUCUUCAUAAGAAGUUGGUAAAAAUGAUUGGAGUUGAGUACUUGUCGGAAUCUUUCCCACUAAGUUAUUGUAUGAGAGAUUUAGCACCAAUAGGAAAUUUAGGCUUGCAAGCUAGGCAAGAAUUUUCUUACUGAGGUUGUUCAUUAAGAGGUCCAAGGACUCAAUUUGUUUCAAGUUCCCAAAAGAUGACGGUAUCGAGCCUAUGAGAGCAUUGUGCGACAUGUUUGGAGCAUAGAGUGAUUUGAAUCGUCCCAUUUCUUCUGGUAUUGGCCCUUCGAAAUUGUUGCUUGAACAGUCAAUGGAAGUGAAUAUAUUUGGGAUCUUUAGUUGUAUGAUCUACACCUUUUACAGUAACUAUUACUCCAAAUUUAUAUAAUUGGUUGCUUCAUGUCUCAUAUCCAAGGUGGUUAAGCUCAGAUUUGGAUUUGUUUUCAUUAACCAUCAUGGUAAGUAACCAUUUUUGUGAUAGUCUUCCACUGAAUUUAUUUGAUGCUAAGUCGACUAUUUUAAGCAGAGGCCAGGAGACAUUAUUUCUUGGACAACUAAUGCGUUCAGAGAAGUUAUUGGAUCGAAAAACUAGAACUUGCAAACUAAAAGCAUUCCUUAACCAACAUGGAAAAUUAUCACUAAUAUGGUUAUUCUUGAGGUCUAAAAAUUGCAGCAUAUUGCAGUUGGCAAGAGAUUUUAGAACUACUCCUUAUAGUUGAUUUCUACUGAGAUGUGGAAUUUGCAACCCAAAAAUUCCUAGAAAUAUUAUGUUAGAAAGAGUGCCACCGAGGUUGUUUCUCCUUAAGUUUAAAACCCCUAAAGUGGUGCUACUCUUGGUGAUUAAACAUGCAGGAAUUGAGCCACUCAAAUUAUUGUUUGAUAAGUCAAGAACCUGAAAAUACGUAGCCUUGCAUAUAUAUUCAGGGAUGAAUCCAAUGAGACUCUUGUUUAUAGUGGAAAAUGAGUAAGUUCUACCUAUGAAAAUUAUUGUUGGAGUGAUCGACAUAGGAAGUUUUUCGUGCCAUGUCAGGAAUAUUUCAUUGGAGCUGGUUGGAGUGUAGGUCAAGCGAGCAUAUACCAGAAAUAUGGUAUGGUUCUUGCAAGCUCACUGGGGGAUUCUGUGAAAGAUUUAAGAAAUAAAGAUUGACACCACGAACUUCCCAAAUCCAAAUUGGUAUUUCUCCAGAUAUUUGAUUAUUUGAAAUAUAAAAAAAGAAAGUUGUGAUUGGUUUUUUAGAAUAGGAAUAACCCAUGGUUUGCUUGAAGCCAGUCUCAAUUUGCUAAACUAGUUGGAAGAAAGAUUGAGGGUAUGAAAGUUUCUAAGUUCAGGGAAUAUUGAAAUGGGGAGAAGCCCUUCUAAUUUGUUGCCACUUAAAUCAAGGCCAGGCAAUACAGAAGAGGACAUAUUUGAAAUUUCAGGAAAUUGGUUCUCAAACUGGUUGUUUGAGAGCAGAUGUAUCUCUAGAAUUGGAAAUAGAAACAUAGAUUUUGGGAUACUUCCAUUCAGUGAAUUGUGCGAGAAGACAAAAAUAUUGAGAUUUAAAAGUUUUUGCCAGAAGGUGGGAUAGAUCCCACCAUUUAAAUUAUUGGAUGAAAGGUCUAAAUAGUUAAGAUUUCUUGACUUGUGACGAUAUGGGAUGGGACCAGAGAAAUGGCUUGAUGAGAAGUCCAUGUGAAAUAAUUGGGCGAGAUUAGCCAUUGAAGUGAGAAUUGGCCUUGUGAAAUUGUAACUUCUAAGAUCUACCCUUGUCAAAUUUUCAAGGGUCCCAAUGGAAUUUGGUAGUGUGCCUAAGAAGCUCGUGUUUGCUAAGUUCAGGUUUCAAAGAUAAGAAUUCUCAGGAAAGCUAGGUAGAGAACCUUGAAGUAAUGAGUUGUAUGACAAGUCAAGAGUCUGAAGUGUAGGUACCUACAAUAUGUUUUCUGGAAACUUCCCACGCAAAUCACACUAGCUGAGAUCCAAGGAGUUAAAAAUAUGAUUUUACCAUGCGGUAAACAGUAACACAGAUUAACCACGCAGUGAAUAGUAACACAACUUGAGCAGUAACGUGGCAUGGACAGUAACACGACAUAUGUGGUAACAUAGUUUGAAUAGUGUUAUUCGCUUGGUUAUAAAGAAGAGAGCUUUUCAUAAGUUUUUAUCAUCCCAAAGAAUUCAUUUCCUCUUAUAUUUAGAGAGAAUUUUAGAGUUGAAUACAACUACUCUUGAAUUGAGAGUUUUCGGUGUAUUUGGGGUUUGGGUGGGAGAAAAUUAUUUCUGAGAGUAUGGUUGGAAUAAUUUUCCACAUAGUGAAUAUUUUAUCUUGCUGUCUCUUGACAAUGAUUGUGAUAUUUCUCUAGAUUUAGAGUUUUUUACGUAAAUCUUGUGUUGUGCUACUGAUAUUGUUCUCAAUUUAAUUUUCUGUUGAUUUGUUACUUGACAAAUUGUUUCAAGUGAUCUUGGAAGGAAUCUCAAUUUCCUAACAGUGGUAUCAGAGCCAUUGGGUGAAGUUUUGGCGUCGGGGGUUGUUGGUUAAUUUUUAUAAGCAAUUACUAUCAAUGCCAAUGUGCAAGUAUACACAACAAGUAAUAAAGUGAUAAGUAUUCAAGAUCGUCUAUACACAACAAGUAAUAAAGUGAUAAGUAUUCAAGAUCGUCUCCACAUGGAUUGAUGUUACUCAAAAUGUUAAAGCAAUCACAAUAGUGCAAAUCAACUUAGGACCGAAAUAAAUAAUUGUAAAGUAAUUUCCAAAGUAAUUGAGGAUUGUGAAAGAAUUAAAUAAAAUAAUACCGUAACGAAAUAAACUAAGUUAAAUGUGUCUAAAAUUCAAUUGGAAUUAUAGUAGUUGAAUGAUCAAAUUCUCCUAAUGGGGUGACUGUUGUUUAUUAAGUUAGCACCAGUUGUUACAACAAGUGCUGCAGCACUGGGCAGAAUAAACUUGCAUCCUCAGCUAUCGCAUGUUGGACGUUUCAUACCAUUAAAUCUAUUAACAAUGACCAGUUGCUAAUAUGGUUGUGGUACGGCAUUAUAACCUUCAAUCUCUCCACCCUACAAGGUGAACACCUAUAUCUAGCGUGUCACAAAUCUUAACUUCAAGUAUUGCCCUUAUGGGAUUCAAGAUAACUUAAUCCAGGAAACUCAACGUAAGAUCAAGUAGUACUCUAAUAAUAUCCGCUAAGACAUGCCCUUUUGCUGCUCUAUCAUAACUGAAACUAUUAAAUAGGUGGUCAACCGAAAUAACAGUUAUAUUCAUACAAAACUACUAGAGUAAAAUACUACAACAGUGCCAUCACAACAUAUAAGAACAAUCAAGAACCCAUUGGAUUAUUUGUCACUGAACUACAAGUAAAUUUAGUUUAUAAUCUGAAAGAGAAAAAUAAACAUAAAUAUUUUGAUCUCGGAAUACAUCAAAACAAUUAAAGGAAGAAGAUAAAUAUAAGUUGAGCAUGGUGAAAAACAAAUCCAAGUAAUUCUGCAUGAUUCUCCAAUGUUGCCGAAAAAAACACUCUUCAAUUCCGAUCUUCUUCUUCUUUUCCUUUGUAAUUAUUCUGAUGAUUCCCUUGCCGCCUUUCUAUGUGGUGCUUGCCUACCUUUUAUAUUGCAAUUUAGGGUAAACACAAGCCCUAUUAGCGUUCAUGCGUUAAAUUAGGAAACAAGCGCUGACCCGCACCUAAGUUUUCUUCCGCAUUGUUCCCAGAUUACUACAACACAGGUUGCUCUAACAUCCUCAACAGCACUGCAUUAUUCCCGAUUGUGCUUUUCUUCUUUUGUGGCCAUCUUAUUUCCUCAUCUUGCUCAUUUACUGUCUCAACAUCCCCUCAUAUAUUAAGACUUUCUGAGAACCUACAAUUAUGCACUUAUUUUUAGCACAAAUUACUUUAAUUCAAGCAAACUUAUUAAAACUUGACUAAAAUGAAUGUUUAUGCAAAAUGCAACCAAAAUGUAAUUAAAACACCUUAUUUGUUCCCUAAGUGAUCUUGAUUCAAGUCUAGAAUUGAUGUAAUAACUCUCAUUUCCUACAGUUAUCAGGGGUACUAUCACGUAUACGGUAUUGUUCACAUGAAGUAAUGGGAGCCAAUCUAAAUUGUCUGUGAUAAAUAGCAAAGCUAAUAUGCAAACCAAAUAUGUCAGAAUUGAAAUUUUCAAGUUCAGUGAAAAUUGAAAUAGAAAAUCUUGAUAGGAAAAUCAACUUUGGCUUAUGACAAAUUUAAGUUAAGGAUGUGUUGAUUCAAUUUGGGUUACAUAAGGCAUUAAAGGGGAAGCCAUCCCCUACUUCUAGUAGUGGCUCUCUAAAAGCUAGUAUCAGCGAUGAAGAUUGGGAAGAGUUGGAUGAUAGAACUGCAAGUUCCAUAUGACUAUGUCUAGCAAAGAAUGUUUUUGCAAAUGUAGGAAAUAUUCCUACAUUGAAAGAGCUUUGAGAGAGGCUAAAAAAAUUAUAUUAGACAAAGAGCAUCCUAAAUCGAUUGUACCUGAAGAAGUAAUUUCACACGCUGCGAAUGGCUGAAGGAACAAAAAUUUCCGAUCACCUCAAAGUUCUUAAUAGUAUUAUGACAGAACUAGAAGCCAUUAAAGUUAAAAUUGAAGAUGAGGACAAGACGCUUAGGCUGCUAUGGUCACUUCCAACUUCCUACAAACACCUAUCACUUACUUUAAUGUAUGGGAAUGAGACAAUAUAUCUUGAAGAAGUUGCUAGUACUUUACUUUUGGAAGAAAGAAGACUGAGUGAUGAAAGUACUGAAACUACAGAUGUCUCGGCUUUGGCAAUUGGAAGAAAGAUAAAUUUAAGAAGAAAGGAGUCUACUAGGGGUGUGGACAAUUAGGGCACCUAAAAAGAGACUGUCAUAGGAGAAAUGAAGCAGGGUCGGCAACUGGCUCCAAAUAAGAUACUGAUAGCAUUGCUAGUGGUAAGUCUCUCAUUAUCAUGGGAGAUGAUGCUCCCUUGUAAAAUAAAUGAUGAUGACAUCUCUAUGGUAUGCUGCUAGUGUUAUGGAAGUGGACGUGUCACUGCUAGCGGGUCCGCAAAAUUUACACACAAUGCAUGGUUGGCAUUGUUGUAGGGUGUGUGGUGGAAUUUAUGUUGAUGGCUGACAAACUUCCAGGAAAGCCAACAAGAAAGUUGCACCAUAAAUUUCAGCAGAAUAUUUCGACAUGAGCCGAUGUAAAAUUCCUAAAAUUAGUAAUUAAUUCUAAGUGGUAUACUCUUUAUAGUGGAGUAUGAUAAUUCUCUUUAUUGAGGAUUAUGACUAAGGUGAAGAUAGUAAGAAUGGUGUGGAGAUUGAUUGGUUCUCAUUCUAAUCUUCAAGUGGGAGAAUUGCUAAAAAUAGGUGUUGUGCAAAUUUUAUUGAACUCGGAAGUGCACGAAUCUAUUGUAGAAUAGAUCAUUGGUGAUGAGUGUUGAUCCCACGAGGAUGUGGAUUUUAAUUGUGUGUAAAAUUAAUUUUUCUAAAUGGGUGGUUGGAUUUGUGGUGAAAGUGAUUUAAACUAUCUUAGAAUUUGAAUUAAAAUAAUGAGAAUAAAUUGAAGCGAAAACUAUAAUAAUUGAAGCGCUUGGGUAUCUGGAUCCGCAUCAACAUGUACCAUGGGCUAAAUAUUCUUUAUUAGUGUCAAUUAAAUCAUGAGGGGGGAAUCCACAACUCAUGAACCACGCUCUAAUCAAUAUGGUGCUAAGGGCUUAUUGUGCCAAAUAAUAAUAAUCUUGUACUAGGGAGCCGGUGAAACCAGGGCAGUAUCUAGACAAGAUUAUUACUAUUUGUCAAGGAAAAGUCAAAACAUCCUCAAUAAUUAGAGGGGAAGAGAAAUUAAAUUUACCAAAUAAAGCCCAUGACACAUGUUGAGACUUCACCUUCAACCCAAGCUUGAAAGAAAAUUAGCUACUCAUAAUUGAACUAAGGGUAAAAUGAGAAUUUAUUAAAAUAAGUAGAAAAUAUAAGAUAAAGAAGGAAUUACAAAAAAUGGAGCCCAAAAAUGGAUUCAGAGAGAUGCCAAAUUAGGGGGGGAGGCCCUUUUUUUAUAGAUACAUUGAGUAAAUCAUGACUAUCAGAUUAAAAACAGUUUGGACGUUCAGGAUUGCGCCACAUCAUCAGUCAACAGUACGGGUUUGAACAGUCAACCGGCUUGAACAGUUAUGCGGUUUGGUUGAAAAUAAUCAUGUGUAUAUGCAUGUACCGUACACGUAAUUUUUGGUCCACUAAUAUGCUGCCACGUCACCGAUCAACAGUGCAUAAGAAUUUUCUCUAAUGGAAUCGUGACACCUCAUCAGUCAAUGCCACAUCAUCGGUCUGUAUAUGUAAACAGUGUCGUGAACAGUAAUGUAGACAAUACCGUACAUGUGAAUAGUACCGUACAUGUGAACAUUGACAUUUUUCCUUUUAUGCUCCUCCUAAGGUUUUCGACUAUACUGAGUUCAAAAGUGAUGUCCGUUUAGCCGUUUGAUUUCUCGUUCAUUGUGAAAUACAUAAAAUACUAUGAUGCUCUCAAAAUACAUAAAAUACUUAAUUAUAAUACAACACACAUAAUUAAAUCACAAGAAACUUAAAUACAUAAAAGUAAGAAUGUUAGUGGAACUUGAGAUUAAAAUGACGAUUUUCUCCUUUAUAAAUAUACAUUUUAUAACACUCAACAAUAGGGUUUUACCAUGCGGUGAAUAGUAACACGGUUUGACCACAUGGCUUGAACAGUAAUGCGACAUGAACAGUAACGCGGCAUGAAUAGUAAUACGGUUUGAACAGUACUAUCCACUUGGUUAUAAAUAAGAGAGCCUUUCAUAAGAUUUUAUCAUCCCAAAAAAUUCAUUUCCUCUUAUAUUUAGAGAGAAUUUGAGAGUUGAAUUUAAUUACUCUUAAAUUGAGAGUUUUGGGUGUAUUUAGAGCUUGGGUGAGAGAAAAUUAUUUCUGAGAGUAAAUUAUUUAUGAAAGUGUGGUUGUAAUAAUUUUUCACAUAGUGAAUAUUUUUCUCUGGUUGUCUCUUGACAACGGCCAUAGUUUUCCUCCAGAUUUGGAGUUUUCCACAUAAAUCUUGUAUUAUGCGAUUGAUAUUAUUCUAAAUUUAAUUUUCUAUUGAUUUAUUUCUUGACAAAUUACUUGGAGUGAUCUUGGGAGGAAUUUCAAUUUUCUAACAGUGGUAUCAGAGCUAUUGAUUGAAGUUUUGGUGUCAGGAGUGCUGUUCAUGUAUACGAUACUGUUCACGUAUACAGUACCGUUCGUGUGAAGCAAUGGGACCCAAUCUAAAUAGUUCCUGAUAAAGAGCAAAGCUAAUCUGCAAAGCGAAUAUGUCAGGAUUAAAAUUUUCAAGUUCAGUGAAAAUUGAAAUGGAAGAAUUUGUUGGGAAUAUCAACUUUGGCUUGCGACAAAUUCAAAUUAAAGACGUAUUGAUUCAAUUUGGGUUACACAAGACAUUGAAGGGGAAGCCGUAUCCUACUUUCAGUAGUGGCUCUGGUACGAGUUUUGAUGGACAAAAUAAAUUUGCUGAAAAUAGUCAAUGAGUGAAAAUAAAAUUUAAGUCCAUUUCAGCUCUAUCAGUCGGUUAAGUUUUUUCACUGAUGCCAUGCAAAAGUUCAAACUAAUUAAUGUAGGCAAGACUUAAAAAGGGUAAGCAAAGAAAAAAAAAGUGACAAAAGAGGGAAUAUAGUAAGUAAGAGAGAGAAGAAUGAGAAAUAAUUUAUUAUUAUAUGGAGAUCUAUUAUAUUAAUUUUUAGUUUUUAAAACUUAAAAAAGGCAUGUCAGCUUCAAUAUCAACUCUUGCUUAGCUUUAAUCUAAUGGUCAGAAUAUUGUGUCCAAAAUUUUGUUUAAAAGUGUCUCUUGAAUUAGAAUUAUAUAAUUCAUAGCAAGAUAAGGGUAUUAAUUAAAAUUUAGUUCAUUUCUUUGGACUUUACAUAUGUUUUGAUCCUCUCACUCCCUCGGUUUACAAAUUGUUGAUUUUGCCUUGCCGAGUUCGUAGUUUCUUGAUUCUGAUCCCAUUGAACGAAAAUAAUGGUUCCAUGCAUUGCUUUUUAUAUAUCAGACUCGUGAUAGUAUCAGAUCCCGUUGAACCAAUAAAAAUCAGGGUCAUUACUCCAUAUAAUAUCUAAUUAUUAGUCUCAGGAGCUCAACCCCGUAGUUUUCAAGUUGUCUCAUUGAGAUGAUCACCUAAUUAAGUUUGAAUCUCGGAGAAAAUAGAAAAUAAAAAAUUAAUUUGAGCUUUGAUCAUUCCUCCACUUUUUAAUAAAAUAAAAUAAAAAUCUAAUGAUUGACUGAAUGCAAUUUGUCCUCGCGUCAAAACCAACUUUGAUUUGCUUGCGGGACCUGUAGACUUCCAAAAGUCUUGCAAGGAUAGAGCUAACAUUUGAUAGUGAUUUUAUUGGUCUAAGAAGAGCCAACCCAUGAUUGUAUUCGGUUCUCGCAUUAUUACAUUUAGUUAUAAUGACUGACUGAAAGACACAUGGACGGUAUAAAAUGAACGGGAAGAGAAGGCUAACAGCUAGCACUCAAGAUUUCGAAGUGACUCGAUACACAUUAAAAUAAAAGCUAGCGCGCUUCUUCUGUCUUGCCGGUGGACGAUGUUGAAGUGACUGUAUUUCUUACAUACGAAAAAGCAGGUUGUUUUGGAGGAAGCAAUGCUGCAGCUUCAUUUGUAAGCAUGGAUACAACAUCAUUCAUGGUGGGUCUAUCAUCAGCACUUUCUUGUACACAAAGGAGAGCUAUGUUCACAUAUCUUAAAUGCAUAGGCUUGGAGGAAUAUUCAUCUUCUAAUAUUGGAUCAAUCAACUCCAAUGUCCUGUUGCUUGUCCACAGAUCCCAUGCCUAAACAACCAUACGAUGUCAUUAGAUAGUCCUACACUCGAUAUAGAGAAUAGUUUAAAAAUAGUCAGAUGCAAAAAUCCAAACGUUUUCAGAUUGUGCGUGUCCACGCUUGGGAAUUCAUAUAUAUUUUCACCUAAUUAGUAAUAUAAAAAAGAAUAUAUAUGUGCAACGGCUUUUGUUACUUACAUAACCUAGCAGAGUGAAAGAGUAGGUUCGAUAAAAUCCAGUGGUUUUCUUGCCACUUACAAUCUCGAGCAACAAUACUCCAAAGCUAAACACAUCAGAUUUAAUUGAAAAUAUUCCUUGGAUUGGGUAUUCAGGGGACACAUAACGACUGUAAUUCAACAAUCAAUAAAUAAUAAUCAGCAAUUCACGCAUAGCUAAUUAAUCACUUUAAUUUUGAUUUUUGUCAUUUAUGUACUAUGUCCCGACGAUCCUACCGGUGUUUGCUUGUAACUCAUUUCCUCUGCAAAUUCUUGCUAUUCCAAAAUCUGAUAUUUUGGGAUUCAUAUCUUUAUCUAAUAAGAUAUUACUAACUUUUAAAUCUCGAUGAAUAAUUCACACUCUGGAAUAUUGAUGAAGAUAAAGAAGCCCUUGAGCUAUCCCUUCAAUAAUCCGAACACGUGUUACCCAAUCUAAUAACAUUCACUUGGUUGGAUCUAAUUUACAACAAAAAGACUAAAUGUCAUUAUGCAUGAAAACAAAAAAAUGUAGACCACAUAAUUUGAUGUAAAUUGAUCUAGCAACUUAAUUUUUUUUAAAAAUAUGAUAAUUCAAUGAUGUUAAUCAUUAAACUUAAAAAUAGCUAAAUGAAAUAGAAAAUACUAAAUAUUCUUUUAGGUUAGGUUUGUUGCAAAAUAAAGGAUUGGAUUGGACUAGUUAUUCAGAUUGAAUUGGAUUGAAUUAGACUAAAUUAUUUUAUAGUAAUGUCUUGUAUUUGGUUUAGUGUUGGACAGGAUCAUAUUAAAUUCAAUUUAAGGAAGUUAAAAAAACUAUUUAAAAAGUAUGAUUAUUUCUUAAAGUUAUAUUGUUAAUUAUUAAAUAUUCUUUUAGAUAUUCAAUUUCAAUAUAAAUUAAAAAUUGAAUAAUUUUGAUAUUUAAUCUUAAAUUAAAUGCUAAAUGCUAUUUUAAAUAAAGUAAUGAAUAAAAUUUGGAUAAGUAACAUGGACUAAAUUCUAGUUUAAAUAAAUUUUUGAUAUAUAAUUUUAUAUUAAAUAGUAGUUCAAAUAAAUGUAUGCAUAAAAUUUGAAGAGAGGAAUAUGUAAGAAAAAGAAAUUAACAGAUGCAAUAACUAAUCGAAAAGAAAGAAGUCCAAGCUUUUGUUAGGAAUGUACUCAUAGAUCAGAAUCUUCUCGUCUUUAUCUAUGCAGCAGCCGAAAAGUCUAACCAGAUUCUUGUGCUGAACCUUGGCUAUCACGGAAGCUUAUUUUUUAACUCUCGCAAUCCUUGUCCAGAUCUUCCUGAAAGCCGUUUCACAGCUAUCUCGUCUCCAUUUUUUAACACUCCCUGCAGAUGGUAAAUUUAUAGUUCUGUUAAAAAUGAAAUUAGCGCUCCAAAGAAAAUGAUAUCUGUAGUACCUUAUAAACAGGUCCAAAGCCGCCCUCUCCGAGCUUAUUUGCGUCGGAGAAUUUAUUUGUUGCAGUAGAAACACUGAAAAAACUGAAUAAAGGCAAUUGAUCAACUUCCUUCUUUUUGCUUCUUUUUGUCAGAUUACUGUUUACAGGAAGCUCUAUGUUAACGUUGUUGGCUUUCAGGUUCAAAUCCAAAUCAAACAUGAUCAAAUCCUCUCCUGAAGGGUGAAGAAACUAAAGCUUUAAUUACGAUAUGUAUAUGUAUGUUAGCAUAUUAGACUCUCAAAAUCGUGCAAUUAAAUGAGAACUUUUACCUCUGCUUCUGGGAUUUCUCCUCACACAAUAGAAAAUCAAGCCUAAAGUGGCCACUGCUGCCAGAGUGAUCGACAAGGAUAACAAGACGAACUGAAUCUACUCCAUUAGAUAAACCAGAAAUGAAUGCUAUGUUGGUGGAUCUUCAAAUACGGAGGCAAAGAACAAGGAAACUUUCUUAGGAUUUGAGACGUGUUUAUACACUUUUCUUUAAGGUUUUAUUUGCCCUCACCACUCUUAGUUUGCUAUGGAGUUUAAUGGCAAGUUACCCCCAAGAUUUAUCAAAUCUUGAAUACAAUCUCUAGCAAAUAAGAUUGUAUUUCAAGAACACACAUGAAAUCUGUAAUAAUCCAGUUUUUUUUUUUAAAUGUGAGUGUCUAAUUUAAUGAAGAAAUUAUUUUUAUGAAAGAUUACAACCAUUAGAAAUGGUACUUCUUCAAAGACACUCUUUGGUUUGAAAUUUGCAUCUAUUCAAAACCGGUUUUUCUUUUUCCUCAAAACCUACUAGCCUUUUUUUUUCAAUUGACACCAAAACACGCUCUCUGGAAGAAAAUGGUUAGCCAUUUUCUCAAUAACGGCGAGCCGUUUUCUAAUGGCUAAUCAUUUUCUUCCAGAAUGUCAACUUUCAAAUAACUUUUGAACUAAAUGGUUAGCUGUUUUCUCCAAACGGUUAGCCGUUUUCUGUAGAAAAGAAAACAUACUCUCUAGGAUUAAACGGUUAGUAGUUUUCUUAAAAAACGGCAAGCCUUUUUAUUCCAGAAUGUCAAACCAAAAUAUGAAAAUGUUACAAUCUCUUACAUGCUAAUAUCAAGAAGACAGUAGACACCAAGAGAACAACAAUAAUGAAGAUUGCAAAGCGAUCCAUUGAGAUCGAUCAAAUGAUUAUUCCAAAUGUUGCGAGGUGUAUAGUUCAUGUAUUUAGAAAAAAGCCAAAGAGGACUUAAAUAUAAGACUAGUAAACAAUCCUAUCAUCAAAGGUAGUCAUAAAAAAGUAAUUUAAUAAAUAUGUCACUAGUUAGUUUUAUGGAAGAGUGAUGGUACAGUUACAAACUCUUGUACAAACUGAUGUAGUAUUAAUUCAUUGGUUGAAUGAAAAUAUAAAAUAAUAUAAAUAAAUUAUGUGGGCCAAGAGAUAUUUAAUUCAACUAAUUAAUUAACGUCACAUUAGUUUGUAUAAAAUAAGUUUGUGCAAGAAUUUGUGACUAUAUCAUUACUUUUUAUGAAAUUACCUACAGAAACAUUUAAAUAUAAGACUUCUUCAUGUACACGAAAACUCUAGUUUCCAACUCUUACACCUAUCAUCACUCAUGAGCGGAGUUUACAGUUGACGUGAACGGUCUACGAUGACAAUCUUUUUCUCUAAAUUGGCCACAAGCUGGUCAAUAUUUCAUAGAUAAUUAAUCUUCGAGAGUCCAUGCUAGAUUUUAGUUGUAGCAAGACAUUUUGUUUCAAAUUAUUAAGUGCAAGGUUGUCUAUGACCAACUCUACGCUAUGGAUAAUAGACUCAUGCAGUUCAUGAUCACUUAUAAGUUUAUAAGAGUAGAAAGUAGAAUCUAGAAGAUCAAACCGUAUGAAAGCACUUUUACGCUUGUAUCUGCACCAAUGUUUUAUUGUCAAUUAUUGGCAUUUAACCAUAGCUUUCAAUUUUUUUCUCCAUUAUCCUUCUAAGUAAUUAGUUUGAACUUUUGUAGAGUGUCAAGCAAAAAUUGAUAGAUUAGGAUUCAGUAUGGAAUCAUUGGUCAAGAUUUAUUCUUAUUUUUAAUUUUAUAUUUUACUUGUCAAUAAUUCAACAAAAAAAUAGCUCAGCACUGAAGUCUUAUUCAAAAUUUAAAUUAUGUUGUUCCUUUAAGCUAAAAAACAAUUCAAUUUCCUCCUCACAUAUUUUUGGAACCUCAAACAUCUUAUUUUUAAGACAAAAAAAAAAAAAUUAACCAACUCAAUUAAUUAACACCCAAAUAAAAAAAAGGAUUAAUGAUAAAAAAAAUGAAAUGAACUUUAUCAUGUACUAUCCACACCAUCUCAUUCAUUUAAAUUUUAUCUACAAUCUCAUUCACGAUUUUCAUGCCACAAAAUUGGUGGUCGGUUGUUUUCCUGCAGACCAGAAGUCCUCCUCAGCUGCUUUAUAGUUAAUUUCUACUUGCACCUCCCAACUUAUACGUUGGGGUGUACAUAAUUUCCUUGGGCCAUCUUUGUAAGAAAUAAUUAAUUAGAAAGUGACAAGGUCUUUAAGAUUUUUCUUCAGAACAUAUAAAAUAAAUGAGGCUGAGAUUAAUAUUAAGUUUUGCAAGGGUGGCAAAAUGAAUAAAUGAAUCAAAUUUAAAUUAAAUCGUAAACAAAUUGGGUCAAAACACUGUUGAUUCGGAUUUGAUUCAUUUAUUAAGCAAAUCUCAGGAUUUGAAUUCGAUUUGUUUAUUAAACAAUAUUCGAUUUGAUUAAUUUAAUUCGUUUAGUAGAACUAAUAAAUGAAUCGAAUCAAAUGUGAAUUUAUUUACUAUUAAUUUAUUCUAUAAUGAAUCCAUAACGAAUCGAAUUACUAUAUAUUUUGUCUUAUUAUCAUUUAUAAUUACUAUAAUAGCUUUGAAAUUUUAAAAUUUUUCAUCUUUAAAAUUUUUCAUACAUAUUUAAAGAAAAUAAGUAAUUUAAUCAAACUAAUUUUAAAUAAAUGGAUCGUAUUUGAUUCGUUUAUGACGUAUUUAUUAAAUGAACCCUGAAUGAAUAAAACCUGGAUUCAAUUUGUUUAACUAAUGAAUCGUAUUGAAUUUACCUAUAUAUUAGACGAAUUAAUUUGUUCAAACUCAAACUCAUUUAAUUCACAUUAAAUUGAAUCGAAUAAACCCAGAUUGGCAUCCCUAGUCUAGCGUGCCGACGCAUAAACAUUGAUUCAUUAAUCGACCGAUUUGCUUCGAUAAGUUUUUGGGAAAAGAAUAACUAAAUAAGAUCUAUUGAAAUAGUCAUAGACUCCUUUUUAACAAUCUAUCACAAGUUAGAUCCAAGACUUCUCCACCUAUAGAAGACUUUUAGUUUCCAAGUCUACACCUAUCAUGACUGACGAGACAGUUCAGUUGUGGUGAAAGGACCUGUAAGUGUUAUUUGUUAUUUAUUUUGAGUCAAUCUUUAUCUUCAAAUUGGCACCUACGUAGAUAUAUACAGGCAAUUCAGAGUCAAUGUUUGCUAAACUUUAGUUGUAGCAGUAGAAAAUUAAGACUCAAUUUCAAAAAAUUCAAAUAAAAAUUAGAAAAGAUAGACAAAGUCCCAAAUUAAUUAAUUACUUGACAUUUGGUGAAGAAGUAUGACGAUUGUUUUUUGUUUGAAAUCUAAAUAAAUAUGAAUUGGCUUGAAAUCUAAACAAAGCUAAAUGCCUGAAUUUGAAUGGCAUAUUUCAUUUUCGUUUGAAUCUUUCAAAAUAAUUAUUGAGUUCUUUAUUUUUUAACUUAAAAAGUCUUAAAAAUUUUUAGAUUAAUUAUAAAUUUUAGAGAUCACUCGUCUAGUAUACAAUUUGUAAGAUUAACUUUGUGAUAAUAUCGAUAAAAACUUCUAAGUACCUUGACUUUUGGAAAUUUACUUUUGACUUUUCAAGUCUGAAACCAUUUUUGCAUUUGCGCUUCUAGUAUAAUGGCACUUGCAUCCUCAAAAUAUGUUAAGGGAGUGGGUUCGAGUCUUACAAACUCAUUUCUUUCAGAAAAUGAUAGAUUUCUCUGUGCAUGUUAGUGAGAGUAUAUUUUGAGAGUUUUAGUAGAUUUGUAAAUUGUAAGAAUUUCGUAAAAAAAAAAAAAAGUAGUCUAGAAAAACUCGAGCACCCAAUCAACUAGGGAUCAGCUACCAGGAUUAGGAUUCUCUCCUGAUCUGAUCAUGUUCCGAGCAAAUAACUUAAUUGUUGAUUGGUAGUUAAUAAAUAAAAAAGUAAAAAAAGUUCAAUCUUAUCCAUGCACUACCACUAAAAAACACAUGGCAGAAAAUUUUUAAAAGCUGAGUAGAGCUCAAAUUAUGAGAGGAUCUUAUUUGAUCAUGUUGCGAGCAAAUAACUUAAUUGCUGAUUGGUAGUUAAUAAAUAAAAAAGUAAAAUAAGUUCAAUCUUAUCCAUGCACUAUUACUAAAAAACACAUGGCAGAACAUUUUUAAAAGCUCAGUAGAACUCGGAUUAGGAGAGGAUCCUAUUCCCCACCUACCGUGCCCCUUUUUUUUGUCGUUAUCCACUGUAGCCGUUAGAUUAUAAUUAAUUUAAUCCAAGGGACGAGGUUUGAAAAGGGUAAAAGUCAAUUACAGUGGGCAACCAUCCAAACCAGCUUCUUUGUACAAGAUUAGUUUUAGGAGCUGUAAACCCUUAUUGGCCAUUUUGAUCGAUGACUGCGGUUUCUCGGACGCAAGGAAAUUGAAGCAGGCAAGGUGUAACUGCGGCUGGGGCAGCGCUCUCGUGUGGGAUUUUUGAAUUGGCUUGUGGUGACUUGUAGCUUGUCGUGGCAGUAUUGAAUGAAGCAUAAGGGAUUGGGUUAACAAAAUUAAAGGUCAGUGUAAUUUGAAUUUGAGAUUAGUGAUAGGAAUUAUUUGUCGCUGAUUAAGUGGCUGGUGGAAAUUUAACGUUUCGUUUGGAUAAUGGGAAAAUUUGGGAGUACAUGGAAAAAAAUUAAAAUUUAAUUUAAGGAUAUGUCCUGAACAACGUAGUUAGUGGUUGAAUUGAAAUAUUGAACCCAGUUGAAUAAUGAAUUGUUUUGCAUAUACAUGGUUGCAAAAUAUAUGUCGUACAAAAGAUUGAAAAAUUGAGUAGAUGCCAAUAAUUAUCGAAAUUAUUUGGGGAUUAUUUAGCACAGUUCAAUACGGCUUAUUUAAAGCAGUAGGAUAGAGAAGGAGCUUGGUGUUAUGCUCGGUAACUUGAGUGUGUCGGCGGCAUUUGCUGUCCCUUUCUUGAGCUUAGUCAUGACUGUGCCUUGGAAUAGAAUUUAAUAGAAGCACCCGACAUGUGACAUGUCAAUUGUCAAUCCUACUGAAUUAUUUAAAUUUAGAUAAUAAAUGUUUGCAUAAUAAGUUUAUAGUGAACAUGUGUGGAAAAUUAGUAACCGGAAAGGUGAAAUUGCAGCAAAUAUUUAAAUGACGUGAAUCACAAGCAUGAAGCUGAUGACAUGGGGGUAAUGGUACAUGCACCAGCUGAAUUUGUAUAUCUUUUUUGUGGAGUUGAUAUGAAAUGUUUUUGUUAGUUUCGUUUGGGGAUGGUAACGUAAUUGAUAUGUAUUUGUGUUUAUAUGGUGAAUUAGUAAUGUGUUUAUAUGGUGCUAUAAAGCGUAUUUUGAUGGUAAGAAAUAACUGUCACUGAAUUUCAGGAAUGAAUGUGGUGGGAAGUAAUAAGCAGAAGGAAUGUGAGAUUAACUGAGGAACUGAAGUGGUUGGUGAUGAUGCAAGCAUAUUGAUGGGGGAAGAAAAAGGCAGUGCCUCAAUGGGUUCAUAAGAUAUUUCUAAGCUAUGUUAAUGGAAAAAUAAAUAAAUUAUCAUAACUUAGUAAUAGUUGAGUGGUAGUAUAGGUUUUGACUAAUUAUUUCGGUUGUGAUACUAUGGUAUUGCAGUGGUGGAGUUGUGCGUCAUUUGGGUUACCAUGAUUGUGUUGUAGAUUCGAACGGAAAUUGGAUCCACGUAUAAGAAUUUGCCACCGAAGGAAAAGUGUCAGUACAAAAGUGAGGCCAAACGAGUAGGGAAGUCAAACAUGGGGAAGGCAAAGUUCCUCACAAGAUGUGCUCCAGAUAGAUUAGCUGCAGCAGUUUCACAACUUACAGAUGAACAAAGAGUGGCUGUUUGUGAAAUGGGCUUUGGUAGUUUGUUACAACUGAACUGUGUCAGGCUAAAGAGGAAUCUUUGUGGCUGGUUAGUUGAGAAGAUUUACAAGGAAAACAAUCCAUUCGGUUAACUAUUUCACAUUUUUAAACCAUUUCAGAUCAGUCUAUAUUCGGCCACAACUCCUGCUGCUGCACAGGACUUCUUGCGACUACCAUCAAGCAGCAGUGAUGAAGAUUCAAUAAGUCUUUCUUUCAUUUUUUUUUUUGGACAACUAAGAAGUCAAAUUGUCAAUGGAUAUCAAUCGACUUUACAAGUUAUCGAGGCGGCCAUUGGCACAAUUUCAUUUUAAACAGUUAUGGUUCAGAUCACUGCAACCCAACUUUCAUGUGUACACAAAAUUAGUAACCCUACAUUCAUUACUUGGACAUUAUAAUAUUUAUCCUAUCCCAACCCAACACUGGUAUGCGCACACACAUUACUAACUAUAUACCAAAUAUAAUCACUGCAACAGAGGAUAUUUUCUUCAUUUCUCUGCAUCUUGUACUUAUUUUUAUGCAAUUUUCAGUACAUAUCCAAAUUUUAUUUCACACAAUUUUCUCCAUCACAAGCCUUCCACAUGUGUUUCAACAAUUCUUAUUUCAUGUAAAAUUCUACUUCUGGUUUGUGUCUCUGCUAUUCAUACUAAUACGACCUAUGCAUGCAUACUGAAACUUUAGGCUAUAACAGUAACCAUUUGCAUUUGUAGGUGUGACAGGGAUUUUCAUGGUUGAGAAUCCUUACUUUUCUUGGCGUUCGGCUCCUAUCUUGGGGUUCGGUUGCUUAUAGGAGCCGUAUUGUUUUAAUUGGCGCAUCAUGCAUAGCCACAAUCACUGGCUGACCACCAGAGAGUAAAGGCCAUGUCUUGACCUUCUUGUCACAUCCUCCAGAGAAGACAGUAAUUCCAUCAUCCUUCAAUGUUGAGCAUAGGACCUUCAAAUUUGGAAGACAAGAAAAAGGUUAAAUUAUCAGCAAUCACAAAUUCAACAGUAUGGUAUUCUAACUACCACAAAUCUUGCUUUAGAUUACCGGAUGGUCAUGCGAAAUUGAUGCCUUGGGCACACUGGCCACACCAGUUCCGCUGCGUGAAAUUUCCCAACACCUUACCUGUGAAAGCAUUCAAACGAGACGAAUGAGAAUAUCAAGGAUGUUAACCAACAAACAGAAAGGCAUAACUAAAGGUAUAAAAAAAGAACAGAAACCAAUUGGGCAAACCUGAUUAUCCCAUGAGGUUGCAACCAAGAUAUUGGCCUUGGGACUGAAACAAAGGCUUGAAACAGAAUCACUGGGAGGUUGAGACACCU
rnacentral:lncRNA from 1 species